rnacentral:lncRNA from 1 species
CUUAAUACCUUGUCUUGAUGCCAUCUGAUAAAAUCAGAGAAAUGAAAGAUGCCACAGGAAAGAUAAAUGAUAUUUUAGCCAAGCCGUACAAGAGAAAUAGUGCCACUUUCAAGUUCUGUUUUCCAUAGCUUCUAAUGGAGCCUGCUCAGGAGGGAAGCCAGCUUUGCCGGGGUAAGUACAAGCCACCUGGCCCUUCCCUUAUUAUGGGGAAAUGAUUGCCUCCUAUAAUCACUAAUCCUAAAUUUUGAAUCAGGCCCAGGAAAUACCUACUUUUCUUCAUGCUGCAUUUAAAAUGUCAUUUGGCUUACUGGGUACAAGAUCCACAUUCCUUUUGUCACAGAAUGUUGGGUUUUUCUUUCAUUGAUUUCAUUAGGAUAAGCUGAUGGCAAAUGCUUCUUCCUUAUGCAAGAGGUUGCUGCCUGAAUGUACCUGCAUACGUUUUAUGAUACAUAAUAUAUUUUGCAUUCAUCCUGUGCAGCCUUGAGGAAGCAGAGUUAGUGUUGUGUUCUCAAAGCAGAAAGAAACUACAGCUUUGAAGAAGAGCAUGAGAUUAUUACAUGCCUUUCUAAUUUCAUUUUGAUAAACUCUGAAGCUGGCUCAUUGCAGUGGGUUUCAGCUAUAGGUUGGAAUUUUGGUUCUACUUUGAGUUCAAAGGAGAAAACUCAUGCUUAAGGAAAAAUAUUUUCACUCCCUGAGUAUUAACUACUCAAGCCAGAAAAAAAGCCCCAUGCAUGCAGUCUGUGAUGAGCACCUUCAGUAUAAUCCUACUGUGGCAUGGUAUAAAACAUCUCCCACCACAGAUGAAAAGUAAAUAAUUUUUAAUCACUCUGAGCAGCUAGUUGGUUAGCCUGCAGAAGUUCAUAUGCCUGGUGGAAUUCAUUUGUCUUCUUAAAUUGCUACACAACUCUGGUCAAGAUAGCUAAAGGGGAAUUGAAAUUCUGGGGAAGAACUGGACCUCCAAUAGCCAAUCUGCACUCUGUUCUGCUCAUCUCCCAUAAUCCUUUCUCUGUUUCCAGAUCUUGCAAACAUAUAGUCAACAGUGCUAGGAGUUUAUUCCAUUAACAGAUGCACUAUUCUGUUAAGCCAUUAAUCAAGCAAAUCACAGAUGUUGUUUUCUUUCUAGAUGUUACUAUAAUUACGCCUAAUAACACUUACUGAAUUUGUCAUUUCAUUGCCAUUGAUGACUUUUUAAAAUUUGAUCUGAUAGUUCAUUUCUUAAAUUCUCUUUAUAUGGAUUUCAGUUGUAUUUCUACAAUGAAGAGUUCAAGAUCUCUCCUUCAAUUGUCACCACGUAUUUCCCAAAGAAUAUAUCAGGGGGGCUCCUGGGUAGCUCAGUCGGUGAAGCACCUGACUUUGACUUGGCUCAUGAUUUCAGGGUUCAUGAGUUUAAGCCCUGCAUUGGGCUCUCUGCCAUCGGUAUAGAACCCACUUUGGAUCCUCUGUCCCCCUCUCUCUCUCCCUCCCUCCCUUCGGCCCUCCCUCCCAAACAUUAAAAAAUAAUAUAGCAGGAUAAUCUCACAUAUGGGUAGAUAAAUAGGCUCUUGAGAGACUGAAGGUUGAAAACCACAUGCUGAGUUUGCAGUCAAACCAUAGUCUCCUUAUAUUGAAAGAUGGGCAUUAUCAUUUUGAGGCAUAUGGUGCUGAUAAAUACAGUUGAAGGAAUCUGCCAUUCUCAAAGGCAGAGCCAGCCAAGAAGGGAGCUUAGCCCAGCUGCCUGGUAUACAGAUGGUGAAACCACCACCUGAGAGGAAUGAAGUCUCAGUUACUGAGACAAAGUAAUGACCAGAAUCCAAGGCUCAUGGCUCCCAAUCCAUUGUUCUCUCUUCUACCACACUGGUUCUCCUAAUGGCCCUUGCCAUAUCAGGAGGGAAUAAAAACCUCCUUCCUGUUGAGAUUUCUGAGAUUCAUUCUAUCCACUUACCCAUUCUUCUAAAUGCAAAAUUUAGCCAGACAUUCUUAAAUCCUGAUUUGAACCCAUUGAGCUCUGUCUUCAUUGCUGAUUAAAUAGCACUGAUUUCUCCUGUUCUAGUGACAUCAUUUUAAAAUUUCUUUCUGAAAAAUUUAAGCUUAUGGAGUGUUUUCUCCUUCUUAUCUUUUAGGUCCAUAUAAAAUAUGCUUCCAUGAAGAGAUUGAUAAUCGGGUAGUAACAAUAGCAGUGGUGUGGCUUAGAAAAGAAAUAGGCAUUGGAAUUGAACUUGAAAUUGAAUCUCUGAUCUACUUCUUAGUAAUUGAUCUCAGACAAGUUAAAUUUUCACAUCCUAACACUGAAAAAGGAAGUGUUUCUGUGUAAUCACCUGGUACAUACAAUGACAUGUAUAGAAGGCCCUUAACAAUUAUUAUUACUGUAACUGGAACCAUAUCAGAAAAUGUUAACUGUAAUGGCAUUUUUUUUCCUGUAGGGGAAGAAUGUGUGUGUGUGUGUGUGUAUACACACACACACACACACACACACACACACAUGUAUUUAAGAGUGUCAUGGCAUUUUUUAAAUGUUCUUUAAUGUUAGAGGAAAGAAAGAGAAUCUCAUUUUCUGUUUUUGGUAUUAAUGACCACCAGCUGCUGCCACCAAUGCAGAGAGCCUUGCUGGUAGUUAGCAGCCUACGAAUAAGCUAUAUUACCGAUGAGAAGGUAUAUUUUUGAGAGAAAGAGAGCACACACAUGUGUGGGAGGGCAGAGAAACAGAGAAUAGCAGGCUCAAUACUGUCAGCAAGGAGCCCGAUGUGGGACUUGGUCUCAUGAACUGUGAGAUCAUGACUUGAGCUGAUACCAAGAGUCUGAGGCUUAACCAGCUAAGCUACCCAGGUGCCUCAAGAAGGAGGUACUUCUUAUCUCUCAUCCAAGGUUGUUGCAGGUGGCUCUGUUGUGGUGUAGUAUCAAUCUUAAGUCACUAGAUUGAAGAAACAACACAGGACCCCAAGAAUACAUUGAGUGUUUGUCUCUUCUCCUUCUUGAAAUAAAAAUCCCAAAUCUCUGCAAUCACCAGCAAGCUUGAUCAUGACAUGUUCACACACAUGCCACCAUAUGUUAUCGAAAUCCUCCUCCUCAAGUGUGACCCAGAGCACUGGUUCUGGAAAUGUGGUUCCUGGGCCAGCUGCAUCAGCUAUACUUAGGAACUUGUUAGAAAUGCAAAUUCUUGGGCUUAACUGUAGACAUGCUGAGUCAUACCCUGGGGAAGAUUAAAAAAUCUGUUUUUAACAAACUUCCAGGUGAUUCUGAUGCUUACUAGAGUUAGAAAAUUAUAACCUGGAGAAUUUGCCCAUGUGCUGCAGUGUUUCAUGUGACAAGGAGGUACCAGGGCAGGACUCAGAACGAUCCAACAUCGGACAAUGAUGACUUCCCAUGUGGCAACUAACAGCCGAAUCACAUCGUGAAAGUUUUCCUGUCUUGAUUCUUUGAACUUUUAAGUCUUGGUUUGACGUUUAUAGGCCUCUCAUACCCUAACUGUGGCUAAUCUUCUUUUCCAACAAAGACAGUAGGAUGCAAAUCCUGUGCCUUUAGGGAGAGGCAGAGUGUAGCUAGAAUUUAGUGAUAUUUUCAUUUCUUUAUUUUUACUUUUAUUAAUAUCUCCAAUUUAUGGCACAUUAUUUUAUAUUUAAUUGGUGACAAAAAGGUUCUUUAUUUAAUGUUAAUGUUCAAUUUAAAGAAAAGGUUAAGAAAACAAUACAGUUGAUGUGUGGAUAUGGCAAAAAUCAGUGAUGCACAAGUGAAUGCAUUCAGAGAAAUGCCAGCACAGUAGAGAGAAUCUAGUAUGCCUCAUCAACAUCUUAAUUCUAUUUUGUGGCAUUUAUUGACUAUACUAGUUUUCCUAGCCUCAGUUUUCUCAUCUGUCAAAUGAGAAUGAUGGUACUAACAAAAUAGAAAUGGUGUAAGAAUUUAUGUAUGGGUGGGGUGCCUGGGUGGCUCAGUUGGUUGAGCAUCUGACUUCAGCUCAGGUCACAAUCUCGUGGUUUGUGGGUUCGAGCCCCGUACUGGGCUCUUUGCUGACAGCUCAGAGCCUGGAGCCUGCUUCAGAUUCUGUCUUCCUCUCUUUCUGCCCCUCCCCUACUCAUGCUCACGCUCUCUCUCUCUCUCUCUCUCUCUCUCUCUCAAAAAUCAACAUUAAGAAAAAAGAAUUUAUGUAUGGGAAAUACUGGCUAUCAUCCUAAGAAUAUAGUAGGUAGUUGCUAUAAUUUUAUUUUCUCAAGCUUUACCUGAAAGCCAGUUAGCUGUGUAGCCUCCAGGAUACCAUGUCCUUUGGGGCUUCCGAGACCUCAUCUGUAAGCCAACGAAAGGAGACUUGAUCUCAAAAGCCCCUUCUAGCUCUUAACUAAUAUGUAUAUACAUGGAUAUUUUGUGUGUGUGUAUAAACAUAUAAAAUUGGUAUUCCCUGCCUUUACGCAAACAUGAAAUAGGCAUAAGUAGCUAUAUUACCCAGAUAAAGACCUUGAGUGCUUGGGAAUAAUAUUUAAAGUGAAUGAGCUAUGUUGGAAAAAUAAAAAUCAAGUCAUGAGGAAUGUGUGAGCUGAUGUACAUUUCAGAGCUCAAAGGUAAUUUCAUUGUAUUUUAUUAUCAUCUGUCAAACUUAAAGCAAUAGUGAGACUAGAAAAUAGAUUGUCACAGAGGUUUCUGAGGACAGUGGUUUCCAUGACUUGGUGUAAAUAUAUUCAGAGAGACUUGUUCCUACUUAAUAACUCACGUUUUUCCUCCUGAAUUGCUGAUGUGUUCACUUACAGCAUUUGAAAGGCAGCUUGUCCUUUGCUGUCAAGUGAACUUGAUAGAAUAAUAGAAAAUUCUGAAAAAUUCAAUCAGAUCUUGUUGCUCCUCAAGGGAAUUGCUUGACUGCAUAUUCUGUUUAAGGAGAAAGAGUCAACAGCGUUUCUUUGGUCUUGUACAAAACGCUGACCAAGUUUAACAGCACAGGUUCUAGUUAGCAAGUGCCACAUGGAGUUUUCCCUUUUCAGCAUUCCAGAGGAUGGUGCUGAUGGAGUUUGGGGGUCCUUCAGCAGGUGAAAGAAAUACUUAAGGAUAUACUACAACACUGAAAUGUUAUGAAAUCAGAGGCGGUAAUCAUCAGCUUGUUUAUUGCUUAGAGCAUUCUCAUCAAUUAAAGACCUAAAAACAAAACAAAAGAGUGGUGCACAUAGUUUCUCUCAAUCGGACUGUACAAUAGCUUGCACUGUCUUUUAUGUAACUGGCUAUUAAAGAGUCCAGGAAGAUAGAUACUCUCUAAUAUUGGCGAUUCUGAUGAUACACCCCAGUGGGACUAUUUGACUCAAUUCAGCUGUCACUUAAUUGAAAAUUACUAUGUAAGUUGCAGGGAAUGUGCUUGAAGUCAGAGGGACAAAGAAAGGUUCAAGUUACUAUCUCCCUAUCUCUUUAAGCUCUGGUCUCCACAUCUAUUAACUGAGAAUAAAAUGUUCCUACUUCAGAAGACUGUACUGAGAAUUAAUGUUGGAAAUAAUCAUAAGGGCUAAUAGUCACUGAGCACUUAUGACCUGCCAGGUGUCAUUCCCAGAACUUGGAUCAUUUAGGUCUCCAUAAAUCUGAGCCUACGUACUGUUAUUAGUUCCAAGUUAUGGAUGUGGGAAUGGACCCCAGAGAGAACUUAACUCACCAGACAUUAUGUAGUCUGGCUCCAGUUGCCUCUUUAAGGCUUUAAAAACACUUGAUAUUGUUCCUAGCAUUUCAAAUGAGUUGAGCCAUGUGAAAUUACAGACACUUGACCAUUUUUUCCCUAUAAACCUAGCAAUUUCAGGGGCACCUAAGUAGCUUAGUCAGUUAAAUGUAUGACUCUUGAUUUUGGCUCACGUCAUGAUCUCACAGUUUGUGAGAUUGAGCCCCACAUCGGGCUCUGCACUGAUGGUGCAGAGCCUGCUUGGGAUUCUCUCUCUGCCCCUACCCACUUACUUUCUUUCUCUCUCUCAAAAUAUAUAAAUAAACCAAAAGCGUUUUUAAAUAGCAACUUCAUGUGGUUCUACCUUAUAAACAUUGAAUAUGGAUUUAUAGUAGCUGCAGCUAUUACUGCUAAUGAUGGUAGAAAUGAUACAGAUUUUAUCUUUGAAACUCAUUAAUAUAAGGAAUGCACUAUAUGAUACUGUAUGAUACUGUAUGAAUGAUACUGUAAAGACCACUGGCUUGGUAGUCAGGAACUGGGUAAAAAUCUAGGUCUCAGUUUACCCAUUAUUUCUAAAAUAAUGGUGUUGAUCUUCUCUAGCUCUAUUAUCAAUGACAGAGCUUUUAAAAUUACAUGUUAAAAAAAAGGAUCUUUUUUUGGUUUAAUUCAUUUCCAAUAACUAGUUCUACCAUGAACGAUUAGUAUAUAGUUCAUGUCAUAGCAAGGCAAGUUUACUGCACGUUUAGAUAAUAUAGUAGAGUCAAAUCAUACCCAUUUCUAAACACAUAUUAAUUUCUGUAUUUAACUUCUAAAUCAUUAAUAAACAGUUAAUACAUUGGCACUGGUUCAUGAACUAUGCUUUGAGUAACAUUAGAACUCUGAUAAAUAAAUACAUUCCUAAAAGAAAGUGUGUGUGUGUCCCCUUCCCUUUAAAAAUAUAUAUUCUUUGGAGAUUACAAAUGAAUAUUUUAAAACAUUAGGAAUUUUUAAAAGAAAGGCCACAGAAGUGUGAUACAAAUUUUACUCAGGGAAUUUGGAUAAGAUAGAGAAAAGAAACCCAUGUGUUCCUUGGUCUAUUAGUAUAUUUAUAUUUAAUUUUUUUUGUUUAAAAAUAGUUAACCUCCUUGCAUGUUGUCAUGUUUGAAGCACUAGGAAAUUAGAGCUAAAGGAGAUGUGUCCCUACCCUCCAGAUGCUCACAGUCUAGGAUAGUAGAUUGUAGGAUAGUAGAUAAUGCUCUAAAGGAAGACAAAGGAAAAAGUAUUUAAUUUGGCUCAGGCAUCAGAAGGGGCUUCACCCCUAACGUAUAAUUUUCUGUAUUUUGUUGUUGAGAAUAUUUUUUCUUUGCUAAAUUUUUUUUAUUUAUAAUUCACACACAAGAACAGUAGACUAAUCUUGAGUAUAGAUUGAUGAAUUAUAACAAAAUGAACACAUGAGUGUAUAUAGUUAUAUAUAGUUCAAGAAACCACCACAUGAUUAAAAUUUUUUUUUGAAUUUUUUUUAGCUUCCCAAUAGGUCCUGAUGUGCUCCUUCUCAAUCAUUCCUAUCUUCCUCUUCACAAAUGUAACCACCAUUCUCAUUUCUAAUACCAAGGAUUAAAUCUGUUAUUCAAUUCUACUUAUAAUUACAUCAAAAAGAAAAUAUCUAGGAAUAAAUUUAAACAAGGAAGUAAAAGACCUCUAUAAUGGAAUUUAUAAGACAUUAAUGAAAGAAAUUAAAGAUGACACAAAUGGAUAUUCCAUGCUCAUGGAAUUGUUGAAAUUUCUGUACUACUCAAAGCAAUCUACAUAUUCAGUGCAAUCCCUAUCAACAUCUCAGUGUCCUCUUUCACAAUAAUAAAACAAAUAAUCCUAGAAUUGUCUGGAACCACAAGAGAUCCAAAUAGCCAAAGCAGCCUUGAGAAACAAAAACAAAGCUAGAGGAUCAUGCUUCCUGAUUUCAAACUGUAUUAAAAAGCUAGAGUAAUUAAAAUGUAUUGUCCUAAAACACAUAGAUAGAUCAGUGGGACACAUUAGAGAGCCUAGAAAUAAACCCAUGCAUAUAUAGUCAAUUUAUGAAAAAGACAAGCAUACAAUGAGGACAGGACAAUCUCUUCAGUAAAUGAUGUUGGGAAAACUGGACAGCUGCAUGCAAAAUAAAACUUGACCACUAUCUUACCACUCACAAAAAUUAACUCAAAAUGGAUUAGAUGGAAGAAAACAUAGGCACAUAAGUUCCUUGACAUAGGUCUUGGAAAUAUAUUUUUUUAAGCUGAUACCAAAAGCAAAAGCAAUACAAUAAAAAAUAAACAAGGGGGGGCUACAUCAAACUAAAAAGCUUCUGCACAACAAAGGAAAUCAUUAACAAAAUGAAAAGACAACCUGCUGAAUGGGAGAAAAUAUUUGCAAAUUCUAUAUCUCAUAAGGGACUAAUAUUUAUAUAACAAGCUCAUACAACUCAAUAGCAAAAAAAAAAAUUCUGAUUUAAAAAUAUGCAGAAGGUCUGAAUAGACAUUUUUCCAAAGAAGAGACAUACAACAACAGUACAUGAAAAGAUACUCCACAUCCUUAAUCAUCAGGAAAAUGCAAAUCACAGCCAGGGUGAGAUAAUAUUUCACACCUGUUAGAGUGGCUUUUAUCAAAAAUACAAAUUACAAGUUUUGACAAGGAUAUGGAGAAAAGGGAACCCCCAUGCAAUUGAUAGAAAAGUAAAUGGAAAACAGUAUGGAGGGUCCUCAAAAUAUUAAAAAAAAAAAAAAGAACUACCACAUGAUCUAGCAAUUCCACUUCUGAGUUUUUAUCCAAAGAAAUAAAAUGCUACCUUGACUUUUCAAGUACCUCUAUGGUUCUUGCAACAUAAUUUACAAUAGAGAAAAUAAGGGAAAAAAUGUAAGCAUCCAUUGAUGGAUGAAUAGGUAAAGAAAUUGUGUAUAUAUACAAUGAGAUAUUAUUUAGCCAUUAAAAAAUGAAAUCUUGCCAUUAACAACAUGGGUAGACCUUGUAGGCAUUACGCUAAGUGAAAUAAGUCAGAGAAAGAAGUGCCAUAUGAUCUCUCUUAUAUGUAAAAUUUAAACAAAAAAAUAAGCUCCUAGAUACAGAUAACAGACUGAUGGUUAGGGGGCAGGGGUGAGGGGGGACAUAGUGAAAAAUAAAAAUAAAAUUUGUAUAUUAAAGUAGAAAUCCAAAUUAUAUUUGUAAUAUGGUAAAUUAAAACUGUGUUUAUGAGCUAUUCAUGGGGAAAAGCUAGAAAACUACCCAUGUAUUAAUAAGAGUUUUUCCUGGGUUGUAAAACAUCGAUGUUAUUAUUCUACUUUGAAGUAUUUUCCAUAUCUGCUAUAAUGAGCAUGUAUUACCCUCAUAAUGGGGAAAAACCAACAACUAGUAAAGUUUAUUUUAAAAGACUAGGCCUGGGUUGGGCUGUCAGAGACCUGCAAUGAUCUUUGGGGCUACCCUCUCUGAAAGGACAGUCCAUCAUUUUUCAGUCUCCAUAAUGACAUUUACUGAGUAUUGUCUUUGGGCAGAGGUUUAGAUGAGGGGCAGUGGUUCUGAUGGGGUGCUAGAAGGAUGCAAAGACAACCUCAUAAACAUGGAAGGCAAAGAGACAAUGCAGAACAAAUAUUGUAGACAUGGGGUCAAAGCCUGUAUCUGCUAUUUACCCCCUAAUGUGAACUAGGACAAUCCUUUGUCUCUUGGCUUACAGCUCUUCCUUGUUAGAAUGAGGAAUGUGGACUACAUGAUCACUGAGGAUUCUUCCAGUUCUAAAACUGUGCUGAGAUCCGUUUUUUUUCCCCAAGUUUAGAAAGGGAGACCUAACCAUAGGAUAUAGAUAGCAAAAUUAGGGGCCUGGAUGCUGGGUUUUUGAGUCAAUAAUGUUGGUAACACCUUGUUCUUAGUUUUUUCUCCUUAGAGUUGGAAAAAAAAAUACAUGCCUGUAUCUUUGCAAUAAUCAUAUGCAAAUGGAAUCACAUAGAUUCCCUUGUGUCUGUUUUUGUUCAAAGUGAUUUCAAAAAUCAUGGCUCCUUAACUGUGUGCCAAAGUAUCACACAGCACUGCAGGAUAUUUUUAAAUUUUAGAGAAAUAGUAAUAUUCAACAUCUGUCAGAAACUGGACAGAUAGCUUAUGGUAGUUCACAGUUUCAACAUUAGAUUGCACCAUGUUUCUUUUUGUGGGUCAUAGUUUUUUUCAGAAUUUAAGGGCAGUUGUGAUGAAAGGUAAAUACAUGCAAAAAAUCAAUGUGGAACAAAAAAUGAGGGUGGCAGUAUCCAAUCUGACUCUAAAAUUUCAGAAACUGUGCAAAGCCUAGAAGGCACACACAUCCCAUUAGUAGGUUAUUGUGGUUAUUUAAGAAUGAAAUAAAAACAUUAGUUUUUUUUUCCUUCCAAUUGUUGUGUACUUUUUAAACAUAGCCUCUAAGUUGUUAUGAUAUGAAUAUUUAUUAAGUUCCUGGGAGCUAACUACUUGAUAAUCAGAACUGUUAGGUAUUUGUUUUGGUGUAACAAUACUACAAAAAAUUCCUGAGACACUAAGGAACCUGAAAAAAUUGCUGUAUGAAAUCCAUUUCUAUUAUUGGUUUCCCAGUAUAUAUAAAAGUAAUGUAUACUUUACAUAGUCUAUAUAGUGUGCAAUAGCAUUAAGUCUAAAAAAAUACAUCCCUAAAUUCAAAAAUAUUUGAUUGCUAAAAAAUGCAAACCAUCAUCUGAGCUUUCAGCUAGUCCAUAAUCUUUUUGCUAGCGAAGGAUCCUGCCUCAGUGUUGAUGGCUGCUGUCUGAUCAGGGUCUUAGUUGCUAAAGUUUGUGAUGGCUGCAGCAUUUUCUUCAAAUAAGACAAUGAAGUUGGACACAUUGAUUGACUCUACCUUUCAUGAACAAUUUCUCUGUAGAAUGUAUUUCUCUUUGAUAGCAUUUUACCCACAGUAGAACUUCUUUCAAAAUUGGAAUCAAUCUUUUCAAAACCUGCUGCUGUUCUAUCAUGUAAGUUUAUGUAAAUAUUCUAAAUUAUUUGUUGUCAUUUCAACAGUCUCCACAUCUUCACCAGGGAUAGAUUCCAUUUCAAAAGACCGCUUUCUUUGCUCAUUUGUAAGAAGCAACCCCUCAUCCAUUCAUGGUUUAUCAUGAGAUUACAGCAAUUCAGUCACAUCUUCAGGCUCCACUUCUAGUUCUCUUGUUAUUUCCACUACAUCUGCAGUUAUUUCCUCCCCUGAAGUCUUGAACCCCUCAAAGUCAUCCAUGCAGAUUGGAAUCAACUUCUUCCAAACUCCUGUUCAUGUUGAUAUUUUGAUCUCUUCCCAUGUAUCAUGAAUGUUCUUAAUGGCACCUAAAAUGGUGAAUGCUUUCCAGAAGGUUUUCAAUUUACCAUGACCAGAUCCAUCAGAGGAAUUAUAUAUAAUAUUAUAGCUGUCUGGCAGCUACAGACUUUAUGAAAUGUAUUUCUCGAGUACUAAGACCUGAAAGUCAAUAUUACUACUGAUCUGUGGCCUGCAGAAUGGAUGUUGUGUUAGCAGGCAUGAAAACAACAUUCAUCUUUUUGUACAUCUCCAUCAGAGCUCUUGGGUGACCAGGUACAUUUUGAGUGAGCAGUAAUAUUUUGAAAGGAAUCUUUUUUUCUGAGCAAUAAGUCUCAACAGUAGGCUUAAAAUAUUAAGUAAACCAUGUUGUAAACAGAUGAGCUGUCAUCCAGGCUUUGUUGUUCCAUUUAUAGAGGAUGGGCAAAGUAGAUCUAGCAUAAUUCUUAAGGGACCUGGGAUUUUCAGAAUGGUAAGUGAGCAUUGGAUUCAACUUAGUUACCAGCUACAUUAGUCCCUAAGAAGAGAAUCAAUCUGUCCUUUGAAACUUAAAGCCAUGCAUUGACUUCUCUUUUCUGGCUCUGAAGUCCUAAAUGGCAUCUUCUUCCAACAGACGGCUGUUUUGUCUACACUGAAAAUCUGUUGUUUAAUGUAGCCACCUACAUUAAUCAUCUUAGCCAGUUCUACUAGAUAGCUUGCUUCAGCCUCUACAUCAGCACUUGCUGCUUCACCUUGACUUUUAUGUUAUGAAGAUAGCUUCUUUCCUUAAACAUCAUGAACCAACCUCUGCUAGCUUCAGACUUCUGCAGCUUCCUCACCUCUUGCAACAUUCAUAUAUUGAAGAGAGUUAGGGCCUUGCUCUGGAUUAGGCUUUGACUUAAGAGAAUGUUGUGGCUGGUUUGAUCUUCUAUCCAGACCACUAAAAUUUUAUCCAUAGCAGCAAUAAAGCUAUUGUGCUUUAUUUCUUUAAUCAUUCAUGUGUUCACAGAAGUAACACUUUUAAUUUUCUCCAAGAACUUUUCCUUUGCAGUCACAACUUGGUUACCUGUUUGGUGCAAGAGGUCUCUUUUAGGCUUAUCUCAGUUUACAACAUGCCUUCCUCCCUGAGCUUAAUCAUUUCUAGCUUUUGAUUUAAAGUGAGAGACUUGUUACUUCCUUUCAUUUGAACACUUAGAGGCCACUGUGGCCUAAUUAAUUGGCCUAAUUUCAAUAUUGCUGUGUCUCAGGCCCAAGUGAGGCCCAAGGUGAGGGAGAGAGAUGGAGGGGCUGUUCCUCAGUGGAGCAGUCGGAACACAUACAUUUAUUUAUCAAGUUCACUCUCUUACAUGAGAAUGCUCCGUGGAGCCCUAAAGCUAUUAUAAUGGUAACAUCAAAUAUCAUUGACCAUGGAUCACUGCAACAAAUAUUAAAAUUAUGAAAAAAAAAACAUGAAAAAAACACAACAUGAGCAAAUUCUGUUGGAAAAACGGUGUCAAUAAACUUUGCUCUACCCAGGGUUCUCACAAACCUUGAAUUUAUUAAACAACAAAAAGUACCCCAAAAAGAAGUAGGUAGGGCAUGCAAUCAAGAGAAGCACAGUAAAACAACAUACUCUUGAAUGUUGUGAAAACAAUCCUCCCACCUAACUGAUUAACACAUUAAUGACCAUGUGUGCAUGCCAUACACACACACACACACACACACACAUACAUAUUUAGGUGAGGACAUUUAAGUUCUACUCUUGGUAAAUUUCAUUUAUACAAUACAACGUUAUGUGCGUUGUAGUCACCAAGUUAUACAUUAGAAUAUCAGAUUAAUAUUUACCCAAUAGUUAAAAGUUUAUAUUCUUCACUAAAACUCUUUAUGUUCCCCAAAUUUUAGACCCUGGCAACCACUUUUCUACUAUCUAUUUCUAUGAAUUUGACUUUUUUUUUUUCUUUUUUAGAUUUCACAUAUGAGUGAUACCAUGCAGUAUUGAUAUUUCUCUGCUUGGAUUAUUUCAGUUAGCAUAAUGCCCUCAAGUUCUGUCCAUGUUGCCACAAAUAGGAAGAUUCCUUUUUUACCAUUACUGAUGGUAAUAUUCCAUUGUUUAUAUACCAUAUCUUUAUUCAUCUGUUGGUAGAUACUUAGGUUGUUUCCGUAUCUUGGCUAUUGUGAGUAAUGCUGAAAUGAACAUAAGAAUACAGAUACCUCUUUAAUAGCCUGUUUUUAUUUCCCUUGAAUAUAUACACAGAAGUGGGAUUGCUGGAUCAUCUGGUAGUUCUAUUUUUAAUUAUUUGAGGAACCUUUAUACUAUUUUCCAUAAUGGUUGUACCAAUUUACUUUUCUACCAACAGUGUGCAAGGUUUCAUUUUCUCCACAUCCUCACCAAUACUUGUUAUCUCUCGUCUUUUGAUAAUACUCAUUUUAAUAGGCGUGAGGUGAUAUCUUACUAUGAUUUUAAUUUGGAUUUCUCUGAUAAUUACUAAAGUUGAACUCCUUUUCAUGAACCUGUUGGCCAUUUGUAUGUCUUCUUUGGAUAAAUGUUUAUUCAGAUCCUCUGCAUAUUUCAAAAUCAGAUUGUUUGGUUUUUGCUUGUUUGCUUUUGUUUUUUGCUAUUGAGUUGCAUAAGAUCUUUAUAUGUUUAAUGUCUAACCCCAUUGAGAUAUAUGAUUUACAAAUAUUUUCUCCCUUUCCAUAGGUUGCCUUUCAUUUUGUAGGUGGCUUCUUUUGCUGUGCAGAGUUUUUUAGUUUGAUGUAGUUUCAUUUGCUUUUUUUUUUCUUCUGUUUCCUUUGCUUAUGUGUCAAAUCCAAAAAUUAUUGCCAAGACCGAUGUCAAGGAGCUUAACGCCUAUAUUUUCCUCUAGGAGUUUUAUGGUUUCAGGUCUCUGGUUCAAGUCUAAUCCAUUUUGAGUUAAUUUUUACAUAUGUUGUAAGACAGAGAUUAGCUUACAUUCUUUUCCAUGCAGCUGUCCAGUUUUCCUAGAAGCAAUUUUUGAAGGUAAAUUCUACCUUGUUAUAAAUUAAUUGAUCAUACAUGAAUAGGUUUGUGCCUGGGCUUUCUAUUCAUUUCCAUUAAUGUAUGUGCUUGUUUUUAUGUUAAUAACAUACUGAUUUAAUUAUGAAAGCUUUUGGGGAGCCUGGGUGGCUCAGUCGGUUAAGCAUUCGACUUCGGCUCAGGUCAUAAUCUCACGGUCCGUGAGUUCGAGCCCCGCGUCGGGCUCUGUGCUGACAGCUCAGAGCCUGGAGCCUGCUUCAGAUUCUGUGUCUCCCUCUCUCUCUGACCCUCCCCCGUUCAUGCUCUGUCUCACUCUGUCUCAAAAAUAAAUAAAACAUUAAAAUUUUUUUUUAAAUUAUGAAAGCUUUGUAAUUUGCUUUGAAAUCAGGAAGUGUGUUGUCCCCAGCUUUGUUAUUCUUGUUUAAGUUUAUUUUAGCUUCUUUGGGGCCUAUUGUGAUUCCAUUAACAUUUUAAGAAUUUGCCCUAUUUCUGUGAAGAAAGCCACUGGAAUUUUGAUAGAGAGUGCAUUGAAUCUAUAGAUAGCUUUAGAUAGUAUGGAUGUGCCAACAAUAUUAAUUCUUCCAGUCCAUGAAUGGAGGAUAUUUUUUCAUUUAUUUGUUUCUCCUUCAAUUUCUUUCAUCAGUGUCUUACAGGUUUCAGUGUAUAGAUCUUUGACUUCCUUGGUUAAAUUUAUUCCUAAGUAUUUUGCAAUUUGAUGCAAUUGUAAUGGGAUUGUUUCCUUAUUUUCUCUUUUUAAUAGUUCAUUGUUAGUGUGUAUAAUCACAACUGCCUUUUAUAAAUUGUGUCAUCCUGUAACUUUACUGAAUUUGUUUAUAGUUCUAACAGUUUUUUAGUGGAUUCUAUGGGGUUUUCUACAUAUAAAAUCAGGUCAUCAGCAAAUAGAAUUUUACUUCUUUCCAAUUUGGAUGACUUUUGUUUCUUUUUCUCACCUAAUUGUUCUGGCUAUAAUGUCUGAUACAAGUUGAAUAAAAGUGGUGGUAGUGGUGUCUUGCUCCUGACUGUAGAGGAAAAGCUGAAAGCUUUUAGAGUAUUCACUUUUUCACUCUUAUGUAUGACAUUAACUGUCAGCUUAUUAUGUAAAGCCUUGGUUAAGAAUUAUUAUCAUAAAUGGAUGUGGAAUUUGUCAAUCCUUCUUCUGCAUCUAAUGAAAUGAUCAUGUGGUUUUCACCCUUUAUUUUUUCAUGUGGUGUAUCACAUUGACUGAUUUUUGUAGAUGUUAAGCCAUCUUUGCAUCCCUGGAAUAAAUCCCACUUAAUCACAGUGUUAGGAUCCUUUUCAUGUGCUGUCAAAUUUAGUUUGCUAGUAUUUUUUGAGAAUAUUUGCAUUUAUGUUCAUCAAGGAUAUUGCCCCCUGUAAUUUCAUUUUCUUGUAGUGUCCUUGCCCGGUUUGGGGUCAGAGUAAUGUUGACAUUGUAAAAUGAAUUUGAAAGAGUUCCCUUUUCUCCUAAGUUUUGGGAGAGUUUGAGAAGGAGUACUAUUCUUUAAAUGUUUGGAAGGUUUCACCAAAAAAAAGCCAUCUGGUCCUGGACUUUCAUUUGUUGGUAGUUUUCUUGGGUAUUUGUUUGUUUGUUUUUCAUUAGUGAUUUAAUCUCCUCACUCUUAAACAAUCGAUUCAGAUUUUCCAUUUCUUCAGGAUUCAGCCUUGGUAAGAAUUUAUUUCUUCUAGGUUGUCCAAUUUGUUUGUGUAUAAUUUUUCAUGGUAGUCUCUUAUAAUCAUUUACAUUUGUGUGACCUCAGUUGUAAUGUCUCCUAUGUCAUUAGUUUUUUGAGUCCUCAAUCUUUUUUUUUUUUUUUUUUUUUGGUAAGAGAAAAGGUUUAAUUUUUGUUUAUCUUUUCAAAAAAUCAGCUUUUACUGUCAUGUAGUGAUUGUUUUGCCUUUUGUAGUCUUUGGCCAAAAGUAUAUUUUGCCUGAUAUAAGUACACAUACUUGUGAUUUCUUUUUGUUUCCAUUACAUUCAAUAUUUUUUUUCUAUUUCUUCACUUUAACUCUGUGUGUAUCCUUAAAACAGAGGUGAGUCUCUCAUAGGCAACAUAUAGAUGGGUCUUGAUUUUUUUUUUUAAUCAAUUCAACCACCAUGUCUUUUGAUUGGAGAAUUUAGUCCAUUUACUUUUAAAGUAAUAAGUAUGGACUUACUGUUAACAUUUUGUUAACUGCUUUCUGGCAUUUUUGUAAUUCUUCAUUCUUUUAUACUCUCCUUCAAUACUUGAUAAUUUUCUGUAAUAACAUACUUAGAUUCCUUUUUCUUCUUUCUCUUUUAUCUACUAUAGAUUUUUGCUUUGAUAACCAUGAGGCUGACAUAAAACGUCUUCUAUGUAUAACAGUCUAUUUUAAGCUGAUAACAACUUAACUUCAAAUGUAGAAUAAAGCUUUACAAUUAUACUCUCCUCCAUACAUUUUGAUGUCACUAUCUACAUCUUUUUAUCUUGUGUGUUCAUUGACAAUUUAUUCUAGUUAUAGUUGUUUUAAUAAUUGUUUUAACCUUCCUACUAAAAUUAUAAGUGAUUUACCCACCACCAUUACAACAUUGGAGUAUUCUGAAUUUUACUAUAUAUUUACCUUUACCAAUGAAAUUUAUACUUUUAUAUAUUUUCCUGUCACUAGUUACCAUCCUUUUAUUCCAGCUUAAAAAAGUUCAUUUAAAAAUUUUGUAAGGGCAUUCUAGUGGUAAUGAACUCCUUCAGCUUUUGCUUUUCUGGAAAAUUCUUUAUCUUUCCUUCCAUUAUGGGGAAAACUUCCAGGGAUAGUAUUUUUAGCUGGCAAUUUUUUUUUCCUUUCAGCAGUUUGAAUAUAUCAUGCCACUCCCUUCUGGCCUGCAAAGUUUCUGCUGAAAAAUCUGCUGACAGUCUUAUGAGGGUUCUCUUGCAUGUAAGAAUUACUUUUUUUAAUCUUGUUGUCUUUAACUUGGCAAUUUAAUUAUACUGUGUCUCAUUGUGGGUCUCCUUAGAUUCAUUUCAUUUGGAAUUCCGUGGACUUCUCAGAUUUGGAUGUCUGUUUCUUUACCCAAUUUAGGGAAGUUUUCAGCCACUAUUUCUUUGCAUAAGUUUCUGCCUCCCCGAUCUUCUCCUUCUGGGACCCCCUAUAAUGUCUACAUUAGCUACUUGAUGAUUUCCCAUAAGUCCCUUUGUUACCUGCCUUCUUUAUUCAUUUUUCUUUUUGCUGCUCUGAUUGGAUAAAGUACACUGCUCUGUUGUUCAGUUAGCCAAUUCUAUUCUGCUAUUGAAACUUUCUCUUGCAUUUUUCAGUUAAGUUGUUGUAUUAUUCAGCUCUGUGAUUUCUGUUUGACACUCUUAGAUUUUAUAUUUCUUUGUUGAAAUUCUCAUUUUUUUUAAUGCAUUGUUUCUUGACCUCAGCAUUUUUAUGACCAUUAUUUUGAACUCUUUAUCAGGUAAAUCACUUAUCUCAAUUUUAUUAAAAUCUGUUUCUGGAGUUUUAUCUUGUUUUUGUUUGUUUGUUUGGAACAUAUGCCUCUGUUUCUUCACUUUUCUUGACUGUGUUUGUUUCUGCACAUUAGAUAAAGCAACCACCUCUCCCAGUCUUGACAGAGCAGCAUCCUAUAGCAGAUAAUCAGCAUUCAGCCCAGCCAGUGUUUCUGGUUGUCUCUCAAAUCUUUGUGGUUGUUCAUGCCACCUUGUUUGUUCUUUGUGGCUCCCAGUAGUUGAGCGUGUGCCAAGACCUAUCUGUGCCCCAAAGGGAGAAUUACAAUCUGCAUUGAGAUGCAGGAUGAUUGAAAGCCAGACCCUCAUGCAGCAGUAUGUGUGAAAAAGUAUGUAUUUAGAGCCCUUUUGAGGAGGAACUGGGAUAUAGGCUUUUUUGCCUGCUCGCUCUGUGUUGGGUCUGAGCAUAUACCCAUCAGGGCUGCUCCUGAACCUGUUAAUAACUGCUUCUUUAUUUUCUAAAAUUCUGUAGGUUUUGCUAAUGCAAGCCCCUUUGGUUAUUAGAGCCAGAUGAUCCUAAGUUCAUCCCUUGGGUAGCACCACAAAAUCUGGGGCACUAGAUGAAUGUACAUGCUCCAUCCAGGGUGUUACUGGUAACUGGAAAAUGUCAGUAAGGGUAUCCUUGAACUUUCUUGUCAUUGAUAGAAGAUAACAGUCAGCUCCUAGAUGUAUGUUGAAUUAGAAGCCUGAUGUUCAGAAAGCAUCUUUUAAAGUAUACAAAUAAGGAUUUUUCAGGAUAAGUCUGAGACAUGGGUGAUUCUGACUUUACUCUCUGCCCUGAGUCCUGGGAGGAUAGCCUGGUAAGCAUGGUUUCCUUGUUUGCUAUAGUCUUGUGGAACUCGUGAAUGCAGGCCCCAUUACCUAUCAGAGCCAGACAAUCUAGGAGUAUAUACGUUGGGUAACAGCCACAAUAGCUGGGGCACCAGACGUGUGUAGAAGCUCAUUCUAGGAAGAUACUGGAAAAUUGGAGUGGGCUGAAGUGAGGAGGUGAAGAUGGCAUCUGCUAGCUGCCCCAGUCUCCAAGGAGGAUCAUAAUCAACCCUUUAAAUGCAUGUUAAAUUAGAAGCCUGACCCUUAGGGUGCCUGGGUAUCUGACUCUUGAUUUUGGCUCAGGUCAUGAUCUCAUGGUUCAUGGGAUCAAGCCCCACAUGAGGCUCCACACUGUCAGCAUCGAUCCUGCUUAGGAUUCUCUCUCUGCCUCACUCUCUGCCCCUCCCCUGCUUGUUCAUUCCCCUGCCCCCCCCCUCAAAAUAAAUAAAAUGUUAAAAAAAUAGAAGGCUGACCCCCAAGCAGCAGCAUAAAAGUAUGCAAAUAGGUCUCUUCCAAGGAGAGACUGAGAGAUGAGAGUUUUUUCCUGUUCCCUGUCUACUGAGCCUUGGAAGAUAGCUCCACUGAGUCUACACAAGCCCCUUAUGAACUAUUUGUUUGCUAUAGUCUUGUGUGUCUUGUGGACACUAGCCCUUUAGCUUUCAGAGCUAGGUGUUUUGGGGGCCCAUCCCAAGUGGGAUUCUUAAAAGUUGGGGCACUAAAUAUGGUGUUCAAACCUUUUGCUCCUCAGGGAGAGGUUGGGACUUUCCUCUCAAUUAUAUAGUACCAUGCCAGAGAUCAGGUUUAUGUCAAGCCUGUGUUUGUCCUUCCCAGCCAUUUUGAUAUGGGUGAAAUAGCUAUUUUUUCUUCUUUACCUUGAUGUAUAGGAGCUGCUCAGCUACUUUAUAGAUUGCUUCCACAGGGAAUUGCUCCAUAAGUAGCUGUAGAUUCAGUAGUUUAUGGAAAGAGAAGAGUUCACAAGGUUUCUAUGUGACAAACUUGGACCAGACUUCCAAUAAUAGUGUUUUCUUUCUUUCUCUCAUUUCAUAUAAGGUGUCUAUCUGGUUUGAAUAUCAAGGCAGUGCUAGCCAUAUAAAGUAAAUUGGGAAUUGUUUCCUAUUUUUCUACAUUUUGGAACACUUUGAAUAAAAUCAGUGCUAUUUAUUCCUUAAAUUUUAGAAGAAAUCAGCAGUAAAGCUACAUGGUCCUCAAAGUUUCUUGUGGGAAUGUUUUAAAUAAUGAAUUCAAUUGUUUAAUAGAUAUAGGGCUAUUCACAUUUUCUUCUGUUUCUUAUAUCAAUUAUAGGUUUUAUUUUAUAGGAGUGUGUCCACAUCAUCUAAAUUUUUAAUUUUAUUGAUAUAAAGUUGCUCAUAAUAUCUUUGAAUAGUAUUUUCUUGUCAGAUGCAUCUUUAAUAAUAUUCCUUUAAUUCUCUUCAUGUUAUUGGUUAUUUGUGUCUUCUCUUUUUCUUGAUGAGUCUUUCCAGGGGGUUAUUGCUUUUUGUAGUUUUUUCUUAGUUGUACCUUUUGAAUUUUUAAAAUUCUGUAAAUUUUUUAAGUUUAUUAACUUUGUUCCAUUUACAUUUUUUGAGUUACAUUGCUUUUCUCCCCUUUAUCUCUUUGUGAAAGAUAUUUAGAUAGUUGUUUUUAGCUUUUUUUCCUAAUAUAUUCAUCUGUGUUCAUAAUUUCCCUCUAAGCAUGGAUUUAGCUACAUCUACAAAUUUUGAUAUGCUAUAUUCAUUAUUCAGUUCAGAAUGUUUUCUAAACCUCCAUUAUGAUUUCUUCUUUGUCCCAUCGGCUAUUUAUCAGUUUAUUGCUUAGUUUUCAGCUUGGGAGAAAGUAUUUUAUAGUCAUAUUUCUGUUACUUCUUUCUAGCUCACAUCCAUUGAGGUCUGAGAACAUCCUCUCUCUGAUUUUUAUCGUUUUAAAUUUGUUGAGACUUGCUUCACGGCCAGUAUGGGGUUCAUUUUGGUAAAAUGUUUUGCAUGCACUUGAAAUUCUAUAUUGGACUAAGAGUAUAUGAUCAAAUACUCUGUUCAUAAAUUCAUUAGAAUAGUUCUGUUCCCUUUUAGUGUGAUUAUAUUAUUUAUUAUAAAUGUAGUUCAUUUGUUUAUAAUUUGCUUUCAGUUUUAACUUUUCCUAUUUUUGAGUAUACUCAGAAAAGUAUCACUGCCUCCUGCAUUUCGUCUGUUCCCUUUCCCCUACACCAUGUAGGUAACCAACAUUAUUGUUUCCUGAUUUAUUCUUUUUGUGUGUUUUUUAAGAUAAGUAGGUAUACAUAUGUUCUCUUAUUUCCUCUUAUUUCUUUUAUACAGUAUUGCCUUUAAGCUCUUUUGCAACUUCCCUUUUUCACUUAACAAUACCUCCCAAAUAUCACAUCAGUUCAUAGAUAUUUUUCUCAUUCUUUGUUUACAGCUGUAUAAUAGUCCAUUGAAUAUAAGGGUCAUAAUCUAAUUAAUCUCCUAUAAGUACAGGGCGUUUAAAUAGUUUCCUAAAAAUAAUACUGAAAGUAGUAGUUCUUUGUGUAUAUAUUUUUUUGUACUGUUGGUAGUGUAUCUUCGGGGUACAUUCCUAUAAGUGAUACUGCAGAGUUGAAGGAUAGAUUUUUUAUUAACUGGUACCAAAUUCCCCUCCAUAGGAUUUGCAUUUCUACCUUUUUUUCAUUUCUAUUAGAAAUGUAUGAGAGUACUUGAUUUUCCACAGCCAUGGGAACAAAAAGUAUUCUUAAGUUUUUGAAUUUUUGCCAAUCUGAUGAGAUAUAGUAUCUCAAUAAAUUUUAAAUUGCAUUUGUCUUAAUAUAAAUUAAGUUGAAUAUCUUAAGUUCAAGGCUCAUGUUUAUAUCUUCUUCUAAAUUAAAUCUUCAUGUCUUCAUCCUGUUUUUCUGGAGUAUUUAUAAUAUUUUUAAAUUUUUUUUAAUGUUUAUUUUUGAGACAGAGAGACAGAGUGCAAGCAAGGGAAGGCAGAGAGAGAGGGAGACACAGAAUCUGAAGCAGGCUUCAGGCUCUGAGCUGUCUCAGAGGCCCACGUGGGGCUUGAACUCACAAACAGUGAGAUCAUGACCUGAGCCAAAGUCGGACACUUAAACGAAUGAGCCACCCAGGUGCCCCUAUAAUUUUCUUUUUUUUAACUGAAAUAUAGUUGACAUAAAUUAUUAAAUUACUUCAAUUAUGGGAGAUAGUGAUUUAACAUUUAUGUAGACAUUACAAAAUUAUUACCAUAGUAAGUCUAGUUACCAUUAGCCACCAUAUAUAGUUAUUACAAUAUUAUUAACUGUAUUCCCUAUGCUGUACUUUACAUCUCUGUGACUUAACUCAUUUUAUAACUAGAAGUUUGUAUCUUUUAAUUCCCUUCAUCCAGUUCACCCUUCCCCCCUAGCUUCAUCCUCUCUGGCAACCUCCAGUUUCCUCUCUGUAUUUGUGAAUCUGUUUCUAUUUUGCUUUGUUUGUUCAUUAUUUUGUUUAUUAGAUUCCACAUAUAAAUGAGAUCACAUGGUAUUUUUCUUUCUCUGGCUUACUUUGCUUAGCGUAAUACCCUCUAGGUCCAUCCAUUUCAAUAAAAAGAUUUCAGUCUUUUUUAUGGCUGAGUAAUAGUCUCUUGUAUAUGUAUAUACAACGUCUUUAUCCAUUCAUCUAUUGAUAAAAACUGAGUUUGCCUUCAGCUCUUAGCUAUGGCAAAUAAUGGUGCAAUAAACAUAGGGUGCAUAUGUGUUUUCAAAUUAGUGUUUUAAUUUUCCUUGGGCAAAUACCCAGUGGUGGAAUUAUUGAAUCAUAUGGUAUUUCUUUUUUGAGGAAAUGUCAUACUGUUUUCCACAGAGGCUGCACCAAUAUACAUUCCAACCAAAAAUCCAUGAGAAUUUCUUUUUCUCCACAUCCUAAGCAAGAAUUGUUAUUUCUUAUCUUCUUGAUACAAGCCAUUCUGGCUGAUGAAAAGUAGUAAUUCACUGUAAUUUUGAUUUGCAUUUCCCCAAUGAUUAGUGAUGCUUAGUAGCUUUUUAUUUACCUGCUGGCCAUCUGUGUGUUUUCUUUGGGAAAAUGUCUACCAAGGUCCUCCACCCAUUUAAUAAUCAACUUUUUAUUUUUUAUUUAUUUUUUAAAUUUUUUUAGUGUUUAUUUUUGAACGACAGACAGAGAGAGACAGAGCACAACAGGUGGAGGGGCAGAGAGAGAAGGAGUCACAGAGUCUGAAGCAGGCUCUAGGCUCUGAGCUAUCAACACAGAGCCUAACGUGGGGCUUGAACUCAGGGAGUGUAAGAUCAUGACCUGAGCUGAAGUCAGAUGCUUAACCGGCUGAGUCACCCAGGCACCCCAAUAAUCAAUUUUUUGGAGGGGGGAGUUGAGUUAUAGGAGUUCUUUAUAUAUUGUAGAUAUUAACCCCUCAUAAGAUAUAUAAUUUUCAAAUACCUUCUCCCAUUCAAUAGCUUGCUUUUUUGUUUUGUUGACAGUUUCCUUCACUGUGCAAAAGCUUUUUAAUUUGAUGUGGUCCAAUAGUUUGUCUGCUUUUGUUCCCCUUGCCUUAUGAGACCUAUCUAGAAAAAUGUUGCUAUAGCCAAUGUCAAAGAAAUUACUGCCUAUGUUCUCUUCUAAGAGUUUUACAAUUUCAGGUCUCAAAUUUAGAUCAUUCAUUUUGUGUUUAUUCUAGCAUUUGGUAUUGGAAAGUGGUCUAGUCUUAUUCUUUUGCCAUAUAAUUGUCCAGUUCUCCCAGCACCAUUUAUUGAAGAGACUGUCCUUUCCUCAUUGCAUAUUCUUGCCUCCUUUGUCAUAGAUUAAUUGACCAUAUAAACCAUCUAUGUCUUGUUUUGAUAGUAUAUAUGGGCCUCUUUUCUUAUGUUUCCUAGACCAUUCUAACAGGAAUAUAGGAUAAGUGUCCAUUUGUACCCACAAGUAAAACUGUACCAUAUGAGAACCCCCAGACUGGAAGUGUAGCACCAGCUGUCCCAUGCAGUUUUCCAACUUCAUGCUACAUAAAUCAGAGAAGAGAGUCAUCAUGAAUUGAUGAGGUAUAGCAUAGUAACCUGGGGCUUUAAAAUUUGUGCCAGAUGAGAAAGCAAUUGGAAUAGACUUCUAAGUACUAACUUAAUCUUGUAGUUUUGGCAAAAGUUUAUUAGUGAGAGAUAGCCCAAUCCCAAAUGGUGCCUACAAUCUGUGGCUCAAUUGUAGAAUCCUGGUGUGAAAGAAUUGGGUUCUGAUAACUUUGUUCAAACUUCUAUGAGAUAAUGAAUACCUUUAUAAACAGAAAUGGUUAUUAUAUCCUGGUUAGCUAAUGAUAAGUACAGGAAUAUCUCCAGGGCAAGAAUGGGAUGGAGAAUGGAUCCUGAGGAAAUAAUUCUAAAAACAGUUCUGCAGGGCUAAGAGAUAAGCCAGAUGGUAUAUAUUUGAAAAAUGGGGGAGAACAAAUUAUAGCUAUUUACAUUUCUACUCUGAAAGCAAUGCCUGUAUUUUCUGUAGUAUAGCUUCUUUGUUAAGGACUAUUAACUUGAGAGGGGAGAACUACCACCAAAUGAUAUUUUAAUGGCCAGAAUAAAAAAAUGUGUUACUUUUGCUGUGAUUUCAUGGAAAAAAAAUAUCUUGGUAAGAAACAUUUAUCAUAUUUUAUAAGCUCUGUUGGGUCUUUAUCAUGAAAUAAAAGACUAACAUUUUAGGAAGAGAAACACUAACAUGGCUUUCCCUUUUGGAAACUAUUCAACUCAACAAAUGUUCAAUAAGCUUUUGCUAUAUCCAUGGCACUGUACAAAGGUACUAAGGGAAUAUCAAGAGGGAUGAAAUAUAUCCCUUGACCUCAAAUAAUUUUUAAAUUUUUAUGAAGAAUAUUCUAGUAAUUAAAACUUCUCUUUUAUAUAGAGAUAAUAACUAUAUAUAAAUAACCCACCUCACCUACAUUUAUAGUACCUAAUAUCUUUUAUCUCUGCUUUAAAUGGACCUUUCUAGUUGAAAAAAGAAAAUCCCACAAAACUCUUUCUUAGAACAGCUAAACAACUUGCAACAUUAGACAAAUGUAAUCAGCAUUGAUGAGAAAAGAUGAUGGACUGACUGAUGAGGUGGAAAGACUUUUGAUUGCCUGGAAAUAAGUUAAGAUAGUGAAUCCAUACGCCUAGAAGCCAAACAGUGAUUUUUCCAUAGGGUUGUUGUACUGGAAACCUCUUAAGAAAAAGAAAAGUGAGACAUUAAAGGAAGACACAUGCAGCUUUUGCCAGGAGAUAUUUGAUAACCCCAGGAUGAGAAUAUUGACAUAAUCUCAUAGUACAGGGUGAAGCUGCAAGGAAUGAUGGCACUAUGCAAUACAAGAAGGAGGAGAAAAUAGUGGACAGAGGUAGAAUAUGAAGGAAGAAUCCUGGGAGGAGGUGGCAUUUAGUGUCAGCCUUGAAGGAUAUAGAUGGGCCCAGUGCCUGAGAAAGAAUUACUCAUUCAGAGGAAUCACAGUGACCAAACAUAUGAAACCUUGAAUUUUCUAGGAAUUUUGUUGGGGGAAAAAAUAAUUUUUAUAUUCAGUACAGAAAAGCUGAGUAAACAAAAAUAGUUUGCAAUUAGUCCACAGAGGGUGUUCAUUUGAACUUUAUUUAGUAAGCAACGAAGAAUAAUGCAUCGAGAUCAGGGCUUUAGAAAGGUAACAAUGGAGGAACAAUGUAAAGGUAAAUAGAGUACUUAUGACAGUAGUGCAGACAGAGAAUAGAAGCACAAGGACUCCAUCUCAUUUUGUCUUUUACAAAUAACUAGAAUAUUAUUGAGCACAUGGCAGGCAUUCCACAAAUAUUUUAUUCACUCAGCAAUUGACUAUAGCAUGUCUAUCACAUAUACACAUCUGUGGAAGCUAGAGAAAUGAAGAAAUGUUCCAUUGUUCACAAGAUACUUUGAGGGUCAUCCAAGGUUCAGAUGUCCAACUAUUUUAGAAAUGUUCACAUUCCACACUCAAGGAUGUCAGUAGUCAGGACCAAACGUUAAGAAUAAGCUAUACACUCCCCACCCCUCCAAAAAAAGAAUAAGCCAUACAAACGAUUAUAAAUUGCAUGAAACAAGCAAACAAACUUAACUCUCUUACUUCUCCAUAUGGCCUUUUUGUUUUAUUUCCACUGAAACUGAAAUUCUAUCUAAGCAACCAAAAAUGGAAAAUACCAGAUUUGACUACAGGGGGCAAUCAGAAACCCUAUGGAGGACUUGUAUAUUUCCAAUGCAUGAAGAAAAAUCCCCACCUAGAAGGCAAAUAUCCUAAGCCAAUGUCCAAUUUUUUUUAGACAUUAUUCAAACAUAUAGCAUAGGCAAAUAGCUAUUUGGAAUCAGGAAGAGGAAAAUACAUUUUGUUUGAAAAUGGUGUGGUGAUAUUUAUCUUCACAAUGCUUUAUACGCCCCAUGCUUGUCUUCAUUCUUAACCUCUGAGGAGAGAAAUAAACUGGAUUCAAGCCAGUGGAUCAAGAUCCAAAUGUGGCACAUAAGCUUAUUCCUGAUGGAGGUAGGAGGUCCCAAAGAACAGCAUGUUCUGUAAAACCUUGGGCAGCAGAGAGAGAUGACCAUAUGCUCCUCUUGCCAUUUCUUCUUGUCAUUUUAUACUCCCCUUCCCCCUACAGGUGACUGAUAAGCAAAAGAUUAACAUUCCUUCCAACAAAAAACCACCACAAGCUAUAUAUCUCAGCUUAUUCUUCAGCAAGAACAGUCUAUUUCUAAGCCAAUGUUUGAAAUUUGAAGUGACAGUUCAACCCAAUAAUUUUAUUCCCCUCUAUCUCAUUCUUAAAUUAUUUUUUUGCCAUAUCUUAAUCCACACUGUAAGAAACAGAACUAUCUUAGAAUGAAAAAAAAAAUAUCCUGAGGAAUUAUGUCUCCUUCAGCUCUACAACAUUUCUUUUGGAUAUUCUCCCACUACGUGUUCAGAGGGACUUUGCAACUCAUCUGUAUCUCAGUAAUCUGUAAUCUCAGCUUUCACUUCUUUAAAAACAAAAAACACUUGAUUUUCAGUUUUUGGGAAACACACAAAAUCUUAUAAGGAACUUGGAAGUGGGAGUCUUGAAUGAGGCAGGUACAAAUUUCUGGUCAAGGGAUGCAUGAGAUACAUGCAGACCAACCUUGUUCUGGCCAUUACUGUUACUGAGAAGGAUUGAGGAUUCAUAGUCUUCCAGAUUCUCAGUCCUCAAGGAAAUAUAGGAACAUAAUAACUAAUUCAUGAGUGAGCUAGAAAACAUGUAUAAAAGAUCUAAAAUGUAUAUUACAAGAAUCAUGACUAAAGAGUUUCUCUGCUUGAUGAGAACUUAUAGGUGAGUGUCUGGAAGCAUGUUGAAAGUUAGAAUAUGCAUCAUUUACAUCCCCUGAUUAUGGUUUUAUCUCAUUAAAUUUUAAGCACCAUUCACCCUAUUGAUACACCUCUCUAUUUUUUCAGUUUUAUCCAUAUUUUAACUCUACCAAUAGUAUCUUACAAAGAAUGUUGCUGUGAAAAGGCAACAACUUCCUGUAAUGAAUCAAAUAUAUAUUUUUAAUUGAUGAAUCAAAUACAUAUUUUAAUAAUCAACAUUUAUUGGUUGCUGCCAUAUCCAGCCCAGGACUGAACUUGACCACCCUAGACAGAAUGCCCGUUACUCUAUAACAGCAUUAUGCCCAUAACUGCAAAAGAAUCUGCUAUAGCUCCUUGAAAAGACAGAAGUAAAAAGUGUCUUCCCAAAGAAAACAAUGCUUCUCUCUCCUCUAGGGACAACUGUUUGUCCUGGACUCAUACUGUUGGGAUUGAAAAGUCUGCUUUCUACAUACAGACUUUCAGAAGUACCAUUGGUGUGGUCACCAUUUUAAUGUCUAAAUGUCCAUCUGAAGAACUUCAUUGAAUUAUUGCUUCCAUGUAUGAUAGAAACGUUAUUGCCAGUAAACUUCAGAAUGUGCAUAGAUCUAUACCAAAGUUUUUCCAUAGAGUUGGUAUUUCCUUCUAAAGUAUUUGAAUUACACUUUAACCAUUGUACAUGUAAACAUCUGGAAUUUGUUUCUAACCUCCUUUAAAAUUCAAUACAUGUCUUCUCACUGUUAAAAUAUAAAUGACACAAAAUCACACAACAUAAAAAAUAUGGUUCUUUUUUAUAGCUUUCAUUCUUAGUUAAAAUUCUCCAUCUCUUCAUAAACUUCCCACUUUCUUCCACUAGAUUCCUUAGCAUAUAGAUCAGUUAAAGUCUCUCUUCUAAUUCCAACACUGGAUUCCUUAUAUUGACUAUUUUUUCUCUUGAUUAUGAGUCACCUUUUCAUGCCUCUUUGACCGCCUCAUAAUUUUUGGUUGUAUGCUGGACAUUGUAUAUAAAAAGAACCAUAGAAUAAAAUACAACUCCUUGAAAAGAGUAUUUCCCUUUCCAUUCAGACUGCUAAUGUGGAAAUUUAAGUCCAUCUAAUAAUCUAACCUGCAACUGAGCUGGUUCUGGGAAUUGUUGCAAUUUUAGUUAAAUUCAGUUCACUAUUGGCUUCAACGGAUUUAAUGGCAGGAUCAGAGUUUUCCCUUCAUCAGGGUUUGGGAUCUCAUUACUAUUGAGAAUUUUGAGAACUUGCUAUCCUCUACAAUUAAGUUUCUAGCUCCCCAAAUGGUGUGAGGUCUGUCUCUUUUUUUAUGAUAUAGCCAUCAGCUUCUUAGUUUUUUCUGCUUUAUUCAAUCUCUCCAUCAUACUACUCUGACACCAGCUAUCAGAAAAUUCCUGCUUUAUAAAAAAAAAAAAAAAAGAUGGGUACCUUGCCUUACAUUUGGUGAAGGCCCAUUCCCAUAAAGGAAAUUCUAUCAUAUCUCCUGGCCUACCACUUGUUUUGGCACUCAAAUCCUGUGCACUUUAUAAAGGUGCUGUGGAAAAGGAGUGGCAUGUGAGCGAAUUCUUGCUUUGGUUUGCAUUGUUCAGGAUUCUAAUUUGUCAUGCCAGCCCACACCUGACCGCUUGGCCUUGAAAAUAAUUGUUAUAAAUUGGUCUUGGUUCUCACUAAAUCUAUUUAUGCCAGCUUUGAGCCUCUGUCUGCCAUUCCUUCAGGGAUGUAAAAAGUUGUGGCAUUCUCCCCUAGGAGUAGCUCAUCCCUUUAGGUUUAUUUCAUUUAGGUUUCUUUAUAUCCUCUGCUCUAUGAAUAAUUUUUUAAUAUGAUUUUGUGGUAGAUUUAGCUUUAUAUUAUUGUCAGGGUGCAGUCUCUUACAACAUUCUAUGUUAUAACUGGAAGAAGAAAUAAUACAGUGAAAAUUGAAAAUCUUGCUCCCUACAUACAUCCAUAAACACAGUUUAUUUGUGUGUGUGUGUGUGUGUGUGUGACUUUACAAUAAGUAUGUAAAAUAAAUAUAUAACCUGCUAUGCAUUCCUUCUACACCUUCCUUUUUUUCCCAACAAUGUAUUGAGUGUGUAUUUCCCUGUCAACACAGGUAAAGCUACCACAUUCUUUGAACAUUUGUAUAGUAUUCCAUAAUAUCCUAGCGAUUUCUUACCGAUGGACCUUUAGUCAUUAAGUGUUUUUACAUUAUAAAUAACACUUCCAGGAAUAAUCUUACAAAGGUAGGCAAAUUUUUAUAUUUCUAAGAUUGAAUACUGAGCAGUAAAGUAGCUAGUUUGAAGGUAUUUACUUCCUUUAAAAUAUAACAUUAAAUACACUUGAAUCUUUUCAUAAAACUGUGGCAUCAUUAUGGUAUCACUAUGCUGUUGGGAUGCCCUGACCACCUGUUGACAAGUGUUGAGCUAUUUAACCCCUUGUAUAAAGGCCUGACAGCAGAGUAACCAAAAGUAGAUUCUUUGGAAUGCUAGUGCCAUGAAUAUUCCAUAAAAAGGGGUUCAGUAGCCAAGUUAGAUUGGGAACCCCUAUAUACUAUGUCCACACAUCCUCCUUAGAGGUCUUGAAUAUACUUCAACAUAAUAAAGACUUUGUGAAUCCAUGCAAAAGAGUAAUCUAUCUUGCUUUAUUUAUCCCAGUGUUUUCCAUACCUUUUGAUCAAGAAACUCUUUCAUUGCUUAUUAUGUGUUGACACCCUAUAGAAAGAACAUAAUUUGGGAAAUGCUGCUCCAAUUUCUUUAAUAAAUAAAAACAGUCCCGUUUCUCCUCUCUCUUCACUUGUGGUUAGGCUUUCAGCACUUUCACAAUGAGUUGUGCUUUUCUUCUAAUAUGUAAGUCUCCUAGUCCAGAAAGUCCAUUCCCUCUUAGAAAUGAGGAACCAUCUCUAAGACAUGGGGAACCAUCUCUAAGAGGUAGAAUUGUUUGUGAACUGGGGUACCUGGGUGACUCAGUCAGUUAAACAUCCAACUUCAGCUCAGGUCAUGAUCUCACACCUUUGGGUUUGAACCCCACAUCAGGCUCUGUGCUGACAGCUCAGAGCCUGGAACCUGCUUUGGAUUCUGUUUCUCCCUCUCUCUCUGCCCCUCCCCCAUUUCUCUCUCUCUCUCUCCACCCCCCCCCGCAAAAAUAAACAUUUAAAAAAUUAAUAAUCGUUUAUGAACUAAAAAUUGGCACUUUGAGAGAGGACUUAAUGAGUUCUCUCAUGAGUCAAUUAUGAGAACUUUUAAUGCCUGAACUCUAUUGAACUUAUUUGGCUUUCUCAGAGCUCUUCUUUCAAGAUUCUCAUCUGUGUUUUUCCAUAAGUGAAGUAUGAUGUGCUUAUUUAUCUCCUUAACUCCUGAUUCAGGGAAGUCACUUGCUUAUGUAAGGCUUAGACAAGGAGAAUGUAUCAUAACAGAAGAGGAAGAGUGGGAAAGUUCAGUAAUCUUAUUCAUCAUAAGAUAGCAGAAGAGAGCUGUGCAUUUAAAUAGAGAGAUUGUAUGCUAGGUAGAGUCACCAUUAACUGUAAACUUAUUAUAUGCCAACCAUGAUGCUAAGAAGUUUACUUGAAUUAUUGCAUUUACUUCAUUCAACAACAGGCUCAGAAAAUAUUACUGUUAUCUCCACUGGACAGAUAAAGAAUUUUAGACCCAAUGAAACUAAAAACUAAUACUAAUUUGUUUAAAGUCAUAAAGCAAAUGAAAAACUAACUGGCAAAGCUGAGAUUUAAACUAAGUCUGUUCCAUUUCAAAGUCUGCUUUUUGACCACUACACUAUUCUCUCCACCAUGAGUGUAUAUGUAAGAAAGACACAGACAGAAAAUGAGAUUGAAACUAACCAAAGCUGUUGCUUUCAUAUGUCAUAUUAAUUCAGAUGAGAGUCAGAGAUUGAAGGCCAGGACAACUGGGGUAAAAUCUCCACUUAUCAGUCAUCUAUCUAGAUUGCAUUCUGUAUGCUGUCUUCAUUUCUCCUCUGGAGCUUCCACUGACAUCAGUUGUAGAAUAUGCAAUAGAAAUCUUCACUGCAGAUAAAGGGCCUAUAGAGCAUCCCUGAGCUAAGAAAAAGCUCAGUCCAGAGAGUUUCAUAUACAGAAAUUUGGCUCAAUUCCUAAAGAAUUUGGAUUACAUGUGGUCAACAAUGUUUUCUCUGGGGAUAACCAGUCAGUACCAGGACAAAAUAAGGCUUAGAUUAAUCUGCAGCUGGAAGCACAUUUAAGAAAGCAAAGCACAGGUUUUUCAAGCUCAAAAACUUUAGACCUAUUUGAUCUAGUGCUGUGAUUACAAUUUGUCACAUGCAGAAAACAUAUUCAUCAAAUAUGUAUUGAGCACUUCAUUUCCAAGUACCAUGUCAGUUCUUGCAAUGCCUACACAAACAUACAGUGAUUGGACAAAAUUAAGGAAUGAACUGCUUGAGUACAUCUGGGAAGAUUAUUUAAAAAAAAGGGGGAGAUUAAAGAAAAUAUAAAAAUGUGUACUACUAACUUCUGACAUACAAAUAACAUUAGCAAGAAAUCACCUAAAUGGCAUUAGUAAAAUGAGUUUUAUAUUAGAAAUUUCAUGUGCAUUCAAAUAUUUGCUGAGCAACUCUUACAUGCUGAGUAUGUGCUAGAUCCUGGGAAUUUGGAGGAUGCAUAGACGGUUUUUUAUCCCAAACAUCUUAUAGCUGAAUGGAAAAGAGAGACAUUAAAAAUAUAAUAAUCAUACAACUUACUAAUGGUGUUAAAAACAAAAGUCAUCUGGGGCGCCUGGGUGGCUCAGUCGGUUAAGCGUCCAACUUCAGCUCAGGUCACAAUCUCACGGUCCGUGAGUUCGAGCCCCUCAUAGGGCUCUGGGCUGAUGGCUCAGAGCCUGGAGCCUGCUUCCGAUUCUGUGUCUCCCUCUCUCUCUGCCCCUCCCCCAUUCAUGCUCUGUCUCUCUCUGUCUCAAAAAAUUUUAAAAAAAGUUAAAAAAAAACCCACAAAAGUCAUCCUUGUAAACUUGAAGAUCUAACUGGCUUUAUUAAAGUAUUUAUGAAUCAGGAAGCAUCCCGUCUAAUAAGUAGAGGAGAUCUCCAAUGAGAUAAACAAAAUAAGGGUUUUUUUUAAAGGCAAAUAGAGGACAUUAAAAAAAAGAAAGGAAUUUAUUAGCAAAGAAUUCAAUUUAGGCAAGAUUGCCCUCCUAAAGAGAUCUUAAAGGGGUCUAUCAGUAAAUUUUUCAGGUCUUAACCUAAGUGCUGCCAUUUUGGGCCUGUGGUUUUCUUUUAAACAAGGGAUAUAAUAGCAUAAACAAAAAAGUGAAUAAAAGUCAUAAACAAUUGGUUAACCUCUAUGAAAUGCAUAAAACUAGUUGACCAGUUAUAUUUAACUUCUGGAAAUACUAGAAAAGACUUUGAGGAUCACAGAAAAAUCCCCCUUUGCCAAGGAGGAAACCAGGCACAGAGAAAGAAGGUAGCUGACUCAAAGCUAGCAUUUGGCAGAAUGGUACUUGGAACAUCCUUGACACCCAGGCUACUGCCUCUCAAGUGCAUUUCAGAACCCUUUUUUGGAGAUAUUAAAAAAAAAAAACUAAUCUUUUCUGGCACACUUCUCACCUGGGAAACAGUUGUUCCUACAGAUUUUCUACUCCUGGGCUGCUUCGGUUACAAUGAACAUUUGUGAGCAUGCCUAAAUAUUUGCCAGAGAGCAAUGGAAAACACAAGCAAUUUGAAAUAAACACUUUCAUUAUAGAAUGUGAUAGGGGGUACUUUUUUGUAAACUAUUUUACAUUAGAAUCACCUGUAACAAAGUGGGAAAUGCUGGUAUUUACUGAAAAUUCUUCUUGGCAUAGCAGGCAUGCAAAUAAAGAGCUGCAUUUCUGCAGUGUCACUACUUGGAGGUUUGUUAGAGGACUUCUUGUUUGUGUUGGAUAUGUCUCCAGGCCACAAAGUGCUGUCUUUUCCAGGAAUUAGUUUAACCCCUUUACUAUUCAUAAAAUAAUGAAAACUGGAAAACCAAUAUCCACCUGCUAUUCAGUCUGAAGCCCUUUUUAGUUUUAUUCACAGGACUACUGAGAUAGACAGCUAGAAAGCUUUGUAGCAACUAGAUGGGAAUCUUAAACAUGUUCAUGUACUGCAGCCUCAAAAUUCUACUUCCUAGAGUUUAAGAGAGGUUAUUAAAAAGGAAAAAAAAUAAGGAUUCACUGUAUGAAGAGAACUGGUUACAAUAGUAAGAAUUAUAUAAACACCUUAGAUGUCAAAUAAUGGAGACAACCCAGGCAAAUUAGAUCAAUUUUAGAACAUUAUAAAACUAUUAAUAAUAACAGCUGUCUAGAUGCAUGAAAAAGAAUGCUUAACAUAAUGUUUUCAUUUCUAACAUUAUGGCUGAUUAAAUAAAGUAAAAAUUUUAUAAGGCAAUUUGACUACACACUCUGAAAGACACCUAGAAGUGAAAAUACAACAAACAUCCUUAUAAGUGCUAGCUAAGCACUGAAGAAGUAAAGAAAAUGCCAAGGGGUCAAAACCAAAGAGAAACAGAAAAAGAGAGAAAUCAUGGAUAUUGUUACUGAGUGCCUACAGUGAGUUUUAGGGAUGGCAGCUAGGGCUGAUAUUCUCCAUAAUGUAAGAAACUUGAAUAUUUUAACAAACACUAGCAUGCAAUAGCCAAAAUCUUGGGCCUCAGUUAUUUGAGGAAUCUUGAAUUAAGUUGCCUUUGUAAAACUAGAAACUUCUAAGGAUUACAACUUUAGUGAAAGACAAUAACUGAAGAACAAUUUGCUUAUCAACAUCGGGACACUAGAAGUUUAUGUACCAUGUCCUGAAGGUAUAAAGAAGCCUCCCCUGAAAGUUGAUAAUGAGUAUGCCUUCGUUUAUGUUUGGAGUUUGAAUUUUAUGCCAUCUGCUUGGUCCAGGAAUUAUUGUGCUGUAAAAUUCAUACAAAAACAGUCUUGAGUUUUUCUGCUUCUGCCUUGAUGGAAUAACUAAACUAAACUUUAUUCCCUCCACGAAUGACUAGAAAACUAGACAAAACUGGGGCGCCUGGGUGGCUCAGUCAGACUUCAGCUCAGGUCAUGAUUUCAUGGUUCCUGAGUUCAAGUCCUGCAUUGGGCUCUGUGCUGACAGCUCAGAGCCUGGAGCCUGCUUCGGAUUCUGUUCCUCCCCCUUUCUCUCUCUCUGACCCUCCUCUGUUUGUGCACUGUCUCUCUUUCUCAAAAAUAAAUAUUUUUAAAAAUUAAAAAAAAAAAACUGGACAAAAUAAAUGACACAAUGAACAAAAGACCGUAUACAGCUGUAAUCCCUAAGAAAAGGGAAACAAAUAUGGUAAGCUUUCUAUUGUCCUAACUUCUGCCUGUGGACACUUUCCAUACUACAGUGUAGAGAGGGAGAACCCAAGUAAAUCACAGCAGACUUGGUGAUUUCAGAAAGCUGAAAUAGCGUACAAGAAGACUGAGGUGAAAGGAACUUGGAAAGCCAGUGUACCAGAAAAGAGGAAACUAUUAGGGAAAGAAAAAAAAAAAGUUCCUGGAAAUUGUAUAGGGUCCCUUUGAUUCUGUUGCUUAAUAUUAAAAUGGACAUGUGCAGGAUGAAACUAUAGGAGACCAACUGAAGGAAAACUUCAAGAUGGCAUUCUGGUCAAUUCACAGGGCUCAUGCAGGGCUGGGAGAUGCCUAUACUCUGAAAUAAUAGAAUACGGGUAAUCAUCGGAUACUGAAGGUGCUCAGUAGCAACCCCAUAAGACCACACCUUACACACCUGAGUAAGUGGACUAAAUUUGGCUGUAGAGUAGAAGUUACUUCAGUCUGACUCUAAGGAAUCUUAAAAUAUGAUUCAAGGGGCACCUGGGUGGCUCAGUCGGUUAAGCAUCCGACUUUGGCUCAGGUCAUGAUCUCACGGUGAGUUCGAGCCCCGCGUCGGGUUCUGUGCUGACAGCUCAGAGCCUGGAACCUGCUUCAUUCAGAUUUUGUGUCUCCUCCUCUCUCUGCCCCUCCCAUGCUCAUGCUCUGUCUCUGUCUCUCAAUAAUAAAUAAAUGUUUAAAAAAUAUAUAUGAUUCAAAGAUCAGCAUGACCUACAAAUAAUCUACCCAACUGCCAGAACAAAGUCCAAUACUCAUUAAAAGAAGAUGAGAGAUUCUGAUACACAACAAUAUAUAAAACUCACAAUGUCUAGUAUCCAAUCAAAUACUACUAGACUUAACAAUGAAACAUGAAGAUGUGAUCCAUAUCCAGGAGAAAAAGCCAGUCAGGAGAUACAUAUCCAGAAAUAACAGAGAUGAUGCAAUUAGUAGACAACAACCUUAAAAUACCUGUUAUAAAUAUUCUUAGUUAUUUAAAAGAAAUUGGAACAUAGUAAGGAGAGAAAUAAAAGAUAUAAAGAACCAAAUGGAACUUUAAAAGCUGAAAAUUAUAUUCAACAAAGAAUUCACGAGAUGGGACGAACAGCCAAUUUCACAUUACAGAAGAAAAGAUUGAGGUUAAAGGCCAAAGAGGAAGUCUACCUGAACUAAAGCAAAGAGAGAAACAAAAUAAUGGAGGAAAAAGAGAGAGAGACUUAGUGACAUAUGAGGCAACAAUAAGUAAACUAAUUAUGUGUGCUUAGAAUCCCAGAAGGGACAGUGGGGGGGGGGGCAGUUUUUAAGUAAUAUUGUCUAAAAAUUUUUCAAAAAAAAUGAAAACUAUAAAACUAAAUCCAACAAGCUCAACAAAACUUCAUGUAAGAUAAACAUAGGAAAAACCACACUACAAUACAUCUUAAUUAAGUUGCUAAAAAGCAGUGAUAAAAAAAUCUUAAAAGCAACAAGAGGAAAAAAGACACAUUACCUAGAAAGGAACAAAAGUAAGAAUUAAUAACUAUAGAAAACAUGAUUGCAUACAGAAAUUCUCAAAAACUACCAGAACAAUAAGUAAAUUUAGGAAAGUCACAGGGUAAAUAUAUAAAAGUCACUUACAUUUUUAUAAAAUGGAAAUAAUGAUUGGAAGUAAAAUGUAAAACAACCACUUAGCACCAAACAAAACAAAACAAAAUCAAACCAUUAAACAAAAUAUGUUAUCCACAAACCUCUGCUGAGAGAAAAAAUUAAAAACCUAAAUAAAUAGGAAGACAUACUAAAUUCAUGGAUUGGGAGACUCCAUGUUGUUAAGAUGUCAGUUCUAUUGAAAUUUGACUAUGAAUCCCGUACAAUCCUAAUGAAAGUCCAAGCAGGCUUUAUUGUAAAAAUUUUAAAAGAUGACUCUAAAAUGUAUAUGGAAAUACAAAGACCUAACAUAGUCAAAGAAAUUUUAAUGAAGCACAGAGUCGGGAGGCACCUUGGUGGUUCAGUCGGUUGAGUGUCCAACUUUGGCUCAGGUCAUGAUCUCAUGGUCUGUGGGUUUGAGCCCCGCGUUGGGCUCUGUGCUGACAGCUCAGAGCCUGGAGCCUGCUUUGGAUUCUGUGUCUCCCUCUCUCUGUCCCUCCCCCACUCAUGCUCUAUCUCUCUCUCUCUGUCAAAAAUAAAUAAAUGUUAAAAAACAUUUAAAAAGCUAGAAAAAAUCUUUUAAAAAAGUUGGAGAACUUACACUAUCUGAUUUCUGGAAUUAUUAUAAAAUUGUUGUAAUCAAGAUACCAUUGUAUUGACAUCCAUAUGGACAGGUGGAUCAAUAGAACAGAAUAGAGACACCAGAAACAGAUGCACAUAUAUAUGAUCCAUUGGUUUUUGACAGAGCAGUCAAUGUAACUCAAUAGGGAAAAACCAUCUUUUCAAAAAUGGUGCUAGAAUGACCGAACUUGAAAAAAAUGAACUGACACUGGACUGUAAUAUUGAACCUAAAGCUAUAAAACUUCUUAAAGAAAACAUUCUUCUCUGUUCAGAAUGGUAAAGCUAAAAAAACACAUGCAAAAACAACUUAUCAAGAAUAAGUUAUUAGCGCAACAAAUUAUCAGAAUCAGAUGCUAUGAACUUCUAGGAAUGGAAAUGGUAAAGGCUGUGAAAUAUGAAUGAUGAAACACAUGAAAGAGGGCACUGAAAUUAUGACAAAUGGAACAAGAUUCUCUCAAAAAUGACCCAGGGAGAUUUAAAAAAAACAAACAGUAUUUAUGGAAUAAAAGAAAUAAAAUUUAAAAAUACAGUCAAUGACUUUUAAAAUUAAUUGAUGUGCUAGCUACACAACAGACCAGACACGGAGAACAGAGAAGUAGAAAACUGGAAUAUAGCUAUAAAGAUAUUACACACACACACACAAGAACAGCGAGUUAAUGAGAUAGAAAUUCUGAGCGGGGGAAGAAAUAGAGGAGAGGCUGAUAGAGAUGGUAGUGAGAGAAAUUAAAAUUGGGAGCCAAUCAGAACUGUAGCUCUGGUAUCUCAGAUUAACUGGAGUGCAAUUCAGAGAUGAAAUUCCAUGUCAUACUGAGACCUAGAGUAAGCUGCAGACUAGUUGACAAAGAGAAAUCUUAGAAAAACUUGUAAACAAUAGAUGUUGUUUGCAAAUAUACAACAGACUUCUCACUGCAAAAUGGAAGAACAACAAAAAUGGCGCUAGAGAAAAGUAACUUUUAACUUCAAAGUGUAUAUACAGCUAAGGUAGUACUAAAGAGUGAAAACAAAAUAAAGAUGUUUUCAAAGAUUAAAACAAUGUAACACUAAGAGAUUUUCACUAAAACGUGAAAAUUUGAUGAGAACAUAAACGUAUUUGAAGACUAUAUUUAGCAAGUUGAUAUAAUGGACACACAGGGAACCCAGCACCCAAAUUAGACAAUAGGUAUUUUGAGAACAGAUAUUUAUAAAAUUGUUCAUGUAUGAAACAUAAAACAAAUCUCAAAUGCUAAAGAAUUGGUAUAAUACUAAACAAUUUAAUUAGAAUAAUUAAAUGAAUAAGCAAUGACAAAAAAGAUAACUGCCUUAAAUUCUCAUAUAAUUGGAAAUAUUAAAAAUUCUAAGAGGUGAAAGAAAAAAUAAUAGAGAAUUUAAAAUGUUAGGAACUAAAAUAUAAUGAAAAUGCUACAUAACAAUUUACAAACCUCAAAAGAAGAAAAACUAAUGUCUGAAAGACUCACAUUAUGAAAAAAGAAGAGCUAGCAUGACAGGAAGGAAAUAAUAAAAAUUAAAAAAAAGAUGAACUAGAAAAAAUAGAAUAAAAAGUCAAUAACUGGUUCUUUGAGAAGACUUACUAAACCCUUCAUACUUCUGGCAAAGUUGAUCAAGGAAAGGAAGAGAAAAAAUGGUAGAAGUUAAAAAGAAAUACAAAAUAUUAUUUACAACUCUAGAUCAGCAAUUGUGAAGACUUUAGUUUCCAUGAUCAAUAUGUUUUCUUUAAAAAUAUAAUUUAUUAAAACUGAUUCAAGAAAAAUAAAAAAGCUGAAUGAUUAUUAAAAAGUAUAGUACACACACAAAAAAGGUCAUAACCACUAAAGAAAAUACAAAUGAUAGUUUAAAAAGAUCUGCCUUUCCCUCAUUCCCAAUUCCUUCUAUACAUACCAAGGCAGUUUUUCAGGUGAGUUUGACUUAUGUUCAAGGAACAGAUCAUAUCACUGUUUAACUGCCUUAGAAAAGGAAAGAAUGGUUCCAAUUCCAUAUGUAAAGCUGAUAUGACCUUGAAGCCUAAUCAGACAAUAACAUUAAGAAAGGAAAAGUAUUGGCCAUAUCACAAAUGAGUGUACAUGGAAAAUCUAAUAAAACUGUCAAUGGGUUCUGAAAAAUUAUCUCAAAGGUUAAAAAGCAAGUCAGAUUUGGAAAAAAAUUUGAAAUUUAUAUAACCAACCAAACAUUAUUAUCUAGAGUCAAUUAAGAAAGUUUAUAAAUCAACAACAAUAAAAGACAAACUAAUAGAAAUGACAUGCAAGACACUCUGGUGAGCACUCAGUUUAUAGGUGGAAAGGGAAUAGACAUAAUUGCUACCCACAAAAUGCCCACAUCCCAAUGAGGGGACAAGAAACAAACAGGUAAACAAAUCAAGCUGAAUACAUUUUGUUAUGUAUUUAAUUGUGUCCUCCAAAAUUCAGAUGUUGAAGUCCUAACCCCCACUACCUCAAACUGUGAACUUGUUGGAAAAUAGGGUCAUUGCAUAUGUAAUGAAUUAAAAGGGGAUCAUUAGGGUGGGCCCUAAUCCACUAUGACUGGUGUCCUAAUAAGGAGGAGGAAUUUUGAUACUGAAAUAGGCACACAGGUAGAAUAUCAUGUAAAGAUGAGGGUAGAGAUGGGACUGAAGCUUCUACAAGCCAAGGAAUGUAAAAGAUGGCCAGAAAACUACCAGAAACUAGGAGAGGGGCUGCAACAGAUCCUUCCUUCAUAGCCUUCAGAAGGAAUCAACCCUGUCAACUUCUACAUUUUGGACCUCUAGCCUCCAGAACUGUGAGAAAAUAAAUUGAUGCUGUUUAACAUACUCCGUUUGUGAUACUCUGUUAAGGCAGCUGUGCAAAUACAGAAUGUAAUCUUAAUACAUAAAGAUAAUAAGUGAAGAAUGCAUUAGAGAACAAUGAGGGUUGUGCGUAGAUAAAACGGUCAAGGAAAACUUUCCUAGGAAUGUCUUAUUUAAGCUAACAUUGGAGGGAUAAAAAGGAUGCAGGCAAGCCAUGAGUUGGUGGCAGAACAUCCCAGUGAGAGAGAAUGAUGUGGCCUACCGAGCUAAGAUAGAGAAAAGCUAGUUUACAAUUUAUUAAAAGAGAACAUGAUUGUGGGGGACAGUGGAAGGAAUUGAUAGAAUGUAGAUUUGGGGGACUUUUGAAGGAUAAAUGAUGACCAAAAACAGAACAUUCACAAUCAGAUUUGUCCUCCUAUGUUUGGGGGUCGUGAAGACCAUGGUGAGGGUCCCCUGAUAUCCCUCAGUCACAGGCAAUUUGCCUUCCUCAAGAUAUUGUGAUCGCAGAGAAUAUGGCAUAAUUGCCAUUUCUGGGGAUGUUAGAAUAAUAGCAGAUUCAUUAAAUGCCUCCAAUCUCAAUCUGCCCUCCAAAAUACCUUUACAUCAUCUCUGAUAUCUUCAUUAUUUGACUAUUCCUUGUCCACUAACUGCCUCAAAGAAUAGCCCAUUCUGUUUCUCAGCUCUAACUUCAAAGUACACUUGGAACAGGUAAUAUAAGUACAUGAAGCAAAAUUUUAAAGAUUAAAAAGAUGGUUUACAUAGAAAAUUGUCUCUCCCCCCCACUCCCCUCCAAAUAGUUUCCCUCCCAGAGGCAGUUACCAGCCAAGUCUAUGCAUUUAUGAACAAACACGAAGAUUUUCUUUUUGCAACACAAUUGGUGCAACUAUAUACCUCCUUCUGCCCCUUGUGUUUUUUUUUUUUUUUUUCUCUUGGAGUUUCCAUUUCAGGAUCUAGAGAAUUGCUCAUUCUUUUUUAAUAAGUUGUAUGCAUAGUUUUCUUUUGUGCUUCUAAUUUGUUGCUAGAUUCUCUUUUACGGGGCUGACCUCUGGAUCUCCAUAAUUUUUCCUCAUAAGUCUUCUCUGGAGCACUUGAAAAUGGAACUAAUGCCACUUUUGUGCUGUACUGAAUUCCCACAUGAAGUAAGGAAAGUGUCCCUGGGGGGCUGGCACAGUGCUCUGCUGCCAUAAACAACUGUGGAAGUCAUGGUAAAUUCUGGAACCAGUACAGAUACUGGUUAUGAAGACAGGAUAGCCCAUGUUCAAAUCUGGGCUUUGCCACUUACAGCUAAGUGACCUUUGACCAGUUACUCCAGCUCUCUGUCUCCUCAAUUUAUUCAACUGUAAAAUGGGAAUAAUCACAGCAUCCAUGUAAAUUGUGUUGAGUGGAUCACUUAAUGAUGUUUAUCAAAUGCCCAGCACAUGGUAAAUGUUCAGUCAAUGCUAAUCAUUGUUAUCUACAUCUUCUUUGGAGAAUAUAGAUCAACCUCCCAGACUUCUUGGACAUUGCUUGGAGUAAAAGACAAACACAGUGAAGAGAAACCUCUACUCUCAGCUCGCCUUUCUGCCUUCUAAACCUUGUCCCCUCUCCUAUGAUGGAUUGUGUGUGUGUGCGCACAUGUACUCUGAUUAUGGAAAGAUGGCAAUGCCCAGCCACUUUUUCACAUCUUAUCCUUACCAGCAACAUGGGUAUUUGACCUUGAUCUGUGUCAGAUGAGCGUAAUUUGACUUGGAAUUGUCUUCCCAUGGAAUCCCCCCAUCUUAAACCUGGGGCCAUCUGCUCACACACACAGCUGUUAAACACACAGGAAUCAGCAAGAGCCUCUGAGGCACUCAGGGCCACCAUAAGCACUGUAAAUGCUCUUAAGUGCCUUAUAUUUCACUGUACCUGGGAGGUUGGCAGACAGCAAGACAGCUUUCUGGCUCUGGAGAAUGUGGGUUAGUCUCAGUGGCCCUUCUUGGUGGGUGUGACCCAGUUAGUGUAGUCACCCAGAAAAGCUAAUGUGUGUUCAUCCUCGAAACAUUGCAUUGCAACAAGCAUUGCAGGCAGCUUUGGUUCAGUUUCUAAAAUGAACAGACAGCUUAAAAUCUCAGUGAUGAUCUAAAUGAUUUCUUCAAGGUAUACUCCAUAAGACAGUUAAACUUAACAAGAUACUGUUAAAUAGCAAUGAUUGUUUAAUAAGAAUAUGCUGAGGAACUCCCAUGUAGGCAACACAUAUUAGUAUUAGUUAUUGCUAAAUGAUUUUAAGCAUCAGCAUUUAUAUUUUAAUAUUUCUUAUCAAAUUGUAGUACUUAUGUGCAGAAUCCUAAAUACAAUACAAAAACAAUGAUAUAUAAUCUUUAAGCUCUUCCUUUUUCCAAAAAGAAUAAAAACUAAUAUGUAUGAUAUGUGGGCACAUACGAUAUAACAAAUGCUAUUCUGAUUACCUAACCUCACACUACACCAUGAGAUUGUCCUGUCUAUAUCUAUUUUAUAUAUAAGGAAACUGAGGCACAGAGUGGAUACAUGACCUAUAGUUAAACACCUCUAAAUGGAGGGUUGUCAUAGACUCUGGGUCUGGAGUUUUCUCUUGUCCAGCAAGAGAGUGGGAUACAGGAUUAAAAUGUGAGAGAAGCUAAUGUCUGGGAAGAGACAAGAGCCCUGAGUAAGGGUCCUUGCUCCUUGCUCCAUUUUUAUUAGGAUCAGAAGGCUUACAAGCAUGAUGGGUAUGCACAAAGAGACAAUGAAACCGUGAACAUUAACUCAUGUGCUUGGGGGAAAAGGGAUUUUGGAGAUAUGCAGUGUUAGGGGUUUGAGUCAAUACAAAAUAAAAUUGUGGUGCUGGAUGGAAGGUUGUUUACAGAAAACCUGAGGCCCCACCUCUGUUUACCUGAACAGGUCUAGGGGAGGAGAAAGAGCAAGCUACCAUAGGGUCAACAAGGCACCUUUCUUUUGCUAAUUAGCUCUGCUCUGGGCAACUUUGCCUUGCUGCAGUCUACAGCCCUGUUUACCUGUUUACCUAUUUUGGUCCUUCAUUCCUAUGAAACCAGCUUUCUGCUAUUGUACUAAGUUGGGGGAGGCAUUUCCAUCCUGAAAAUCUAAUCUUGUUUGCCUCAUUUUUGAUGUUUUCAUCCUGAGGCUUUUCUAUGCCUAUACCUUUGUCCUAUACUAGGGGCCUUUGCCCUGUUUACUUAAUCUUGUUUACCCAAACUUAGGUGUGUUCAUCUGUGGCUAAUUCUUUUUUUCUUUCCUUUUUUUUUUUUUUUUUUUUAAUUUACAUCAAAACAGAGUGCAACAAUGAUUUCAGGAGUAGAUUCCUUACUGCCCCUUACCCAUUUAGCCCAUCCCCCCUCCCACAACCCCUCCAGUAACCCUCUGUUUGUUCUCCAUAUUUAAGAAUCUCUUAUGUUUUGUCUCUCCCCUCCCCCACUGUUUUAAUAUUAUUUUUGCUUCCCUUCCCUUAUGUUCAUCUGUUUUGUAUCUUAAAGUCCUCAUAUGAGUGAAGCCAUUUGAUAUUUGUCUUUCUCUGACUAAUUUUGUUUAGCAUAAUACCCUCUAGUUCCAUCCACAUAGUUGCAAAUGGCAAGAUUUCAUUCUUUUUGAUUGCCAAGUAAUAUUCCUUUGUGUGUGUGUGUGUGUGUGUGUGUGUGUGUGUGUGUGUGUAUACACACCACAUCUUCUUUAUCCAUUCAUCCAUCAGUGGACAUGUGGGCUCUUUCCAUACUGUGGCUACUAUUGAUAGGGCUGCUAUAAACAUUGGGGUGCAUGUGCCCCUUCGAAACACCAUACCUGUAUCCCUUGGAUAAAUCAUCUGUGGCUAAUUCUUUAUGCCUUGUUAAACCUUCUGUGCAAGUUCAGGGAAUUCCUAAGCUUAUUCUCCAAGAGGGUGAUGGAGCUGAGGCUUGAACACACAACUGCAUCUGGAAACUGCAUGCUUAACUGCUGAUCAUACCAUCUCCCACAUGACUGCAGACUUAUUUGGUUUUCAAUCCCUAGUCUAAUACUGAAGGGAUGUGGGGCUUUGCAUGCAGGUGAGUCUGGAUUAGAAUCCUGACUCCACACUUAUUAGCUGUGUGACCGGGGACUCCUGAGCCUGUUUCCUUAUCUGGAAAAUGUCAGCACUACACAUGGUUACAUGAUAAAAGAAAUGUCAGCCCUAUGCAUGCUCACAUGGUAAGAGAAAUGUCAGCACUAUGGGCAUGCUCACAUGGUAAUGCAUGAAAACCCCUGACACAGGACCUGGCACAUAGCAGGAACUCACGUUCACUCAUUGGCCUUAUUUAUAGAACAUUCUCAAUGUACCACCCCUGUGGACAGCACAGGGAAAAGUGAUGAGCGAAAGCAGUCCAGAGUGGUUCAUGUUCUUAUCACACAUGUAAAUGAGACUAAACAGGUGCUGAGAAGGACAAGGGUACAUGCUAUUGGGAAACUGUAUAGAGAGUCUUUGACCAAGACAAACAGUAUCUCUGAGAAGGUGAUCAAUACCUAUAACUCUCAUCCUUUAUAGGUGUGGCUAUUUGACCCCAUCUACUUGUCUCUAUGCAUUAGCAUAGGUAUGGAACAUUUGAUGUUUUUUUGUUGUUGUUUUUUUUUUGUUUUUUUUUUUUGCUGGGACUUUGAGCAUCUGAACUCAGAAGCCAUCACAGAAUGGUAGGUGGGGUCAGGAACUGCUGUCAGAAAUCUUAUCUCUGCUCUCUGCGAAAACUUCAAGGGCCACUAUUGAAGAAACCUCAGCGUUAACCUCCUCUAGCAGAACCUCUAACAUACAAGAGGUGCUCAGUGAAUAUUAGAGAGUAAAGAACAAAUACAAAGCCUACGGGGAAAUUUCAAGAUUUAUUUAAUAUCUCACAUUAUCCAGAGCUGUUUUUCUUUAUCAUUAAAGUAAAGCUUACUUGUCGGACUACCAGUUCUAAAUUCCACCACUUAUAAGCCAUGUGACCUUGAGCAAGUAAGUUUCUAUGCCUCACUUUACUCCUCUGAAAAAUGGUUUAGGUGAAGGUUAAAGGAGAGAAUGCGUAAAGCACUUAGCACAUUCCCUGGCAUGGGGUAAUCCUCACGCCAGUAUGAAUUGAGUUGGUGGUUCGUGGCAGGUGAUAAGGUGGUUGUUUAAUCUACAUAGCACAACAAAAAUGGGCAGUAAUACUUUUCCUUUUACAUGAAAUGAGAACUAAAUUUCAGAGGUUUAAUAUUACACAGCUAGUCCAAGUCAGGUCAGCAGGAUCCAAACCCUCUAGGCCUGAUCAACUAACAGAAGCUGUUAAAGAAACCUGCUGAAGGGAAAACUUUAAAGAAAAAGGCUGCCUAGGAAGCAUGUGCAAGAGCAUGAGGUCAACUGGAAGUCCCUCUUUAUAAGCAGUGAGUGUACCUUAUGUUGAUCCCCAAAUGUUUCUCCCCUUCUUUGUUUUUCUAGAAUGGGAUAGAAGAUGCAGAAUUGUGGAACUGGAAGCUAUUUCCUCCCAUGAACUCAGGAGGAGAAGGAUGAAAAGCCAGAUAAAAGCACACCCUUCUUCUCCUGGGAUCCUGCCACAGCAGUGGUUGCAAGUCUGAAACAAAGUUGCCACCUAAUGUGCACACUCAGCAUUCAGGAGGCUGCACUGGGGGCAAGGAGAUGUGCAGCCAUUAGCAAACAAUGCUAGACAGAAAGAAAGGGGAAAAGAUUCAAGCACCUUGAAUAGUAGGCACAGGCUCUGUGAAUUCAGUGCUCCUUGACCUAUGUUUCUAAAUUAUCUAGGCCAGAGUUUCUCAAACUCAGCACUUUGUGCGCUGAAUAAUUCUUUGUUGUGAGGAUUGUUCUUUGCAUUCAUUGUAAGUGUUUAGCAACAUCCUUGGCCUCUUCCAUUUAUAUAUCAGUAGAACUCCCCAGUUGGGACAAUCAAAAGUGUCUCUAGAUAUUGCCAAGUAUCUUCUGGGGUCUAAGAUUGCCCCCAGUUGGGAACCAUGACUUGAAACAGUCCACGGCUGGGGGUUAAGCAUGUUCCUGGCAUUCAUUUCAUUUCAUUGGCAGAGCCUAGAGUCCAUGGCCUGACAUUACCUGAGGAAAAGACCCUGCACUGCUAGGCUAGAUAUUUUUGUUCAGUCUUUGCAAACUGAGGCAAAUCAGGAAGCCCGGAGCUCCUCCCCUUGUUUGGUGUGGAAGGAACCAGUCAUGAGGUGUUCAUCUUCCAUAGCUUAUUUUAGUCUUUCUAAGGUCUGCCUAUAUUUUUAGGAAAUAGUUUUCUCAGUACUUGAUAUGAAGUAGUAUAAACCAUGUCCAGAGAGGUGAGCUUAAGGAAAAUGUUGUUGCAAAAAUCUUUUCUGUGCCAUGUCAGGAAGACAGCUGUAAAUCGAUGGGGACUCUGACAAGCUGGCAAAUGUUCAUCUUGACCAUUAUGCUUGACCAACAAAUAUUUCCUGAGCAGAUCUUCUGUGUUAGGCAUUGUGCUAGAUGAGGUGGAAGGUGCUAAGAUGAAGAUAUUGAUUCCAACUUCAAAGCUUCCAAUCUAUUUGGGAAAACAUGUGGGCUAUGUAUCUUCUAAGUUCAAGACCUGAAAUUGGAAUCCAGAAAUGGACUCUGAUUAACUGGUGAACUUGGGGUGUAUAUUACCAGGAGGCAGCAUAGGUGUUUGGUCUCUUCCUAGACAUUGAUUUGCUUUACACCUUCUGCCUUCCUUGCCUGGGUACCUGUGUGGGGUGUGAGUUCAUAAGAGCAAGAUAGUUUGUUUAUGCAUUCAUUCAACAUAUAUUUACUGAGCACUCCUAUGUUCACAACUGUGCUACUCAAAAUGUGAGAUGGUGAUCAAAGCAUAUUUAGUUCAUUCCCUCAUGGAGUUUAUCAUCUAAUGGAGAAGACAGACCUUAAGCAGAAAUGUCAAAAGUAAUGCUAAUUGUUGUUAGUAAUAAGAACUACAAAGGAAAAAAAAUCAGGCAUCCCCCGGUCUCUCAGCCUGGCUGCAGUUGGGGUGCUACAAGCAGAGACCAAUGGAGCUGUUAAUAUGAGGGUUUUGUGAGAUACGAUCAAAAGCAGAGAGAUGCAGGAUCAAUGGGACAAAGUGAAAGGUCAGGUUGCAGAGAGGGGCAGUAUCUACAUUUCUACAGGGGACAAAGCACCAUUUCAAUUCCGAGUGCGGUUUGUGACCAGAAUAUGGGGUGGUGGGCAAAUACAUCACCAGUAGAUUCCUGGGCUACAGAAAUCAAGGAGGAGGCCAAAGUUGAGCCAAUUCAUGUGAAAGUCCUAGCCGUAACUGUAGUACAUUCUGCAGUGUGACCAAGAUUUUGUAGCAUGAAAUUGGAACCAAAAGUCAGCAAACUCUGCAUUACAAACCUAUUUAGUAAGAGGUAAAAGAAAGGUUCAGGCUGUGAAGAGUCCUGCAAGGGCUCUAGAUGACGGGAAAGCUGCAAAGCUUCUUAGAAGAGGCAGGUCUUUACCUAAGCCUUGAAAUAUGGAUGUUUCAAAUUUGCUUCCUAAGCUGAUGUCUCUUCCCCAAAUGAUGAUUAGGAAAUCCUUCUUGCUCAGUCUGAGCAAAUACUGAUAAUCAAAGGAAAAUGGCCUAUCUCUGCUGAAUUCAGUGGAAGAAGAAAAAAGAACAAUUGUGUUAGGAGCCAACUCAAACACAUAAAGACUAUAUAAAGACUAAAGCAAGAUCCAAGAUUCUCCUCUGUCAGGAAUAUACUGCCUAUAACUUAUCAAUCCACAAAUAUUUAUACAACAUGUACUUGGUAUGAACCACAUAGUAAUAACUCUAGCUCACAGGGCUACCAUUGGCUAAUGGUGACAGACCAAAUUCCAGCUCUACCGUGUGAUCACUGUGUGGUAGAGAAAAAGUUUCCUAACCUCUCUACUUUUCAAUUUUCUGUCUAUGAAAUAGGAAUAAUUAUAUCUAUGUUCAAAAGCAUGGCUGACACAUAGCAAAUGCUAUGCAACUGUUAUCUAUUAUAAUUUUUAUUAUCAACCCUAUUAUAGGAAAGACUGUAUUACAGAACUUCAUUUAAUACUUAUAGGAGAGAAAUUUUAUUAUCAUUAUUUAUUUCCAAAGUGCAGAAACUGAGGUCCAGAAAGAUUAAGCAACUAAGUCACUCAGCUACUAAUUUUCAGAGCUAGGAUUUAAACCCUGAGUGUUAGACUCCAAGUUCAUUUUUUUUUUUUUACUACUACCCUACAAUAAUAGGAUUAUAAGAAAUAAAUAUAUACGAACUACCAACCCAGAUUUUUGACACUCCAUAAAUGACAGAUGUUGGCAUUUUGAUCAUUAUCAAUGCCAUACAAUUUCCUUCUUAAAUGAGAUAAUGAAUAUACAACAUUUGGUUUGAUAACUGACACAUUGUUAGUGCUUCAAUUCAAAAGUCUAUUAUAAUUGGCAAGGAAUGAGGUUUAAAUUUCUAAUCAGAACAUUUUGCAUCCUGAACAGAUGAGCAUUAUAGGUGAACUCAUCACUUGUAAGGAGGAAGGAAAAUUAUUUUCUUCCAGACCCUGAAAAGCUAAGAACUCCAAAUCUUAAGUUGCAUAAAGCUGUGCACUCCAGAAAUUUCUGGGGCUUCUGCCCCAUUUGGCCAUUCUUCCCCUGAAGUUAUGUGUUUUUCCAGAAGCACCAGACAGCUAGCGCUCAUGAAUGGCUUAAUUCAAGCAGUAAUUGGGCACCUGAAUCCAGUCAUCCAUUGAUUUUUAGCACAUACUGAAAGUUGUGUUCAGAAUUAGAAAAAACUCUUCAUCCUUUAAAUAAGCACUUUUUAUAGCAAUGUCAGCAAAGCAAACAUCAGCAUUAAUUAACAGUGACUUCAGAAUGUAUAAUGUUUUCCAUUAGAUCUGAAGGGGGCUAGGGGGACAAGGAUAAAGGACAACACAUCACCACAUGUCUGGGGAGAAAAACAACUAAAUUCAGAAUGCAGAAGUAGAAUCCUAUUUGUUCAAAAAUAGAAGGGAAGUGAUUAGAAACCUCAAAUUGCUAAUGGUGGAGACAGUUAAACCAGAUGACCAAUCUUCUAGAGCAAUACACUAUGCCCAGUCAGUGCACAGCUAUGUUGCUGAGGGCACAGUAAAGGGUGUAAGCCUCUCAGCCUUAAGGAGAGACAUGUUCUGAGCAUGAGGACUUUUUUCAUUCACUUGAUGUACCUUUUUUAAAUACAAAUCUGAAAAAAAAUCCAUUCUUGUUGCUAUUAACAUUUUUUCAUGGAUCUUUGUUUCUUUAAUAAUGAAACUGUCAUUUGAUUGCCCCCUGCAUCAGUUUCCUAGGGCUGUUCUAAUGAAUCACUACAUUUGGAGAAUUUAAACAAAAGAAAUGUAUUCUCUCACAGUCUGGAGGCUUGUAAUCUGAAAUAGAGAUGUGGAAAGGGCCAUGCUCUCUCUGAAUGUUCUCAAGGAGUAUCCUUCUUUGCUUGUCCCUAGCUUCUGGUGAGGACCAGCAAUCCUUGACACAGCUGACCUUGCAGACAAUUCACUCCUAUCUCUGCCUCCGUCUUGACAUGGCAGUAUGACCUCACCUUAACUAGCUACAUCUACAAAGACAUAUUUCCAAAUAAGAUUACCUUCUGAGGUUUCAGGUGGACCUUAAUUGUAGGGGGACACCUUUCAACCCAAUGCAUCUCCCUUUCGAUUCCCCCAACCUCACCAGCUAAACUCUAGACACAUUGGUGUCCCCUCAGUUGUCUGGAUCUGUCAAACUCUUUCCCACCUCUGCCCUUUGAACUUCCAAGUCCUCUUCCUGGAAUGCUCCCCUGGCUGCCAUCUCUUGGCCUUGCUGGCUCCUUCUCACCCGUCAAGUCUUGGUUAAAAUACCACCAUCUCAAAGAAUCCUCCUUUGCACAUCGUAUCUGAGCUUCUCUACCACAUUAUCACUUCCUAGUCUCCACACUUAUUUCUUUUCUGUUAUUUAGCACCAUGUCAAUGCUUCUCUUGUUUGUAUGUGGAUUUUCCUAGCUUUCUCACUAAAAUGUAAGUUUGUCCACCAGGAGUUCCACAACUGGUUUGUUCUCCCAUAGUUUGUUCCUCUAGCACCAAUUAAGUCCCUUGUCACCAAUCAAUUAUACUAAAUGAAUAAUUGUUUAUUAAAAAAAAUGUUAGUAUCUAUUAUAUGCAAGGUCAAGGGCUAGGCAUGUGGGGGACAUGAAGUAUACGAAAUAUAAUUCCUGUGUUCAAAGAACUUGGGCUGGAGGUGAGAUCAGAGGUAAACACAAAUAAUUCUAAAAUAGGUGUUAAGUUCAAGCAGAAGGGGACUGAAAAAUUGCUGCAGGAAGAACUCAGAGUAAACAAUCUGUUAAAGCUGGCAGUCUUGGGGGAGCAGAGGGACACAGGUGGGGAGGGGCUUGGAAAGUUGCUUUCAGAACAAAAAGGAGCUGGUAUUGAUGCAAAAAGUGAAAGUGAUUCAGGGUGCACACAACUGUGGGUAAUCUCCAGGGCAUUAGGCACAUCUGUGAGCUGGACUCAGUGGAGCCAGGUGGAGUGGAUGCCUGAACCCAGCUGCUGCAACAAGCGAAGUGUUCAAGAGGAAGAUGCUGCAGAUGAUGCCUUUCUCAGCCAGGGGUUCCUGUGCUCUGGUUCCUGGGACCCCAGAGGCCUGAGAGCCAUGUGUGUUCAGUGACUUUUGAAAUAUCUCAGAGACUCAGGGAGAGCUUUCACUGCCUACCCUUGGAUGGCCCUAGCAGCUGGGCAGGUUCUGCCUCCCUCUCUCCACCUCCCACCCUAAGAGGAUCCUUUAAGGUUCAGGUUAAACUAAAUCCUGCUGCUCUUGGAGCAAAUGGCACUCAACCUUUUACUCCAAGAAACCUUUUACUCCAGCUGGCUCAGAAAAGCUGCCUUUUCUGCCUUUAUUCCUUCUGGACUCCUUUCUGGUCCUCCGGGUGCAGUGGGGUGGUACCUGGGUGAAGCGUUCACUGUCAAGAUUUUCACUUCCUGUAAAAGUCUAGAGUCGAUGAUAUGUCAGAGGAGAAGGGAGUCACUUGUCACGCAGUAAAUACAAGAUGUAAUUUUCUCUGAAAUUUGCUGGUUAGCAUCCAAUGUCCUUUAAGAGGAAGGAGAUCUUUGGGAAGGGCACAUGUAAAUGAGAAGCAAGGCAACACCACUCAGGGACCCUGAGGAUGUAGACAGUGGGCUUUAUCAUGAAUACAUUUGUGAAAAAAUUCAUUUAGGAAGUACUGUCUUUGGAGGCUGAAAGAGCUAAGACAUUUAAAUGUUUAGCAUGGUGGUUGCCACAUGGUUACUGGUAGCUACUAUUGUUCCUACUAUUGUUCCUACUAUUGUUAAUAUUUUCAUAUUGCUUGUGGAAGCGGAAGUCUCCAUAGUAAACGACUAGUUACUGGUAGCUAUUGUUCCUACUAUUGUUCCUACUAUUGUUCCUACUAUUAUUAAUAUUUUCAUAUUGCUUGUGGAAGCAGAAGUCUCCAUAGCACCUAGAACAAGUCUGGGCCCUCCUUAAGCACUUGCUGCUGUACUGGGUGAAGGAGCUUGGAGAGGGAGUGUGGAUGGAAAGGAGAUGCCACAUGGCUGAAGGUGGCUAGAGGAGAGGCCACAGAGAAAGGAGCAAGAGGAAAAAAAAAAAGGAAGAAAUGUAGCUGCCAUGGAAAGUGGAAUGUGAACACUGAAUUUUUUUUAAGUUUACUUAUUUUGAGAAAGAGUGCACACAAGUAGGGGAGGAGCAGAGAGAGAGGGAAAGAGAGCCUCCCAAGCAGGCUCCAUGCUGUCAACACAGACCCCAACAUGGAGCUUGAACCCACUAACCACAAGAUCAUGACCUGAGCCAAAAUGGAGAAUCAGAGGCUUAACCAACUGAGCCCCCCAGGUUCCCUGAACAUUGAAUAUUUAAGAAGGCUUUGUAGCAUGAUGUGGACAAGACUAUCCUCUGUUUCUAUUUUUUAUUAGACUAUGCAUUGAUUGACAAAGUUUCUAGGUGGGCUUGGUACAGUACCAGAUGUAGUGACAUUAAAGACUAGCCUCAAUGUAGGCUCUGUGCUAAAGAGGCUGAGUGACCCUCAGUCACACUUAUGGUACAGAUGAAUAUUAUGUCCAUUUCCUAGGGCUGCAAUAACAAAUUACCACCAAUUUAGUAACUUAAAACAACAGAAAUUUAUUCCUUCAUGUUUUAGAAAAUCAGAAGUCCAAAAUUCCACAGAGCCAUACUACCUCUGGGGACUCAAGGGGGAGAAUUUAUUUUUUCUUUCUUCCAGUUCCUCAUGGCUCUUACCAUUCCUUGACUUGUGGCUUCAUCGCUCCAAUUUCUGUCUCUGUAGUCACAUUGCUUUCUCCUCUUUCUACAAAUCUCCCUCUGCCUUUCUCUUAUAAGCAACUUACCAUUGGGUUUGGGACCCACCUGAAUAACCCAGGAGGAUCUCAUCUCAAGAUCAACUUCAAAGACAUUUUUUUUUUCUAAAUAAUGAAACAUUCACAAAUGCAUGGAAUUGAAACAUGGGUAUAUAUUUUGGGGGCACUAUUCAACCCACUACCAGUAUGCUAGAACUCAGAGGUUAAAUAACUCACCCAAGGUCUCAGUGCCAGCAAACAAAGGAGCUAGAAGAAAUCUCAGUAUAGAAAUGUGAGGAGCAGUGAGGGAAAUAACUUAAGACAGUAUGAUAGUUACUAAACAGAUUCAGGGUUUCUCUCUUCACCAGUUCUCAAUGGUUUUACCCAAAGAUAAGAGUGAUAUGGGCAUUUCCUGCAAUGUUUAGAAGAUAUCUUUGAGUAACUGGAAAGCUUUAAGGAAGUUUUGUUGCGGUUUUUUUUUUGUUUGUUUGUUUUGUUUUUGCUAUUGAGGUAUCCAGUCUGAGACUCAAUUCAAGGAAUCUAUUUUUUCUAAUGAGGAUUUUAAAAGAUAGUUUAUAAGAAGAUAAAGAAAUGGAAUGGCCAGUGCACCAUAUCAGUGUUCAAAUGGAAAAGGGAAUGAUUUCACAUGGCCUCCAUCCUUACAAUCAAUGAAAGACAUUCAUCUGUUCAUACUGUUCUUUGUUCAUACAGUUACUGAAUGAACAUACAGUUCAACUGUUCAUACAGUUCAACAAAUUGAAUACCUACCUUGUGCCAGGGAGUGUGCUUGGCUGGGGAGACCAUAAUGAGCAAGAUGAAUGUAUUUCUUAUCUUUGUGUAAUAUACUAUAAUAUGGGAAAGACAAACAACAAUAAUAAUAAAACAAGAGAGAGCUAUUUUGAAAUUUGAAAACUGCUAUGAAUAAGAUAGAAUGCUGUGAGGGAGUCUAUUAUUGAUUAUUCUACUUUAGGUAGAAGAAUUAGACAAGGUCUCCAAAAUUUAAGUGAAAUGCUCUAAAGGAGCUAGUGAGCUUGUCAUGUUUUUAGAACAGUUAGAAGGCCAAUAUGGCCAGAACUUAGAGCUGGAUGUCAAGGUAAAUGGCAUAAGAUUGUAGAGGUGGGCAGGUGCCACUUUUCAUCUUGCAAUCCAGAGGCGGAAAGUACAAAGGAUUGAAGUGUUUGUUAUAAGUAUGUGUGUUGGGAGAGGAGAGACUAAUUUGCAUUUUUAAAAAUCUGUGGAGCAGAUAUUAUAGGAGGGCAAUAGACCUGUUAGGAGUCUAUAGUACUGGCCUGAGCAGCAGAUGGUGGAAGUUGGACUUGGGUAGUGACUGUACAUAUGGAAAUGUGAGGACAGAUCUGAGGUACCGUUAGGAAGUAGAUCCUAUAAGACUGGAUUGAUGUACUAAAUGUUGGACAGGAACAAAAAAGGCAAGUGAGGAGCAAAUGGAUGGAUGGUGGUGCAUUUACAGAGAUGAUGGAGAAUAAGGAAGGAACAAUUCUGGGGAGGACAAGUAGAACCAGAUCAUGAAGAGAUCUUGUAGUGCCAUGUUAAGUAAGAUAAGCCUAUGAAACACCAAAGUGGAGAUGUCAAAUCAGGUAUCGAAUAUAUGAGUUUAGAGCUCAAGACCUGGUCUAACCUGGAGAUAUAAUUAAAGAAUCACCAGCCUAUAGAUGAUAUUUAAGAAAGCCAUGGGAAUGGACAAAGUCACCAAGGGAGAGUAGGAUCAGGUACUCUUUCAGGAAAUGGACUUACAUCUCAUUCUGCCCUGAUUUAAGCCUGAGUUCUGAUCACUUUUGUGCUUUAUCCUACGUUAAUACCCAUGGCCUGAAUUACUGCCUCAAGUUACUUGUUCAUUUAUUUGUUUUUUAUUUUGUUAUCAUAUCCUUCCCACUCAAACAGAAGCUCCUUGAGGAUUAGGCCCUCAUCUGUCUGAUCUUCCUGCAUCCCCAGGCCUAGAAGACACUCACUCAAUAAAAAUUGGUUUAAUGACUACAGGUAGCAUUAUAACUUUUGAUUACAUGUCAACUUCUGUGCUUAAAUCGUCACACUUAUAUCAGUACGUCCUCCUCAAAAACCCUUAGAAGGGGGUGGUUAUCAUUUUCUCAACAAUCAUAUAGCUUGCUGCUAAUAAAGCCAGAAAUAAAAGCCAGGCCUUCCUGAUAUCUAAGCUCUUGUUCUUUACUUACAACUCUGCUCUGCAGUACUUCGAGAAUGGGUGAAAUUUAUGACAAAAUAAGAUAGUGGAAUUUGUUUUCAGUUUUGAACUCCUUUCCACCUAGCUGAAGAUACAGUCAAGAUCAUGUCAUUCACUCAUUUAAAAAAAAAAAUGUCUUGAGCAUCUCCUCUGCUCAACACUCUGGGGUGAUAAGGAUUCCCAGACAAAGGAGCUCAAAAGUAGUGUUCAGAUCUCUCUUUUUCAUUUACCAUUUCAACAAAUAAGUAAUGAGUACCUACUAUGAGCCAGUCAUUAUUUUAGUGUCUGGUCCAACUAGUCUGUCUGUCUUCCAAAUUGCUGUGACUACCUACCCCUCAAUGCCUGCCUCUUCACCUCCCCACCACCUGUCUUUCUUGGUUCUACUUUUCUAUUGCAAAAAUGGCUCAUUCCAUGUAGCAAAAGAUAUGGAGCAAAAGAUAGCUCCAAGAUUACACCAUCCAAGCAGUAAUGACAAAUCAAAGAGCCUCUAUCUCUUCCUUAGUACUAAAGUGUAAACCUUAGAAAACAUUUUGUUGGUGCAGGUUUGGGUCAUGUGACCUCUCUUGAACCAAUCAUUGUAGCCAGAGGAACACACUCAGAAAUGGCAGGACUCCCUUUGUGGUCAACAGCCCCAUUAGAAUCACAUGGUGGGAGCAACAGGGAAGCAGUUUCCCAAAGAAAGGAGUUAAUAUAGGAUAGAUGAGACAGUAGAUAUUUACUCUGUUAAUUCAUCUACUACCCACCAGAUCCUUAGGAGCAGGGAUAUUGUCUCUCUUAUUCACCACUGUUUUCCCUAUGCUGAAGACAGUUCCUAGAACAUUUCUUCUGAAAAGCUGUCUAUUGUAUUGAUAGAAUGAAUUAAAAGAAGGACAUUUUAUUAUCUGGAAAAAAAACCCACAUGAUUUGCAUUAUAACAUACUUCACAAUGGAUAACUAAAUGCUACUGUUAUACCACACUAUUGUUGAGGACUGUUGAUCUAGGGAGCAGGAAUACUAAUACUUCUGCAUAACUUACCAGGCUUCUUUCAUGAUUAAAUGUUGUUAGACUGUGAAAGGGCUUUGAAAUGUAUUAAACAGCAUACAAACACAAGGCAUUUCACUGUUAAUAGGCAGCUGGGAAAUGAAUGAUCAGCAGAAUUGUCUAAAUAGGCUCUUAAAGGGGUAUGGUAAAAAAAAAUAAAAAUAAAACUUUAUAAAGAAAGUUUUGAAUGGCAAGAAAUGCUUAGGUAGCAAAAGACAAUUUUGUAAAAUGAGAGGUUUGAGAAGAAUAAUUCAGCAAUGAAUUUUGAUACAAAACAUUAUUUAGAAAGCUUAUACAUAUUUCUGAUUAAAAGAUAUUUUCAAGAGUGACUUUAGCAGAAAUAAUAAAAUGCUAGGCAUGAACCUAUUUACUUAACUCUUCUAGCUAACCAGAAUGAUAGAGCUCACAACUCUCUCCCACCUCAUGCCCUUGGCUGCUUUCAAGGCAGGGCACAAGCACUUCAGUUGUACGUUCAGUACUUUCAUCAUUUUAACCCAGGUGCCACCCCCUAGAAAAUGACAAGUGGAAAGGAAGCCGGACUCUGUCCACAGACCAAGAGACCAAUUCCGUUAAUCGGGUGAAUGAGUUAAGGCACAGAUAAACUGCUAUCAUGGAGACCAAGCACAACAGCUUAGAAGAGCAAACCUGUGUAUCCCUCACAGUCCAAAAGUGAGAGAGUGGUCUAGGUCUGAGUCACAGGCUGACCUGCGGCUUCUUCAUCAUAUGGCUUCCGAGGAAACUCCUAUACUUUUUGCCAGCCACCAGGAAGGUGCCUGAGAGGAAAAGUCCUGACAAGUAGAUUUAUCUUUAUGAAGAUGAGAGAUAAUUUUCAAAUAUCACUCCUAUUCAUGCUCCAUUGGCCCUAACUUAGUCACAUAGUCACACAUAACCCCAAGGGUUAGAGCACUGAAAUACCCAGUUGGACAGCCGUGUACACAACACUUAGGCCAAGGAAAGGGGGUUAUUUCUAGGAAAAGGGGAUUAUGGUUACUGGAGGACAAACUAGCAAUCUCUGCUAUGGCAUGCAUAUACCGAGUCCAUGCCAUGUUUGAGGCUUUCAACUAUGUGUGAGACAAUGACCUGCAGGGGCGUCUGGGUAGCUCUGUCAGUUAAGCGUCCGACUUCAGCCCAGGUCAUAAUCUCACAGUUCAUGGGUUUGAGCCCCACGUUGGACUCUGUGCUGACAGCUCAGAGCUUGGAGCCUGCUUCAGAUUCUGUGUCUCCCUCUCUCUCUGCCCCUCCCCCACUUGCAUUGUCUCUCUUUAUCUCUCAAAAAUGAAUAAACAUUAAAAAACUUAAAAAAAAAAAAAGACAAUGACCUGCAUUCCAGAAGGCAAGAGACACUUUCACAUACAGCAAUAACCCUCACAAUAAGGUGAAGUAUGACAAGGAGUAAAUAUAAGCCCAGUGUUAUAAAAGUUUAAGGAAGGGUUGUUUUUUCCUCCUCUGAGUGGACUUGAGGAAAAAUUCUUGGAUGAGGUAAAAUUUGAAAUGGGUCCUUAAGAUUCAGUAAAACUAUAAAUUUAAGAAAAAGGGCUGGGAAGAGGGAGAGAUGGGCCUUUAAGUCACUACAGUGGAAAGAACUGGCAUCCCAGACAGUCAUUUUCAUACCUAUGACCUUUUGAGAACCAUCCAGCAAUACUCCCCACCCCCCGUGGAAAGAAUAACUAUAUAAAAGUAGGUAUUUUUGGUUAUCUUUCCAAAUAUAUUCUCUAUUUUCUUACUGAAGAAAAUUCUUUUAGUUGAGCAUAUUGCCCUCCAUAGCCUUAUUUAGAGUUAUAUGUGAUCAUGUGACUAAUUUUGGGCCAAUGAGAUAUAACUGGAGGCAUUGUAUACAACCUCUGAGAAGUAUUUGUGAAGAAAUAGUUUUCCUUUGCACGCUCUCCAUCCUCCUACCUGCAAUUCAAAUGUGAUAACUAGAGCUCUGGUAUCCAUAUUGAGUCAGAAGAAUGAGAGCUAACCUUGAAAGUGGCAGAACAGAAAGUUAAAAUUAGCCUGGCUUUCCUGAUUACUCUAUAAAAUCCCUGAGUAAAAAGCCAUGAAGUGCCUACCUCCAGACUUCUUUAAAACAAAAACAAACAAAAAUGUUUAAGCCACUGCUAUUUGGAGUUUUAUGUCACAUUCAAUCACACCAAGUCCUCAGCACAAGUAGCUUACAUGCCCCACCUGGUACUAAAUCAAACUUAACAAUGGAUGGGGGGUAAACCAAAAGGACAUUAGUGCCCUAUUGCUAAGGCACUACACAUUACCACAUACUUGGAGGCUUAAAGCAACACAACAUUAUUCAUAUUACAGUUUUAUAAGUCAGAAAUCCAACAUAGGUCUCACUGCACUAAAAUCAAGGUGUCAACAAGGGAUGUCCCUCCCAGGAGGUUCUUGGGGAAAAUCCGUCUUCUUUCUCAUUCCAGUUGUUGGAUGAAUUUAGUUCCUUGCAGAUAUAAGACUAAGAGCUCCCAUUUCUUUGCUAGUUUUUGGCUAAAGACUAUUUCCAGCUUCUAGAGGCUAUCCACAUUCCUUGGUUCAUGGUCCCCUUCCUCCAUUGUUAACCAGCAUUAGUGGAUCAAUCCAUCUCACAUUUCAAAUCUCUCCUAAGUCUUUUUCCAGCACUGCUUAUCUCUGCCUGCAUUUUCCACAUUUACAGCCUACCAAAAUGAUCCAGGAUAACCUCCCUGUCUUAAGGUCUGUAACCUUAAAUUUCAUCUUCAAAGCUCCUUUUGCCAUGUAAGGUAACAAAUUGACAGGCAACAGGCUCCCAAAGAGCAUGCACAUUUUUGGGUAUCAGUCAUAGUCUGAGAACAUGAAGUUCCCUCAGUGUACCUUUCUUCUCCUAUCAAUUUAAUAUCUUGUUUCAGCUGUCCUCCUCACUUAACAGGUGUUAUUACCCAAGAGGUCAUCUAUACUGGAUGCUUGGGGUCCUUGGUAGCCUUGACCUAAUCAGGUAUCCUGGUCUCCUCCAAUUCUCAGGAAUAAUACAGUGUAUUUGCCCAAACUCCAAAGAAAAUUGGGCGAUGUGUCAGCUUCAUAGAAACAUAUAGUAGGUUUUUGAUGGGCCAGAUUGCAGGCCAAAUUUGGUGAAUACUGGGAGUUUUUUCCAAGAAGUGUGGGGUUGGGACCAGAGCUAAUACUAGUAUCUGUCUCAAACCGUCCUUAAAGUCUGCAGCUGAAAGAGCCUGGGAAACUCUGAAAAAUUACUUAGGUCUACUGAGUAGGUUGCAAAGAGCAAGUUCCUUACAGAUUGUUUCAGGUCAGAUUUGAGGAUAGGAUUGGAAAAUGUAUGUAUUCUACCCAAGGAAGUAAUUUCAGAGAGAAGAGAAAGAAGGAAAUAGAUGCUCCUCCAAGAAAAUGAGGAGAUGGAGUACCAUCUAAAUUAUCUGGAUGGAGCUGAAGAAGUCUUCUGAUUGGUAAUGCUCUCCUUAAAAACUCAUUAUGGUUUGGGGUGCCUGGGUGGCUCAGUCGGUUAAACAUCCAACUUUGGCUCAGAUCAUGGUCUUGUGGUUCACGAGUUCAAGUCCCAUGUUGGGCUCUGUGUUGACAGCUCAGAGCCUAGAACUUGCUUUGGAUUCUGUGUCUCCCUCUCUCUCUGCCCCUCCCCCACCUCCUCCCUAUCUCUUUUCUCUCUCUCUCCCUCUCUCUCUCUCAAAAUAAACAUUAAAAAAAAUUUUUUUUAAACAUUAUGGUUUGAUUUGUGUACUUUGUCCCUGAUGCACUUGGAGGAAAGAGGCACUUCAGUGUGAGGUCAAUGGAAUGUAAGCUCCAAGUGGACAAGGACCUCAUCUGUCCUUUUUUCUUUACUCCCCAGCUCUCAGAGUCCUGCUUUUCAUAGGUAGUAACAAAUACAUAUUACAUGAAUAAAUGAAUGAAUGCAUUAUUGAUUAAUUGGUAGACAUCCAAGUCCCUCUUCAAUCUUUUUUUCCCAGUAGUCAAUGUGGCCUAUGCCUAAAAGCUUAUGCUCUAAAGUCACAUGUGGAUCCAGGUCCCACCUCUGCCAUUUAUCCUACCAGUGUGUUCCCUGGGAACUCAGACUUACCUAAGUCUGUCUCCUGUCUGUAGCAUAUAACCAAUAAUUACUACUUGGCAUUGUGAGGUUUCAUUGAGAUAAUAGAUAAAUAGUGCUUAGUAAAGUUCCUGACAGUCAACGGGCAUUUUCUCUUAAUGUUAGUCCAAACCCUCUGGUAAUGCCAAAGUGGUCUCCCCUUGAUUGUCAAACUUUAUUUCCAGGCUCCUAUCUGCCAUUGCUUGUGUCAGUUGCCCUGUCCCUUUAGCAUUUUAUGCACACAUGUGAGUAUAUGUGCACACACAUGUACAUAUGCAGAUAUCACAGGGAUCAAAACCAAUAUCUUCUCCAUGAAGCCACCUAUUAUGGCCUCAAUCAGAAGUCAUCUCUUCAUUUUAGAAUUCUUGGAUGCUGAUUAAGUCACUGUUGCAUUUAUCACAUACCAAUGCCUAGCACAGUGUCUAGCAUAUAAAAAAGGAAACUAACACAUUUUGAACAGAUGGAUGGAUGGAUGGAUGGAUGGAUGGAUGGAUGGAAGGAAACUUAUGUUCUCUGGCAGCUCCACAGGAAUUUAUUUAUUUUCGUAACCACUCUGGUCACAUAGCGCCUGACCCACAGUAAGGGCUCAAUAAAUGUUGGUUGGAUUCGGAAGAAAGGGGAAGAAAAAUCCAAGGAAGAGAAAAUCAAGACCAAUGUCCACCUGGAUCCAUCCUCCUUUUCAGGGCAUCCUGUUGAAAGGAGUUAUUGAGGAGAGAAGCAGGGAGUUGACAGCCACUCUCUGGACUCUCUCCCAGGGCCUUUUUAGAACAGGAAAGUUAAUUAUGGAACCAGAUUAACAGUUUCUUUUUUGAUACAGUCAAAGUAAAACCAGCAGGAUGCAAUUUAGCUCUUCCCCACUUUCCAAAUAGCAGCAAAUUUUCAUACAAAACAAAGAGACACUUGAAUUGCAAAUUACUUAGAGAAUCAGCUAGCAACCCCAACGGAAGAAUAUUUCUUGCUACUUUCAAAACCAAGCUGUUGCCUUUUCAGGUUUAACCAUGUAGUGGGACCUUCACAAAGGCCUGGGCGUCUUGCUGUUUCAACUCUGGGCCAAGUGGAGAGGAGGAGUGAUUCAUUGAGGUUUACUGAAAUGGCACAGUGAGGUCUUUUUGUUCACAUUUUUCUCUUCUCCACAUGGUCUCCAACUCUCAGAUCACUGGUCUCAAUGCACAGAAUUGGGACUGACAAUGUGUUCUCAGAGGUCAUGUUAUCCAAGGGUGGCAAGAACAAAUGCCUACAAGGGCAGGCAGGGAUGUAAAUGACUGAAGCAACUGGUCAGGAUAUGCGGAUGUGUCCACUAGGAAGUGGGUGAAGACUGGGAUGAACCCAUCCAACCGCCAGUGUCAUGUGGGAAUGCUGGCUCACUGUCAAGGGUCGCUAGAUCUGACAAGUCCGUAUUCUUUUCUAAGUCUGGAUUCUUAUUCAAAAUAUCCUUUGUAGCUGUUGCAACGGAAAAAAGUACUAUCUAUUGGCUGGAUACAUCUUGUAGGCCACCAGUUUACAACUUCUAAUCUAGCUCAACUUCUUCUCUUGAUAAAUGGAAAAACUGAGGUAGGGAGAAGGAAAUCAUUUAUGAAAGUUCACCAAGUCACAAAGUCUUCUGACUUCUCAUCUUGUGCCUAGCUGAUUAUGCCAUACAGCCUCCCUCAAGUCCCUCUCUCCUGCAGGACACAGGGCAGCUUUAUUUUCAAAAGAGCUUUUAGAAAAUUUUACUUUCUGAUUCAAAUAAAUAAGUCCUAUUUUUACAGAGGAUUUGGAGGAUGCAUCAAGAAUAAGGAUAUAAUAAAAUGAAAUCGCACAUAAUGUGAUUUUAUUUCUGGAAGGACUGGAGCCUGAGGUGGGAACCUGGCUGGAAAGGAUACUUCCAGACAUGGCCACUGGAGGGCAAGGUGGCAUCUCAGUUGGGUUAGCCCCAAAUAGGUCAAAGGAAAGUUAGGACAAGGGUUGAAAAUGUCUAUGUUUACUGUAGCCAGGUUGUUGGCAGAAAUGAGAAAAGGAGACCAGAUGGGGAAUAGAGUGAAGGAAGGAAAUACAUCUAAAGGACUCAGAUACCACUCAGAUUUGGCCCGUGUCACCCUGUGGCAAUGCACACAGUUGACAGUCUUUUUGAUUUUUAAAAAAAAAUUUUUAAUGUUUAUUUUUGAAAGAGAGAGAGUGUGAGAGAAAGACCGAGCACGAGCGGGGGAGGCACAGACAGAGAGGGAGACACAGAAUCCUAAGCAGCUCCAGGCUCUGAGCUGUCAGCCUCCAGUCCAAUGCAGGGCUCAAACCCCUGAACCGUGCGUGAGAUCAUGACCUGAGUCAAAAUCAGACGUUUAACCAUCUAAGUCACUCAGGUGCCCCUGAUUUUUUUCAAGUGAAGCUUGAAACCUUAUUUUUUUUGUAAGGUUUUUCAAUGUUUAAAUGUAGAUCAAAAAAAUGUGAAUCUAACAAAACACAUGGGGGAGUGGGAUUGGGUUGUGGACUUCCUCUUUGUGAUCUCUGCUAAGUGACUCAGUGCAGAUGGACAGGGCACUGCACAGGUCAGUCUGCUGAGUGGAGAGUUUGAAACCAGUCCAGCUACAGACCAGUAGAUAAGGCUGGCAUGAGGAUGACUGAGGAAACAGAGAUGGUCCAUAGACUCAGUGCAGCAGUCCCCUGGGGAGAGUGGGCUUCAAUCAGAGCCAUCAGAGCCUGUCCAGAGCAGCCUGGACAGAUCCUUGGGGGAGAAGAUCUGCACAAAUCCAAAACACCUACCAUAGCCUUUUAUACUGUAUGUGUAUAACCAUCUUUACUUUGCUAAGUUAAUAUAGAUUAUCUCCCUUGGUAGCCCUGUGGGAGAUUCAUCCAUUUUCUCAAAAGCAGAAAUGUUAAAAUCAUUAAAGAUAGCAUUGAAUGUGUAAAUUCUUCCCAUUUUACUGUAAUGACUCACUGAAUAAGUGGAGUGGAGCCUACAAUGGAAGGAGCCCUUGAAUUUUAGAGGUCGUGGACCUCCCCAACUUAACAUUUUUCCAAGCUUCCAUUUCAUACUUUGUAAAGUGAGAAUGAGGUAUUCCUGACCUACCUUCCUGUAUUAGUGAAGAUUCUUGAUUAGGAGAAACAGAAAACACAGUGAGCUUAAUCAAAAGCAUGCAUGUAUUAGUUCACACAACUGGAAAGUUCAAGCAUCUAAAUCAUAGCUGGAUCCAGCUGCCCACACAAUAUCAGGGCUUGGUAUCCAUCACUCAGAACUGCAGACUUCAUUUUUCUCAUUGGAGCCAGCAGCUCCAGGUGCUUCCUCACCUUUCUAAGUACAGUCAAAAGAGAUCUUCUCUUCCCCUACAUUGUCCACUUGAGUUUCGGGACUGACUUUCAUUGGCCUGCUGCAGGUCUUAUGCUCAUUUCUGAACCAGUUGAUGUGGCAAAGGAGAUGAAAUGCACUGAGUGGCUGGGCCAGUACACAUUUUAUGAAACAAUUAGGCAUUUAGCUGGAGUCUCUGGGAACAUGAUGUACAUUCCAGACCAUAGCAGAUACAGUGGUAGACUUGAUUCCCUGAUAGGAAUAAACUGUUCUUAUUGAAACAACUUCCUGGGAAAGUAUCCAGAUCUGUGGAGUUUGUUUAAAGCUGGAACCAUGCACCUGGAGAGAAGAAGGCAAAAUACUUGAUCACUGCCUGAUGCCAAAAUGAGAUUGUAUAUUUUGUAUAUAUUUUCUCUCUGUUUCUUGCAGCCUUGCCUUGAUAAAAGGAUUGGAACUGGUGACACUUGUUUCAAUGACAACAGUGUGAAUAGUGAGUAGUUUUUUCUGUUGUUUAUUAGUUAUAGAAUAUGGACUGCUCUCUGGUACCAAAAUGAGCUUUAUUAAACUAUCAUUCCUUCCUCCAAUUCAUUUAAACAAACAUCAACUGGCUUCAUUGUUAAAUCGAAUGCCAGGUAUAUGGCUUACAUUUCUUUCCCCUCAUCACUUACACACACACACACACACACACACACACACACACACAUACACACACCACAGAGCAAUAUAGGAACUGUCAACUUGCAGACCACUCAAGGUGUGUUCAUGGCUGCAAAUAACAGAAAAUACAGACUCAAGAUGGCUUGAAUAAUAAAAAGUAAAGCAAAGAAAAAUGUUAUUAGCACUCAGAACAAGAAGUCCUAAAGUAGGAUAGGUCCAUAGUUGGUUAAUUGAGUAGCUCAAAAGUGUCAUCAUAAUUUGGAUUUUAAACUCUUCAGUGGGCUGUCUCUUUCAUUUAUUUCUUUUUAUCAGCCUUUCCAGAAAUCCCUCAAUAGGCUUUUACUCAUGUUCACUGCCCAGAAGCCAAUGAACAAAUACCCUGCUUGAAUCAAUACCUUGCAAAGCAGAUGGGACCAGUUAGAUUGGAUUAAACCAAAUCAUGCGUCCCUUCCUGGGGCUAGGGAUAGGACCUAUAUCCCCUGAAGUACACGGUCACAUAGAAGAGAAAAUAUCUGAACAUAAUUAAUGUCUUGUUUAAAAGGAUAAAUGAAGGAUGAAUAGUUAUUGUAAAAACAAUCAAUGCUAUCUGCUAUAAGGCACUACUAGGCAAAUCUUAGUGAUAUUUCCUGCAAGAUGAAAGUUUGCAUAGGUACCUAAGUUCUAAGGUGUCAUAUACUUCACUACUGGAGAAAAAGCAGGCACCCAGCCUUGGCUAACCUCCCCCAAAGUCACUGAUAAAUUGAAGAAAUAUUAGAAAUAUUUUUGACUCUGGAUAUAAAACCCAAGGCAUUAUUAUACCAUAUGCAGACUGUUUCUCCAAUUUGCAUAAUUAUGAACUCCUCCUCAAAAACUAAACAUUGCUGCCAACUUAAAAAAAAAAACUACAAAGUAGUAUUAAAUAUGCAUUGCUAAUUUGACUUUUUAAUUUGUCUGGGAUAUUCACAAAGACAUGAACAACUCUGUAGAUACUGAGGCUUAAUAAAAUCUUCCACCUGUAUAAAAAGAAAUUAACAGGAAAAGCUAAAACCAAAAAUUUGUUAAAGAAUUUGACUUUAUGUCUGAAAAUUAUCAAUAAGAGAUAAUUCUAUUAAAAUAACUCCCACAUUCACUAUUCUGUAUGUUGACUAACAUUCAGGUGUAGCUCUUGUUUUCUUCAGCCAAAAGAAGGUAACAUUUCCUCAGAUGUCUCCAUUCUGCUUUUAGUCACCUGUGAGCUAUGUGUAUUCUUAUAUUUGAACUUUAUAUGAAGUGAUUGAGGAGAUGCAAAAAGAUCUUCUUGCCCCCAAAUCUAUUAGCAAUCUACCUAAAAUAUCCACAAAAACCCCUGACUUGGGCUUUGAAGGUCUCAGCUAUAGUAAAAAUAUGCUAUCUGGCCAAGUUAUACUGUUUUAGGCUCCUCAAUUUGAGUUCAUUAGUUAGCCCCAGUGAUGACUGAGACACAGGAUACAGAUGUGCAUCCAGAGAAGUGCUCCUGGAGAUAAAUUACAAACCAUGUAUACAAGCAUAACUCAGAGAUACUGGGGGUUUAGUUCCAGACCACCACAAUAAAGCAAAUACCACAAUAAAACAAGUCAAAUGACUUGGUUUCCCAGUGCAUAUAAAAGUUAUGUUUACACUACACUAUAGUCUGUUUAAAUGUGAAAUAGCACUAUGUCUAAAAAAAAACAAUGUACACACCUUAAUUUAAAAUACUUUAUUGCUAAAAAGUGCUAGCCAUCACUGAGCUUUCAAAGAGUUGUAAUCAUUUUGCUUGUGGAAGGUCUUGCCUUGAUGUUGGUGGCUGCUGACUGAUCAGGGUGGUGGUUGCUGAAAGUUGGGUGGCUGUGGCAAUUUCUGAAAAUAAGAUAACAUAAAGUUUGCCUCUUCAAUUGACUCUUCUUUUCAGUUUCUCUGUAGCAUGUGUUUCUCUUUGAUAGCAUUUUACCCACAGUAGAACUUUUUUCAAAUUUGAAACCAGUCCUCUCAAACCCUGCUGCUGCUUUAUCAAUGAAGUUUAUGUAAAUAUUCUAAAUCAUUUGUUGUCAUUUCAACAAUCUUCACCACAUCUUCACCAGGAAUAGAUUCCAUCUUAAGAAACCACUUUCUUUGCUUAUCCAUAAAAAGCAACUACUCAUCCAUUCACGUUUUAUCAUGAGAUUGCAGCAAUUCAGUCACAUCUUCAGGCUCCACUUCUAAUUCUAGUUCUCUUGUUGUUUCUACCACAUCUGCAGUUAAUUUCUCCACUGAAGUCUUGAACCCCUCAAAGUCAGCCAUGAGGGUUGGAAUCAACUUCUUUCAAACUCCUAUUCAAGUUUAUAUUUUGACCUCUUCCCAUGAGUCAUAUUUUUAAUGGUGUCUAGAAUGGUGAAUCCAUGCCAGAGGUUUUCAAUUUACUUUGCCUAGAUAAUCAGAGGACUCACUAUCAAUGACAGCUAUAGGCUUAUAAAAUGUAUUUCUUAAAUAAGAUUUGAAAGUAAAAAUUACUUGGGCAAUAGAAUGGAUGUUGUGUUAGCAGGCAUGCAAAUAGCAUAAAUCUCAUACAUCUCCACCAGAGCUCUUAAAUGCAUUCAUUGUCAAUGAGCAAUAAUAUUUUGAAAAGAAUAUUUUUUUUCUGAGCAAUAGGUUGUAACAGUAGGUUUAAAAUAUUCAGCAAAGCAUGUCGUAAACAGAUGAGCUGUCAUUCAGGCUUUUUGUUCUUGUUCUUGUUCCAUUUAUACAGCACAAGCAAAGUAGAUCGUGCAUAAUUCUUAAGGAGCCUAGGAUUUUCAGAAUGGUAAACGAACAUUGGCUUCAACUUAAAGUUACCAGCUGCACUAGUCUUAAAAGAAUCACCCUGUCCUUCUAAGCUUUGAAGCCUGUCAUUGACUUCUCCUCUCUAACUAUGAAAGUUAGAAAUAGAAUCUUCUUCUAACAAAGGGCUGUUUUGUGUACAUUGAAAAUCUCUUUUGUUUUGUUUUUUAGUGCAGCCAUCUGUAUUAAUUACCUUAGAUCAUCUAGAUAACUUGCUGCAGCUUCUACAUCAGCACUUGCUGCUUCACCUUGACUUUUAUCUCAUGGAGAUGGCUUCUUUCCUUAAACUUCAUGAACCAACCUCUACCAGCUUCAAACUUCUGCAGCUUCCUCACCUCUCUCAACCUUCUUGGAAAUGAAGAGAGUUAGGGCUUUACUCUGGAUUAAACUUUGACAUAAUGGAAUUUUGUGGCUGGCUUGAUCUUCUGUCCAGACCACUAAAAUUUCUCCAUAUCAGCAAUAAAGCUCUUGUACUUUCUUAUCAUUCAUGUGUUCACAUGUGUUUAAUUUCUUUCAAGAACUUUUUCUUUGUAUUUGCAAUUUGACUGGUGCAAAAGGCCUAACCUUCAACCUGUCUUGGCUUUUCACAUGCCUCCUUCACUGAGCUUACUCAGUUUUAGCUUCUGACUUAAAGUGAAAGACAUGACUCUUCCUUUCACUUGAAAACUAAGAUGCCACUGUGGGGUUAUUAACUGACCUAAUUUCAAUACUGUUGUAUCUCAGGGAACAGGGAGGCCUGAGGACAGGGAGAGAGAUGAAGGAACAGUCAGUGGACGAGUCAGAAUACACACAACAUUUAUUGAUUGUUCGACAUUUUAUUGGAGUAUGGUUUGGGACACAAUAGUAACAUCAAAGAUUACUGUUCACAGAUCGCCAUAACAAAUGUAAUAACAAUGAAAAAGUGUGAAAUUCUGCUUGAAUUACCAAAAUGUGACACAUAUAUACAUGAAGUACGCAAAUGCUCUUGGGAAAAUGGCACCAGUAGACUUGCUCAGAAACCCAGGGUUGUCACGAAAGUUUAAUUUGUAAAAACCACAAUAUUAGCAAAACACAAUAAAAUGAAAGUAGUAAAAUGAGGUAUGCAUGUAUAAAUAUAUGUAUAUGUAUCUAUAUAUCAAAGAUUAUGUGUAAACACAACACACAUAUGUACAGUGUUACAUAAGUGAAUUCCUUUUAAAUUUUUUUCUUAAUGUUUAUUUAUUUUUGAGAGAGACAGAGACAGCAAGCAGGGGAAGGGCAGAGAGAGAGACAGAGAGAGACAGAAUCCAAAGCAGGCUCCAGGUUCCAAACUGUCAGUACAGAGCCUGAUGCAGAGCUCAAACUCAUAGACUGCGAGCUCAAGACCUGAGCCAGCCUCAGACAUUUAACCGACUGAGCCACCCAGGCACCCCUUAAGUGAAUUCCUUUUAAUAAAAGCUCUUCUAUAACCUGUUUUUUAAACUUACAAUAUAUUACAGACAUCUUUACAUUGCAGUAUAUGUGUAUUUGUAUACACAUAAUUUUUUUUUUUUUACCAUUAAUUAGUAUUACAUCUCCGGAACGAAUGGCAAUUUAUUUACUCAAUUCCCUAUCCAAGUAUAUUAGUCAUUGCUAGUUUCUAGUGUUACUGUUUUAAAUUACACCAAAUAUUUUUAUGCACAGGGAUCUUUCUCCAUACAUACGGUUAUCUUUUUAGUCAAGUUCCUAGAAGGAUGAUUGCUGAGUUAGUAAAACCUUAACCAGCUGUGUUAAAGGGAGAGUCAUAAAGGGCUAGAAUCUUGGCCCUAGAUAUGGUCUAUCAGAUCACGAGCCCUCUGGGGGGUUCUGGAUAUGCCAGUAAAGCCUUGAGCUCCUACAGAAGGGAGAGGUGAAAUGACAGGGGGAAUAAAAUGGGGACAAAAAUGCAUGAACUAUGAACGUUUUUAAUGCCACAUUUUUAUCUUUUGCUAUAAUGAAACAAUAAGGGAAGUACUGUUACAGGCAAUCAUACUUAUUUUUAUGUUUACUUGAGUAGUAUGUAUCAAUCUUUUGUCUAGACUAUAAAGUCCCCAUGGGUAGAAGCUGGGUCUGGUUUUCUUUUGUUGUUCACUAAUAUGUGCUGAAUGCCUGACAUUGUGUGUGGAUGUGUUUGGGGGAGGGGGGUUAAAGAGUAAGUUAAUUACAUAAAAAAUAUUUCAUGAUGGAAGGGAUUUGGAAGGAAGCUCCUAAAGAGUGAAAUGCUAGAGACUCUAUUCUCUUCCCAAUCUUCUACCCAAUGCCCAAUAUGACUUUUGUCUAUUAUACUCUCUAUCCCAUAACAGUGGAAAUGGAAAGCCAUACAACUGCAGAUGCAUCCACUAUAUUAGGGCAAAAGAUGAUUCUGUCUCAGGAAAUAGUGUAUAAAACAAGUUGUUACACAUGAGUCAUCCCUAUCAGUCAAGAUUUAUCUUUAAUGUAAAUCACUGACCUUAGUAGGGUCAACCUAUUUUCAUGACCAGCAUUUGAUUUAUUUUUACCUCUUACUUCCCUUUCUAAACAAGGUGAGUUUCUGUGAGAUUAUGAAAAUCAAGGGAGAAAUGGACUUAGAGAUGUGAAUUUAUACUGAAUUCUAGCCAUUGCAACAUUCUAUAAUGUGCCACUUUGACUUGCCCCAAAACACUCUGGAAAGAGAUUUUUUUUCUUUCCAUAAAUGAUGUUUAUUUGCCUUUUCUCUUUCCAAAAAUGUUUCCUGUCACAUCAUUCAGGGUUUUAUCUAAGCUUCUUGAAGUCUUGUCAUCCUUCCCAGAGCAGUGAGGUAGUUUUCAUGCUUCCUAACUCACUUAACAUGUGUCUGCUCUUCUGUGCCCAGCCAAAGAGCAAGCUAAACAGAGACACCCUAAACCCAUCAGCCAACUGACAACUCCACAGAUUCCUGGACUUGAGAGUAGUAUUAACCCUCAAAGUACUUCAACUAUCCUUGAAGAAAAAGAGAGAUUGCUCUUUGGCUUUUCAAAGUGAAGUCUGGAGACCAACAGCAUAAGCAUCCCCUACUAGCUUCUUAAAAAUCCAGAAUCCCAAACCUUAUCUCAGAUGUAAUGUCAUAUUAUACAUUUCUCAAGACACUUGGGUAUUUGGUAUUCACCUUAUAGAUCUAAAGGACAGUCUCUUGGGUCCGUUCUCCCUGAUAUCUCUCUGUUUCCAAAAUAUCUCCCUGUUUUAGGCAACAAAAUGAAGCAUGUGUAAAGAAUGGAAUAACUAAAAGUGCAUUACUUCAAUAACUCACACCAUUAUGUUAGGCAAGAAAAAUCUUUCAUACUAAUUUAAAGGAUAUUUUCUCUAUUUAAAAAAAAAAAAAAAAAAAAAACUACUUAGUCCUGAGAGCAUUUCGUUAUUUUCAAAGCAAUUUACUCCCCAUUCUCUCAUUUGUUCUAAAUAAUAGUCCUACAAAAAGACCAAAUCAUGGCUAAAAAUGAGGGGUAAGAGGGACGCCUGGGUGGCUCAGCCGGUUAAGCAUCCGACUUCAGCUCAGGUCUGAUCUCAUUGUUCAUGAGUUUCAGCCCGCAUCAGACUCUGUGCUGAUAGCUCAGAGCCGGGAGCCCACUUCAGAUUCUGCGUCUCCCUCUCUCCCUCUCUCUCUGACCCUCUCCUGCACGCUCGCUCUCUUUCUCUCUCUCUCUCUCAAAAAUGAAAAAACAUUUUUUUUUUAAUGAGGGGUCCAAAAAAAAGUGAUCUUUGGGGCUCUCAGACUCUCCUUAUGAACUUAUCUCUUAUCUCUUAUCUCUUAUGGUUUCCAGGACUCUCCGACUCUAAAUCUUACUUCAAGCAAAAUCUAUUCUUAGAAUAACACACAAUGCUAGCCAUUUAUUAUUUUCACAGAUUUGUUCUAACAAUUUGUAGUCCUAUCUCUCAAGAUGAAAGAAAGUCUUGGUCUCCCAUUAAAGGAAAAUUACACGUGAGAAACUUGAAGAGAUAAGUAUUGACUGGAUCAGAGUUGGCAAGUAAGUUUCAUAUGAGCAAUUGAGAGCUUCUGGAGUUCUGUAUUAAAAAGGAUUCUGAUGGGGCGCCUGGGUGGCGCAGUCGGUUAAGCGUCCGACUUCAGCCAGGUCACGAUCUCGCGGUCCGUGAGUUCGAGCCCCGCGUCGGGCUCUGGGCCGAUGGCUCAGAGCCUGGAGCCUGUUUCCGAUUCUGUGUCUCCCUCUCACUCUGCCCCUCCCCCGUUCAUGCUCUGUCUCUCUCUGUCCCAAAAAUAAAUAAACGUUGAAAAAAAAAAAAAAAGGAUUCUGAGGCUGCAUCUGGGUUAACCAGGGGAGAAAAAAACGGGAUCAAUCAGUGAUAUCUGCUCUGGGUAUGAACAUAGCCAUACAUCAGCCAUAUAAUGUUUCAUACUAACAUUUACUAAAUCUUUACCCGCCAUUCAUUGUCAAGCUUCUUGUAUGCUGUCUUAGUUAUCUAUUGCUACGUAACAAAUUACCCCAAACUUUGGUAGCUUAGGAGAAUAACAUUUAUUACCAUAUAGUUUCUGAGCAUCAGGACUCUUUGAGCUGCUUUCCUGGGUUCUCUGUCUCAGGGUUUCCUAUGAGGAUACAACCAAGGUAUCAGCAGAGGCUACAGUCUCAUUCAAAGGCUAAGUUGGGGAAAGAUUCAAGAUCACUUAUGUGGUUAUUGGUAGCAUUGAAUUCCUUGAAGGCUCUUGGCCUCACCAUAGGGCAACGAUGCAAGAGUGAGAGAGAAUGUUAGGAACAGUGAAGUCACAGUAUUUUUCAACCUAGUUAGAGAAAUACUAUGCCAUCACCUUCGCCUGUUGUACUCAUUAGAUACAAGCCACUGUGUCCACUCAAGGGAAGGGUGUGAAUACUAGGAAGUGGGAAUCACUGGGAGCCCUUUUACAAGCAGCCUGCCAUAAAUGCCUUAUCCCAUUUAAUCUCCACCAUGACCUCUUAAGAUAUGUACUGUUAUUAUCCCAUUUUUACAAAUGAGGAAGCAGGCAUAGAGAGGCAGUCAUUUAUUCAAGAUGAUCUAGCUGAUAAGGGAGAGCACUUGGAUUUUGAAUUUAAAGCUGAUGUAAUGGUUACUAAGCCUUUUGCCAUCUCUAGAAUGACUCUACAGAGUGGUCCUCAAAAUGUUUUGACCAUGAACCCCUGAGUUAGCAAAAACUCAGAAUAUACCCUUACUAUAUGUAUAUGUAUUUAUAAAGUACAUCUUAAUCUAUAAUUAAAUAUGAGUUAGGCUUACUUUUAAUAGUGAUUGUGAAUAGAAGUUCUUUUAUCCAUACCACCAUGGAUUGUCUUGCCCUCCCCUGGCGUCACCCCCACACUGGAAACUACCAAGCUAACACCCUUUCAACUGUGGCAUCCUAUGAUCCAUGACUCCCUAGUGGACAGUCCAGUGGGCUGGUUGGAGAUACAGUGCGAAGCUUCUCCUGUCUAACCACUUAAAAAAGGAAGAAACUGUCUGUCAUCCUCUUCCUCACCCCAUGAUAAAUGUUAGGAGAAAUGUUGAAUGAGUAGGAGUUUUACCAAUUCCUUCUUCUUACUUAGUUUCGUCAAGUCACUUAAGAAAGAAUAUUGCAGGAUUGGAGCAGACUUCUCCCAGCUCAAAACUGUGGGGCUUCACUAUGGAAGAAAAAAAAAUGCUUUUAAAUCUUCUUCCUGAUCAGACAUGACAGGUGGGGAAAAGUGCAGAUGUAGUUUCCAACUGAGGCUCUCUGCUUUAUAAGGAACAAUUUAUUAUUGUCUAAAAAUUACAUGUUUAUUUUAAACAGGUAAUUCAUUCACAUGAAAAACAUGUUUAAUGCAUUAUGACUAUUCAGUGAUAAUUAAGCUUUCCCCAUAGCCUGUCCUCAACCUCUCUGCUCUCUUCCCCUAAUAUAACCAUUUUGUGUGUGUGUAUCCUUCCAGUGAGAGUCUGUGUCCAUUCACAUAUACAUGUGGAUGCCCACACUUUUUUUUUUGUAUCCCAAAUGUUUUGUGCCUUAAUGUUUUUUCAAUUAUUUUUUCUUGUAGAUGGUGUUACAUUAGUACACAGAACAUUUUCUUAUCCUUCGUUUUUUUUUUUUUUUAAAUAUAAUUCAUUGUCAAAUUGGCUAAUAUACACUGUGUAAAAUGUGCUCUUGGUUUUUGGGGUAGAUUCCUGUGGUUCAUUGCUUACAUAUAACACCCAGUGCUCAUCCCAACAAGUGUCCUCCUCAAUGCCCAUCACCCAUUUUCUCCUAACUCCACCCCCGCCCCCAUCCACCCUCAAUUUGUUCUCUGUAUUUAAGAGUCUCUUGUGGUUGGCCUCCCUCCCACUCAGUUUGUAGCUAAUUUUUUUCCCUUUGCUUCCCCCAUGGUCUUCUGUUAAGUUUCUCAAAUUCCACAUAUGAGUGAAAACAUAUGAUAUCUGUCUUUCUCUGACUGACUUAUUUCAUUUAGCAUAAUACCUUCCAGUUCCAUCCACCUUGCUGCAAAUGGCAUGAUUUCAUUCUUUCUCAUUGCCAAGUAGUAUUCCUUGUAUAUAUAAGCCAUAUCUUCUUUAUCCAUUCAUCAGUUGAUGGACAUUUAGGCUCUUUCCAUAUUUUGGCUAUUGUUGAAAGUAUUACAGUAAACACUGGGGUACAUGUGCCCCUAUGCAUCAGCACUCCUGUUUCCUUUGGAUAAAUUCCUAGUGGUGCAAUUGAUGGAUUGUAGGGUAGUUCUAUUUUUAAUUUUUUGAGGAACCUCCACACUGUUUUCCAGAGUGGCUGCACCAGUUUGCAUUCCCACCAACAGUGCAAGAGGGUUCCCAUUUUUCCACAUCGUCUCCAGCAUCUAUAGUCUCCUGAUUUGUUCAUUUUAGCCACUCUGACUGGCAUGAGGUGAUAUCUCAGUGUGGUUUUGAUCUGUAUUUCCCUGAUGAGGAGUGACGUUGGGCAUCUUUUCAUGUUCCUGUGGGCCAUCUGGAUGUUUUCUUUACAGAAGUGUAUAUGAAUGUCUUCUGCCCAUUUCUUCACUGGAUUAUUUGUUUUUCAGGUGUAGAAAUUGGUGAGUUCUUUAUAGAUUUUGGAUUUUGAUUAGUAUCCAAAUCAUUUAUAGAUUCAUUGAAUGAUUCUAUGAAUCAUUUAUAGAUUCAUUCAAUCUAUAAAUGAAAAGAUAUGUCAUUUGCAAAUAUCUUUUCCCACUUUGUUGGUUGCCUUUUAGUUUUGUUGAUUGUUUCCUUUGCAGUGCAGAAGCUUUUUAUUUUGAUGAGGCCCCAAUAGCUCAUUUUUGCUUUUAAUUCCCUUGCCUUUGGAGAUGUGUUGAGUAAGAAAUUGCUACACCUGAGGUCAUAGAGGUUUUUUCCUGCUUUCUUUUCUAGGGUUUUGAUGGUUUCCUGUCUCAUAUUCAGGUCCUUCAUGCAUUUUGAGUUUGUUUUUGUGAAUGGGGUGAGAAAGUGGUCUAGUUUCAUUCUUCUGCAUGUUGCUGUCCAGUUCUCCUAGCACCAUUUGUGAACGAGACUGUUUUUUCCAUUAGAUAUUCUUUCCUGCUUUGUCAAAGAUUAGUUGGCCAUACAUUUACAGGUCUAAUUCUGGGUUCUGUAUUCUGUUCCAUUGGUCUAUGUGUCUGUUCUUGUGUCAAUACCAUACUGUCUUGAUGAUUAAAGCUUUGUAGUAGAGGCGAAAGUCUGGGAUUGUGGUGCCCCCACUUUGGUUUUCUUCUUCAAUAUUAGUUUGACUAUUCGGGGUCAUUUGUGGUUCCAUACAAAUUUUAGGAUUGUUUUUUCUAGUUUUUGGAAGGAUGCCAGUGCAAUUUUGAUUGGGGUUGCAUUGAAUGUGUAGAUUUCUUUGGGUAGUAUUGACAUUUUCACAAUAUUUAUUCUUCCAAUCCAUGACCAUGGAAUGUUUUUCCAUUUCUUUGUGUCUUCUUCAAUUUCCUUCGUAAGUUUCCUAUAGUUUUCAGCCUACAGAUCUUUUACAUCUUUGGUUAGGUUUAUUCCUAGGUAUUUUAUGGUUCUUGGUGCAAUUGUAAAUGGGAUCAGUUUCUUGAUUUCUCUUUCUGUUGCUCAUUAUUGGUGUGUAAAAAUACAACUGAUUUUUGUACAUUGAUUUUGUAUCCUGCGACUUUGCUGAAUUCAUGUAUCAGUUUCUGCAGCUUUUUGGUGGGGUCUUUCGGGCUUUCCAUGUAGAGUAUCAUGUCAUCUGUGAAAAGUGAAAGUUUGACUUCUUCUUUGCUAAUUUUGAUGCCUUUUAUUUCAUUUUGUUGUCUGAUUGCUGAUUCUAAAACUUUCAACACUGUGUUAAACAACAGUGGUGAAAGUGGAAAUCUCUGUUGUGUUCCUGAUCUCAGGGGAAAGCUCUAAGUUUUUCCCCAUUGAGGAUGAUAUUAGCUGUGGACUUUUCAUAUAUGGCUUAUAUGAUGUUUAAGUAUGUUCCUUCUAUCCCAACUUUUCUGAGGGUUUUUAUUAAGAAAGGAUGCUAUGUUUUGUCAAAUGCUUUUUCUGCAUCUUUGACAGAAUCGUAUGGUUCUUAUCUUUUCUUUUAUUAAUGUGAUGUAUCACAUUGAUUUGCAAAUAUUGAACCAUCCCUGCAUCCCAGGAAGGAAUCCCACUUGAUCAUGGUGAAUAAUUCUUUUUAUAUGCUGUUGAAUUCGAUUUGCUAGUAUCUUGUUGAGAAUUUUUGCAUUCAUGUUCAUCAGGGAUAUUGGCCUAAAAUUCUCCUUUUUUUGUGGGGCCUCUGUCUGGUUUUGGAAUCAAGGUAAUUUUGGCUUCAUAGAACAAGUCCAGAAAUUUUCCUUCUGCUUCUAUUUUUGGAAUGCUUGAGAAGGAUAGGUAUUAUCACUGCUUUAAAUGUCUGGUAGAAUUCCCCUGGGAAGCCAUCUGGCUCAGGACUCUUUUGUUGGGAGAUUUUUGGUAACUGAUUCAAUUUCUUCUCUGGUUAUGGGUCUGUUGACAUUUUCUAUUUCUUCCGAUUUGAGUUUUAGUAGUGUGUAGGUGCUUAGGAAUUUGGCCAUUUCUUCCAGGUUGUCCAGUUUGUUGGGAUAUAAUUUUUCAUAGUAUUCUCUGAUGAUUGUAUUUCUGUGAUGUUGGUUGUGAUCUGUCCUCUUUAAUUCAUGAUUUUACUUAUUUGGGUCCUCUCUCUAUUCUUUUUGAGAAGUUGUCUAGGGGUUUAUCAAUUUUGUUUAUGUUUUCAAAAAAAAAUUCUUUAGUUUCAUUGAUCUGUUCUGGUUUUUUUUUUAUUAUUCUAUAUUGCUUAUUUCUGCUCUGAUCUUUAUUAUUUCUCUCCUUCUGCUGGCCUUGGAAUUUUUUUGUUGUUCUGAUUCUACUUCCUUUAGGUGUUAUGUUAGAUUUUGUGUUUGGGAUUUUUCUUAUUUCUUGUGAUAGGCCUGGAUUGCAAUGUAUUUUCCUCUUAGGACUGCUUUUGCUGCAUCCCAAAGCGUUUGGACUGUCGUGUUUUCAUUUUAAUUUGUUUCCAUAUAUUUUUUAAUUUCUUCUUUAAUUCACUGGUUGACCCAUUCAUUCUUCAGUAGGAUGUUCUUUAACCUCCAUGCCUUUGGAGGUUUUCCAAACUUUCCUGUGGUUGAUUUCAAGUUUCAUAGCAUUGUGAUCUGAAAGUGUGCAUGGUUUGAUCUCAAUUCUUUUAUAUUUAUUGAGGGCUGUUUUGUGACCCAGUAUGUGAUCUAUCUUGGGGCAUGUUCCAUGUGCACCUGAAAAGAAUGUGUAUUCUGCUUUAGGAUGAAAAGUUCUGAAUAUAUCUGUCAAGCCCAUCUGGCACAGUAUAUUAUUCAGGGCCAUUGUUUCUUUAUUGAUCUUCUGUCUAGAUGAUCUGUCCAUUGUUGUAAGUGGAGUAUUAAAGUCUCCUGCAAUUACCACAUUCUUGCCAAUAAGAUUGCUUAUGUUUGUAAUAAAUUGUUUUAUAUAUUUGGGUACUUCCAAAUUUGGUGCAUAGACAUUUAUAAUUGUUAGCUCUUCUUGAUGGAUAGACCCUGUAAUUAUUUUAUAAUGCCCUUCUUCAUCCCUUAUUACAGCCUUUAGUUUAAAAUCUAGUUUGUCUGAUAUAAGUAUGGCUACUUCAGCUUUCUUUUGACUUCCAAUAGCAUGAUAGAUGGAUCUUCAUCCCCUCACUUUCAAUCUGAAUGUGCCCUCAGGUCUAAAAUGGGUUCUCCUGUAGACAUCAAAUAGAUGGGUCUUGUUUGUUUAUCCUUUCUGAUACCCUAUGUCUUUUGAUUGGAGCAGUUAGUCCAUUUACAUUCAGUGUUAUUAUUGAAAGAUCUAGAUUUAGAGUCAUUGUGUUAUCUGUAGGUUUCAUGCUUAUAGUGGUGUCUCUGGUACUUUGUGGUUUUUGCAACAUUCCACUCACAGAAUCCCCUUUAGGAUCUCUUGUAGGGCUGGUUUAGUGGUGAAGAAUUCCUUCAGUUUCUGUUUGUCUGGGGAAACCUUUAUCUCUCCUUCUAUUCUGAAUGACAGGCUUGCUGCAUAAAGGAUUCUUGGCUGCAUAUUUUUCCUAUAGAGUGCAUUGAAAAUUUCCUGCUACUCCUUUCUGGCCUGCCAAGUUUUAGUAAAUAGGACUGCUACUAUCCUUACAUGUCUACCCUUGUAGGUUAAGACCCAUUUAUCCUUAGCUGUUUUCAGAAUUCUCUCUUUAUCUUUGUAUUUUGCCAGUUUCACUAUGAUAUGUCAUGCAGAAGACCGAUUCAAGUUAUAUCUGAAGGGAGUUCUCUGUGCCUCCUGGAUUUUAAUGUCUGUUUCCUUCCCCAAAUUGGGGAAGUUUUCUUCUAUGAUUUGUUUGAGUAUACCUUCUGCCCCUUUCUCUCUCUUCUUCUUCUGGAACUCCUCUGAUAUGGAUAUUAUUCUGUUUCAUUGAAUCACUUAGUUCUCUAAUUUUCCCCUUAUAGUCCAGAAUGUUUUGUCUCUUUUUCUUAGCAUGAACUUUUUCCAUAAUGUUAUCUUCUAUCACUUAUUCUCCCCUCUGCCUCUUCAAUCCUCACUGCCAUUGCCUCUAGUUUAUUUUGUACCUCAUUUACAGCAUUUUUUAAAUCAUUCUAUUUUUCAGUUCCUUGAUCUCUGCAGAAGUAGAUUCUCUGCUCUCUUCUAUGCUUUUUUCAAGCCCAGUGAUUAAUUAUAUGACUAUUAUUCUAAAUUCUUGUUCAGUUGUAUUGUUUAUAUAUUGAUCAAUUCUUUAGCUGUCAUUUCUUCCUGGAGUUUCUUUUGAGGAGAAUUCUUCUGUCUCAUCAUUUUGGCUAGUUUUCUGUCCCUUACAGGUUUUAAAAGCUUGUUAUGUGUCCUGCACCUGCGAGCACUACUAUAUUAAAGAGGGGUCAUACACUGUCCGGGGCCUGGCUCUUCAGGAGGUAUUUUUUGGAGUGCGUUACUUGCUCUCUGUUGUUGUGACCUUGGUUACUUUAUCUCCCUACUUGUAGUGAUGUUUUGGACCCUCCACCAGGUGUGCUUUGAUUGGUUCCUUGAAGCAGCCCUGGAAAGGGAAACAAACAAACAAAAAACAAAAACAAACAAACAAAACAAAUACCAGCUACAAGCAAACAGGUGGAGGCAUUGCUGAUGGAAGAGGCCUUAUCCCAUACAAAGAGAGAAAUGAUAGGGGUGGGGAAAAAGAAAAGAAAAUAAAUUGACCAGACAGAGAAACUAUAUGGCUUAAUCCAGAGAGAGAGAAAGGAAAAUAAAGAAGGAGGUGUAGAACAUGUAUAAAGAGAAUAGACUGUGUCUGCUUAAACAAACCAACAACCAGAGUAACCUGAUUAGAGGAGGGAAGAGGUAAGGAGAAAAGGAAGGAAGAAUAUAUAUAUGACAAGAAUUAUCCGAGAAUUAAAUCAGGCAGUGCAACAGAACUGGUCUGGAGUAGGAGCUAACAGUUUGUCAGCAUCACUCCCGCUCUUGUAGAUACACAGUUACCAGGCAUGGAGGGGGCAUGAUUUGGUGUAGUCAGGACCCACCUCCACUGUGGGCCCACUGUCUGUUCCCUGAAGCCCCACCUUGGUGGUGGUGGGGAGACAAAUGGCGACACCCCAGUCUCUCCUCCACAGACCAGGUAUCCCAAACCACUCUGUCCAAGCCAUCCUCACUGUGCCCCCCGGGUGCAAACGAGGUGUUGUAUCCUGCUCUGCUGACUCCCGUGCCUCCCUGGUGUUUGGCUGGGAUUUAAACACUGAUGUCUUAAAGACUCCCAACCCAUGAGUCCCGGUUCCAGGGAAGAGUCACCCCACCGCCUCACAGUGCCACACACAGCGUUUGUCCCACUCUGCCAACUCCCAUACCUUCCUGGCCCUCAGCUGGGACUUAAACCCUGAUGCCUUUAAAGUUCCCACUCUGUACACCCCAGUUUCAGCCACUCCAUGCCGCCCAAUAGAUGGUCUCUGGCUGGCAGGCACAGGCAGUCUUUGUCCUUUGAAAGCUUAUAUACCUUCUUCCCACAGCACUCCAGGGAGGGGAUUGCUUUCUCCCAUUGAGGACUGUGCCUCUGAACUAGUUACUGAGCCCAGGACUGGCUCCCUUCCUCCCUAGGUGCAUGAACCGGGCAGCCAGCCCCAGUCCAGAGGAGACCCUGCAGUUAGAGAUUGGAUCCUUUUCCAUCCUGGCCCGUGGUUUUUCUCUUAUAGUCCUAUGCUUCCUCAGCCUUUCUCUCUCUUCCUUUUGUCUCUCUGCAGAAGGGGAUCCCUCCCCUCCAUGCCUAUGCCACCCGUUUUAUUUCUCCCAGUUCGCAAUCACAGACCUAUGGUCUGUCAGAUUGUCCCAGUGGGUCCCUGCAGACAUCUCUGUCACUUUGCCGCCCAGACUCUUGGAGUUCAAAGUCUUUUGGAUUCAACACUGCUGUGUUUGAGAGAUGAGGGAACUUCAGAUCCCCCUAUUUCUCUGCCCUGUUGGCCCCUUCCAACUUUCUUAUCCUUCUUAAUGGCCACAUAAUAUUCUAUAGUAUGAAUGCACAAAAAUUUAUGUAACCAAUCCUCUGUAUAUGGACACUUAGGUUGAUUCCAAUUUUUUGCUCUUAUAAACAAUGCUGCAAUAGAUAGGUCUUUUACAGAAUUGUUUGGGAAAGCAUUUGGCUUUCACUGUUGGGUCUAAUAGUUUUUUUCUGCCCACUUGACAAUUAUGUAGUUAUUUUUUCACCAGGUUGGGGAGUAACUGAAUAAUAGGGACAUAUAACUGCCUUUGUGUCUUCCAAAUAAUUCUCUGACAGUGCUCCCCUUGCUCUAAUAUUUGAUACCUUAUCUGAGUAAGCCCCACAAUGCUACUAAGAGAAAACUUGUAUGUGAUUUCCCUGGAAGACUAGAGAAACUAAGGCUCCAUCUUCCAUUUUUUAGUCUCCCACUGCAGUCCCGGUAAACAAGUGUAAGAACACUGACACAUACUAGCUAACCGAGGUUUACCAUGAUGGUAUGGGUAUAGUGGGAGAGCUGCACCUUUCAGGUCAGUGUAUUAGUACUGUGUGGGCAGUUCCCCAAAUCAAGAUACUGUCACCAGAAAAUAGGGAUUUCAUGCUAGCUAGGCACAAACCAUAUGUGCCCACUCUGGUAUGUGUUCAAGCAGACCCUCUAUCAGUGACCCUUUAUGAUUAUCCCUUUUAUAGCUCUGAAUUACCCUGCCUCUCUAGUCCUCUUUCCACAGCAAGCCUAGAUGAUCUCUAACAUACCACCCAUCUGAAGCUUUCCCCAACUUUGUGAUUUGUCAUCACAUAUGGGGGAGGGAGGUGUCAGACUCAGGCAUCUGCCUUUAUUUUCUUUGGUCCCGAUCUUGUCAUAUCACUCAGAACUUGCCAGAUGUGGAAAUCUGGUCCUUCCUCUUGCCUUCCUGGCCAACUACAUGUGGAAAUUAUUCACAGAUGACCAACUGAAAUGCCUUCUGAACACAUUUUUGCUCUAAUUUUCCAAUCUGUAUUCUGGCAAAGGUGACAGACACACACACACAUAUACUGAAAUCUCAGCCUCUGAGAUCUGACUGGGCAAGAUUUUUGACAUGUGAACAAAUUUUUAUAAGCAUAUGGAUGACUCUGCUGAUUGUAUUUUUCGCUUCCAUAAGCAUCUCAGGGGGAAAUCUUUAAUAAUAACAGCAGCAGCAGAAGCUCCAUUUGCAUUCCUGUGGCAUCAUGCAGUCAGUAUAAGACACAGAGAAUUGUGUUGAAGAGUAUAGGACCUGCAGUCAGUCUAACUGGUUUAGAACCCCAUUUCCAUCUCUCAGUAGCUAUGUCACCUGAACAGUCUUGAGCUCUCUGAACAUCAGUUAUGUUGCUACAAAAAGCAACAACAAAAACAAAAAAACAGUAUCCACACAUACCUCAAAACGGCUGCUAUGAGGAUCUAAUGAGUCAGCCCAUGGAAAGUGCUUAACCCACGGCCUGUUACAUCAUAAAUACAAAGUACUAAUUGAUUAUUCUUGUAGCUAUCCCUACGAGAUUGUUUUUCCCCAUUUUAUAAAUGUGCGAACUUAAAAGAUACGUAAAUAACUUGCCCAAAACCAAAAGUAGCGGAACUGGGAAUUAAACUUAGGUCUAUCUGUCUCCUUAAUUCUUCAAAUAAUUUUUGGGUGCCUCCUAUGUUCUACUGCAGUGGGAAUAGAGAAACAGGUGAGCAAGUCGCCGCCAUGACCCUCAUGGAGCUGGCAAUUUAAUAAGAUGCCACAGAGCUCCUUGACAUAACGCCCACCCAUUGUCUUUGUGAAGCUGCCCCAGGGCGCCUAGUUCAAAUGUCCCGGUCCCCCUCCCCCAAUACUCUUGAUAGUAAUUGCAGCAGCUAGAAUUUACUGGAUGCUGCUGGGUACUCAUUUAAUCUCCUCUAUAGCCUUGUGGGGCAGCUACUGUGAUCAUCAUUUUAUGGAUCAGAAAUCUGAGGAGUGCAGAAGGUAGAAUGACUUGUUAAGGUCAUGUAGCUAGAAAAUGCUGGAGCUGGUAUUUGAACCUAGGCAGCACAGUUCAUUACAUUAUCUCCCAGGAGGAAAGAUGAUCUUCAACUGGAAAGGGAGCCUGAGCAAAAAGCUGUGUCAUUGCUGCAGCUAAUCACAUAGAACGUAGGUCCCAUUUUUUUGUGACCUGAGCUCCUACAGUUACCCUCCAAGGGUAAGAAAAAGAGACAUUUAGCCAUGAAAACAAAGAAAUCAAGCACUAGCUAAUUAAAAGCAAAGGCACUAGAACUUAAACUGACUAGCUCUGCUCUCCUAAACUCCAAUUACUUGAAUUUUCAAGAAUUCCUGUGUCAAGGAGCAAGCUCUUAUUAGGUCAGACAGUGGCAGAUAUUGGCUCCCUUGAGCUUAUGGGAAUGAGGCUUGACUGGGUUGGGUACAGACAGGCAUGGCCCCAGAAGACCUGGGCAGAGGCUGAGCUAGGAGUCUAACAGAUAAAUACAGCCACCACCUGCUGACUUCUGCAGCACGACUGCUUAUCACACAGAGGGCUGUGUUCAUAGGAGUUGAACAAACUUAGUUCUGACUCCCUGAUUCAGAAGAUUCAUCUGAAUCUCCACAGGCGCCUGGUGGGUCUAGGGAGCCAGUGAUGCUGGUAAUAAGUAAAAUGAUGCCAGCAUGAUUUUCCCCCAUUUGUUGGCUUUAUUCAUGGCUACAGUUACCAGCCAGCAAGGGAGCAUCUGCACAACCCUAAGGCAUUGUGAAAUGAUUGUUGAGGAGUAAAAACAAGGCAGAGAAGAGAGACUCCCUGCAGGAAACAAAGAGACCUUGCCCUUCACAAAUAGACAAAGCCAAACACAGCUGGAGCCUGAGUUCAGGUCUAUGUUACUUACAAAAGAGAACACCCAGUCAAAACAGAGACUAGAUUUGUAAUCUUGUUCCCAAACUGAGAUUAAGAAAUCUAAAGCAGUAAGUCCUUUCUGGAUCAACUCCCCAGCUGUCUCCCGGUGUGGAGAUUCCCACAGGAAAACAUAAAUGACUGCCCGGGACUUUGCCAAAGAGGCUGAGCACAGCUGAUAGAGCCAGACGGGUUAUCAUUCCUUUCCAAGGGCAUAACUGAUGGGGUGUUACAUUUGAGCCUGGAAGCACCAAGGCGGGAUGGGGCGGGGGGCACUGGGUAUUUUAACUCAAUUUAUGUGUCUACAAACUGAGUAUCCAGGCAGGUUAUGAGAUCUGCCUAAAGCCAUGCAGCAAUUUGAUGGAAGAAAUAGAACCGAAGCUCCUUCUGCUCCCAGUUCACACUCAGACUUCAGCUGUGUCUACAGGGAAAUGCAAGUACGCCUGCGGGUGUUCCACACAGCCAGUGCAGCCUGGGAAGCCCUCCAUCCUCAUUAUCCAUCAUUAAGUUGCCAGGACCUUUAGUUACUCUUCCCAUGGGGUCAAAACAAAGGCCAAUGUUAUGUACUGUGUAUGUCUGCCUCCUGGAGUUAUAUUGACAAAGCUCCUAAGGAACCCCAGUGGAUGAAAACACCCUCCUGAAUUAAAGCCCUUGAGAAAGUCUGCUGCACCUUCCUGCCUGUAGAGGAAAACAAUAAUAUCAAGGGUCUAUUAGGAAUAAUCAGAAGAGAAUAAGUUACCUCCACCUAUUGGGUGUUUGCUGGAGCCAGCAGGACGUUUCCAGAACCCAGAAAAUGGUGUCAGGGCGAUCAAGAGUCAGACAGGAUGGGAUUCAAGGCAAAGAUCUGCCACUUUCUAGCUGUGUGACACUGGAAAACUCCAACUAUAAGGUGGAGCUAUUAUGUACCUAACAAAUGGCAUGUAAAUUACUUAGCUGAAUAAAUGGGCCAUCUUGAUGAUAGGUUUCUAGUAGAGCUGGAAAUGCCUCCAGAAAUCACCUCAUACAGAAGUUCCCAAAUCUCAGUGAGCACAACCUUGUGUGAGGUGCUAUCUAAAAUUCCAUAUAGCUAGGCCCCAGACACUCCUGUCCCAUAUAGCCCACUUUUAUCCUCUCAAACUCAAAGACCUCCCCACUCCUUUGAUAUGCAAUUACAGAGUCUAGCGAGGGCAAAAGUAAGGUGCUUCCAUCAACAACAUCUGUAACUAUUUUUCAAAAUUUCUGAGGUGAGGAACCAGCUUCUGAAGUUUUCAAAGCUCCACAGGUGAUUCUUAAGUAGCAAAAUCAGCAUCAGUCCUUAAAGUGAUCUUGGGGGGGCCUGUGAUGUAAGCCCUGAGAGUCCCAGAACCAUGGAACAAAUUAGCAAAUCAUAAUAACAGCAACAAAUACACCCUUAGUUUUUCUGAUUUUUAGUCUGAUGACCUCACCAAAUUAAAUUAAGGAAAGAACAAAUCCUGGUUGAUUGUCUCCAGUGUGGUCCGUGUGACCUGGUAUACGAUGUUACCAACUAUUUAGAGUCAUCAAGUUUCUCCCUGAGAACUUACCAUAUGCAACUCAGAACCCUAAACCCAGGAAGAUGGGAGAGCAGUGUGAGUGUUGAAGCAUUGUUGACCUGCUCCAGAGAAGGCUGGCUUUUUAGGACACAAGGUCACAGUAUAGGCGUCUCAGUUCCCUCUCACAGACACCACUUCCAAGUGUCUUCCUGGGUGAUGACAGGCAUUGUGCCCAGAUGGAAAUGAUAAAAUCAAAAGAACAAACCAGGCACACAAACUGAUAAGGGAUGGCAUGUGUCACAUUCGUAACCUGUGGUGAGGAUUAAGUUCUCCUUUAUUUGAGGGCUGACCAGGUGCCGCGAAAUGUGCCGACUAUUGUGAUAACUUACUUAAGCAGUCUUGCAAGAAUAAUACUCUUAUUUUUCCUUUAUUCUCAUUUAUCAGUGCUUUUCAUUUGUCAUCAUUGUAAAGACUGAGGAAAUGUAAGCUUGCAGGGUAGGGAUCACAGGCCUGAGAUGAGCAGAAAGGCAUACAAAAGAGAAAAAUGGAACAUUCCUGGUUUUACUAAAGGAAGCAAAUUUUGUUUUUAAUAAGUGCCCCAAAUGUUAAUGACUUUUCCUUUAAAUAACAGAAUGUUGCCCUCAAUAUUUCUUUAUGCUUCAGUUUCUUCACUUGUAAAAUAAGCAUUCAUAAUGUGCCUACUUCUGAAGAUUAUCAAGAUUGAAUGAUUUAAUGCAUGAAAAGCACUUGGCACAAUGAAUACAUCAUAAUUGUUCAAUGAAUAUUAUAUAUGAUAAUUGCUAUCAGACUGUGGAUUCCUUUUAUUAAGUAGUAAAAUUUACUCAAAUCUAAGGGUGAAAAAUUCGGUGAAUAAUUCAUCUGAGUGCAUUUAUAUAUAUAUAUAUAUAAUAAUUUAUAUAAUAUGUAUACCAUUUAGGGCUUUAGACACUGCAUUAGUUUUUUAUUGCUGUGUAACAAAUUACCAGAAACUUAGCCUGAAGCAACACUCAUUUAUCAUGUUACAGUUUCUGUAGGUCAGAAGUCCAGGCAAGGCAUGGCUGGGUUCUCUCCUCCAGGUCUUACAAAGCUGAAAUCAAGGUAUUCACCUGGCUCUGUUCUUUACUGGAGACUCUUCCAAGCUUGUUCAGGGUUUGGGGCCAAUUCAGUUUUUUGCAGUUUGUAGCACUGCAGACCCCAUUUCUUUGCUAGUUGUCAGAGCUGAGACUAUUUUCAGCUCCUAAAGGUCAUCUACAUUCUUGCCCACGUAGCCCCAUCUAUAUAUCUGUCUUCUAAACCAGCAAUAGAAAAUCUCCCUCCCAUCAAACACGUUCCACACGUCAAAUCUCUCUUCCCAGUCUCUUUGAGAGGCUCACCUGAUUAAUCGUUCUCACCCAGGAUAAUCUAUCUUAAAGUCAGUGGCUUUAGGACCCGAAUUAUGUCUGCCAGACCCAUUCCUAGCAGUAUUUAGAAUACUAUUUAGUUGAAUUAAUGGGAGAAGGCAUGUAUAGAUCAGAGGCCAGGAACAUUGGGGACCAUCUUAGAGUUCUUCCUAUCAUAGAUACAUUUUCUCAUCAACUCUGGCUUGGGUCAAAGCAAGAUGGGACAGUAAAAUAAUGACAGUGACUUCUUUUUUACAUGCAACUUGUGAAAUAAUUCUUUAAAGAUUAUUUUCAUUGUUUUAUAAUUCUACCCCAUAUAUGGAACACCCAAGACCCUUGGCUAGCACUUAACAGGAAUGAGGGUUAAAGAUGCUAAUGGUAAUGUAUUAUUAGACCCUCUAGAAAUAAUCCUAAAUACUCCUCAACACUACCUAUAAUUCACUUAACCUUUUAAUACCUAUUUUAUUACCUGUAAAAGGAAGAGAUGAACAUUUACCUCACAGGGCUGACAUUAAAAUUUAAGGAUAUUUUACAUAAAUGAUAAUGCUGAUGAACAGCUGUCAUUUCUUGCAAGCUUACCAGGUGCAGGCACUGUGCAUGCUUCUAGGAGCAUUGUGGUAUAAUUGAAGGUGUGCAGCUCCAGGCAGAGCUGUAAUUCAGUCCCAACUCUAUCUCAUUGUGUGAAUUUCUGAACUACUCAGAGUCUCAGUGACUCUUUAGAAAAUGGUGAUGAAGAGAAUAGGUAACAGAUGACGUUAAAAUGGAUGCACAACUGUCAAAAGUGUACUGAGCAAAAUUACCAAGUGUAUCACUUAGAGAUAAAAAUACUGUGUGUGGAGAAGACCCUUCUAAACAAAAGAGAGUACUCUUGGAGGUCCUUGAGGAAAUGAACACAAAGCCACCCUUUGUACUUUGAAAAGGUGCCUUGAAGAUGAAUUCAUCUAAUGUUUAAAUUAAGCAUAGGGUAUAGAAAAAAAAAUACACACACAGUGAAAAGAAAAUGAAAAUAUGUCCAACCCAGAACUCACACUCAGUUCUAAUACCAAAACCAAUGUUUUUUCACCUCACCACAAGAAAUGGAGGCAAUGGGAAGGAGGUAGAGGAAGUGGGUGGGGGAAAGUGGAGAAGACAGAAAUACAGAGGAAGAAUAUGGGGAGGGUGGGAGGGAGAAGAGAAAAUAUAUAUGGAAAGAAAUAGGUGGGGGAAGGAUUUGGUAUAUUACAUACUUGUAAACCUUUCUUGUUAUCCAAACUUGGGCUUCUACAGGUUGUAAAAUGCAAUUACUUCCUAACACAUUUCACUGUGUGUUAAUUAGGUGACUGGCAGCUCUUCAGGUGUCUUUUCUCUUAAGCCUUUAAAACUCUUCUUAGAAUCCAUGUGAUAGGCUACACAGUAUGGCAAAAUUAUGAACUGUCCAACAUAACCAAGGCAAUGUGACUCCAAGAUCUGAAAAUCAAGCUGAGAUCCUUAACUGAGUCCCUGUCCUUGGUCUAAAAAUUAGCCACACAGGGACGCCUGGGUGGCUCAGUCAGUUAAGCGUCCGACUCCUGGUUUCAGCUCAGGUCCUUGUCUCACAGUUCAUGAGUUUAAGCCCCAUGUUGGCUCCAUGCUAACAGUGUGGGGCUUGGUUGGGAUUUUCUCUCCCUUCCUUUCUCUCUGCCCUUCACCUACUUAUGAGUGCUUCUUUUCUCUCUCCCUCCCUUCCUCCUUCUCUCUCUCUCUCAAAAUGGAUAAAUAAACUUAAAAAUCAGCCACACUAACUGAAUUAGCACCAAAAAUGAUGCUGAACAAGUGAUUGAGAUGGUUUCAGUGUUUCUUUUUGCCUUUCUACUUCUUGCUAAGUGGUUCUCAAGAGAUGGAUUUCUUGCAGUCAUUUGCUUCUAAAACUAGAAUUAAAUUCUCUGCCUUUACCACUUCCUGUCCCAAGAAGCACCGCAAUGCUGACUGCUCAGCACCUGGGGAGGAGCACUUUCAUUCUAUAUUUUAAUUAGGCCCUGACAUCUGGUGUGGACAGAGUGCUUAUUUGCACACCUGCAGGCUAUUGGCUGUAAAGGAGCCCAGCCUAUCUGGAGAUUACUAGUGCAGAUGGAGACUGCAGCCAUUUAAUUUAAUAGAGCAAUUGUGUGGGCCUUGUAGAAUGUGCCACAACUGUGAAAUGCGGGCCCCAUCUCAAUUCCAGGUACUCUGCGCUGUUCUUCAUGUAACCCCCAUGCCAAUCUUCAUAACAAAUACAGUCAGUUAGAAGAGAAGCUUGGCAACAGAGCAGUUUCGAAAACCUUUCCAGGGGGAGAGGGAAGAAAGGUGGGGCUCUAGGAAGCAAUUGAAUCUAUAAAGACAGUGAAAUUUGUCAAGGGUUUAAAUGAUCAUCUUCCCUCCCCUGUUCAAACAAAUGUGCUAUGUAGCACUCCAGCCUCCUCUAAUGAGCCUCUGUCAGUUGCAGCAGGAGGUGCAAAUGUGACAGGAGGUGGUCAGAGUGGCCUCAGGAGCGCUUGUGUUUCCAGGACACUGGGAACAGUCUCUCAGUUUUCCAUGACAGACUGCCAACUGAAGACUGAGGCCCCUGUUUUAUGGAACUUCACCUGCAACAUCUGUUUUAUCUCCCACUGUAUCCCCAAUACCUCUUGCAGAGCCCGCCAGCUUAUGGGCUCAAUAAGCAUUUAUGGAAAGAAAGAAUGAGUGAUUAGUCAACUGAGGCAGUAUUGCCAGACCACUGAGACCCAUUAGCUUCCUGGAUGCAUCCUUCUGGACCUUCUCAAAGCUCUGGGCCCACCAGAGUAACUCACUGGAAAUUCUGCCUGGCGGUGUGUUCACUGGCUAUAAGAAUAGGGAUGCUCUUAGUUGGUUUACAUUGUUUCCUAAUUAUCUCUUGCAUGCCUGUGGACUCCCAGCUAGCUUACAUUUUUGCUGAGGAGAAAGAGCACUUGUAAUGUAGUGGCAAAGGGUACAAAACAGAAAAAAUGCCUACCGUUAGGGUACUGAUUGAAUGUUGGAGGAGUUGAGAGGAAAAGGAAUUCCUGCUGCCCAGGAAAAUGGGAAGGGUCUUGCUAUAGGUCUGGAGUAUGGGUGGUCAGAGAAGUUAUGCAAGACCUUCUGGGUAAAGAGGGAAAGACAUAGAAAGCAGUUAACAGUGUGGAUUAUGGACAAUGUUGGCUUACAUUCCCAGUUUUACCAUUUUCCAGCCACAUGAAUUUGGGUGAAUAGCAUAAUCUGUCUAAACCUUAGUCUUCUUUUUUAAAAAAUGAGAACACUUUGAUUAUGGCAAAAGCAUUAAAGAAAACAUUAGGAUUAGAGAAUUUUUAAAAACUUCAGACAUAUAGCAAAUGCUUAAUAGAUAACAAUGAUGAUGAUAGGAGAAGUUAAUGAUGCAAUGCUAGCAAUGACCAAGACCCCACAUGGAAAGUGCUCUGAUUGGAAGAAAGGAAAGAGUCUUGUGCACUUGGGGAGGAAACUCCCUAACAGAGUAGGGAGCCAAUUCAAGAAAACCUCAAAAACUGUGAAGUGACAAAGAAAUACUGAGCAACAGAAACUUUCAGGACAAGAAAAGAAAGGUUUACUUGCAAGGAAUGCAAGAAAGUCAGACAUGUGAAGGUCAUGCUCACCAAAUGCAAAAUAUGUUUAAAGGAAUAUACCCCCAAAAUCUCCAAGGAUACUAAGUUUACAUGUGUCUGUUCCUUGUGGAAAAAACAGCAUCUUUUUCAUGUUAUUACCAAAUUCAUAAAGUUCAGGACGUUUCCACAGACAUUAGCAUAGCAAACAUCUGGGAUUAAAUUGCUUUGUUAGGGUUUCAAGGUUUAUGUGUAAUAAUUGAGGUUCUAAAAUUUUAGGGACCACAACCAGUCAGCAUAACCUGUUUUUUUGGAGAUUUUCUGAGGAUGAAGUCUCCCUUCCCCCAGUAUCAAUUUUUGCUUCCACUGAAAUAAUAGCUGUAAUCAAUUUCAUGGCCACAGAUAUUUUAUUCCAAAUCAAGGAUUUGGGAGUCAGACAGAUGUUUGUUCAAAUCCCAGAAUUAUUAAAUGGCAAUAUGAGUUCAGACAAGUUACUUAAUUUCUCUGAAGCAUAGGCCCAUCAUUUGUAAAAACGGGAUAAAAUUCCUCUAUUAUUUUUUAUGGAUAAAAUAUAGGUAAGCACUAAGCACAGUGCCUGACAUGUUAGGGAUACUCAGUCAGUCUGAAUAUUCAGAUGUUCAGUCAGAACUGAUUUUCUCCAAUCGCUCAGUGCUGUGUUUCCUCAGAUUGCCCAUGUACCCCAGGGAAGAUGCAAAGGUGAGCAUAUCAACCCCAAUGAUCCUGGGAGCCUCAAACUUCUCCAUAAGCUUUGAAAAUCCCCUGGAGACUGAGUGGGAGCAGGUGUCAAACUCCAGUUUUCCUUUACCAUAUUCUGGAUGAAUGUAUGUGGAUGAAAUCACACCAUUGUUGCCCUCAAGUCAGUCUUCAGCAAAGUGAGAAAAAUAAAAAAAUAUAAUGGGGUUUUCAUAAAGUGAGAUUAAUAACCUUAAUGACUAUCAUUGUUCUAAGAUAGUGUCAUUCCUAAUGUUAACAGAAUAAAACCCAAGGUAAGUGUGAAGGUAGUUCUGGCUUGGGUUUUGUUUUUCACUUAACUGGAAAAGUAAAACCUUAACAAUCCUAGAUCAGCUUGAAAAAUUUCUUUGGACAUUUUUUUUCAACUGUAUAACCCAAAGGAUGGGAACAUGUGCCUAGGAAACAGAAAAUCUUCCUUUUGCUGCGUGGGAAAUUAGUGGCAAUCACAGUAUCUUUUAUCUAGGAUUAUUGUCUUUGAGUAUAUACAGGAAGCAAGGUCGUGGGAAAAGAAAGAUUCUAGCCUACCUGGUUAUUGAUUAUUUCAAGCCGCAUGCACACAAUUUAAAACCCAGUUGCACCUGCUUUCACUGAAAUACCAACACUAUUGUUGUGUUUGCAAAGUGCCCAUCUCCAGUUAGCAAGAGGAGGUGAUGACUUACAUUUUGAAGGUAUCAGAUGUUCAGACUACCUGAUUUUCCCAGAAUGAGAAUAGAAGUUGAUCUCUCUCUUCAUGUUUAGAAUUUGGGAGUCAUAUCCUAAAACCGCUGGCACUUCCUACUGUUCUCUAAGAAUGCAGCUCAGAGAACAUUUGUGAAAUGCUGAAGUCUGGGUCUGACCUCCAGAGUGGGGCCUCGAUGCCUCUGCAGUCAUGGCAGUAAUGUUAGUGGAUGCUCAAGGACUCCAGAAUUCCUGUUAACAAGCAAAUCCUGGAGCAGGGACAGCAAACAUGGGGGCUGAGUUACUGUUUUCAGAUAGGAACAGAGGUAAGUAAAUAGGGGCAACGUUAGAAUUUCCACUCUGGAAGAAGGUGCUUCUGAAAAGAAAAUAAUUUUCCUUUGGUGAGGAUGGGAGGUGAAGAAUGAAAUAUUUGCAUGAAGAUGCUGAAUAGAGAUGAUAGGAGAGGGCACAGGAAAGAGCAGACAGAUAUUCCUUUUGGUACAGACCUACUGUUCUUAUGCAGUCUAUUGCCAUAAGUGUCUACAAAACAUGUUCUGAUAUUUGGAAAGACUAGAUUUACAAAGACCUCAGAUGUUCACCCUUGCCUUACUGAGUUCAGUAAAAUGUGGAGAUGCAAAUAUCUUUCUAAAAAAUGACUUUUAUUUUCUUUGUGUACAUUCAGUGAAAGAUAACUGGACCUCAUUUAUGGUCCAGUUAUUCUCUUAUUAUCAGGGUUAGAGCCUUGGAAUAAGCUAUCAUGCUUACCUGUGCUUCUAUCGUGAAACAAUUUAAAGACUGAGGUGUUAUUCAAAAUAUGAAUUGUCAUUUCAGGAGAGGCCUUGGAAAAAAUCAUAAUAUGGAUUGACCCACCAAUACCAGGAAGGGCUUUUCUUAUUGUGGAGGGUGCACUAUAUUUAAUGGUGUCUAUGCCUAGAAUUCUAUAAAGAGGUAGAUAAUAAGGAAAACUCAGAGAAAAUAAUUACAGCUUAAAAGGACCCAGAAAGGCAAGCUUAACCUUUUUUUUUUUUUUACAGAUUUUUGAAUCAUAAAUUUUUUAUUUGUGAAAGAAACUCUAAGGAUUAUAAUGUAAAUUAUUAUAGAUUGCUGAAUUGAUGGUUAUUCUGUAGUCAUAGAGUCUGGGGCCCUACAGUGCCCAAAGCCAGCUGUGUUAAUCAUCCUGCUACUUUAUGGGUUUCCCAAGAAAAUCCGUGUACAAGGGUUAACAGUAAAAGGGAUCCAAAGCACAACAUUAUUAAUAGAGUUUGGGAAUGUUGCAAAACUCUGAUAGAAAGGUUAGAUUGAAUCACAGGAUUUCCUGAGGGCUAAUUUUUUUAAAUUGUAUUGUUUUUUUAAUAUAAUUUAUUGUCAAAUUGGCUUCCAUACAACACCCAUUGCUCAUCCCAACAGGCGCCCUCCUCAAUGCCCAUCACCCACUUUCCCCUGUUCCCUAUCCCCCAUCAACCCUCAGUUUGUUUUCUGUAUUUAAGAGUCUCUUGUGGUUUGCCUCCCUCCCUCUCUUUAUAACUAUUUUUCCCCCCUUCCUUUCCCCCAUGGUCUUCUGUUAAGUUUCCCAAGAUCCACAUAUGAGUGAAAUUAUAUGGUAUCUGUCUUUCUCUGACUGACUUAUUUCACCUAGCAUAGUACCCUCCAGUUCCAUCCACUUUGCUGCUUGACCUGGUCCUCCAUCUCCCUUGCCCUCAUCUAAAUCUUGACCCAGUAUUCCAAAACAUGCCACUAGGAAAAAACAGGUGAUCAGGUGCCAACAAGAGCCAUGUCCACUUGCCCAACUAGGAGCACUGAAUCAGAAAAGGAAGAGAGACUAGCAGACUCUUCCCUAGUGGCCAGGCCAGCCUACAUAUGUUUACCACACAGAAACAGAAAGACAGAAGUGCAAGAAAGAGACCAAAAGUUUUCAGGAUAUAAUGACCUUGACCACUAGUGACCUCUAUGUCAAUGCUUCGAUCAGUCAGGUAAGCCUCCUUUCUUGCCUUGCAGAGGAAUAAGGAAGACAAUGGACAGAGCCAAAAGCUUCCUGUUGUAGGAAAGUGAUUCUAGAGUGCAGGUGUUUCUGCCUCUGUAGUAAUAACAAUGUCCAUUACAUAGUAAGUAUAUACUAUGUGUUAGACGCUGUUCACGGGUCUUUAUGUAUAUCAUCUCAUUUAAUUUUCACUGAACCUCUUGUGUUGAUGGCAUCAUAAUACCCAUGUUACAAAUGAGGAAACAGGCUUAGGAAGGUCAGGUUUCACCUACUUCAGCUGUCUACUUGGUGUGUACAUACCCAUGAAUGGGUAGCCAACCACUGUUGACAUAACAGAAAAGUCACUUUUACUACCACCCAACUCUUAGGCAGCUUGGGUUCACCACCAGUAAUUCUGAAUACAAUGAAAUUCUCCCCUGCUAUUGAAAAUGUUGUCUCCCUACAGCCUACCACACAGAACUAUUUGUACCCUCUAUAGCCUUGGCUUUCAACCAUGCUGAUUUUGCUCCCAUAGACUUUUGACAACAUCUGGAGACAUUUCUCGUUGCCACGCUUGGGAGCAGAGAGUGCCUGGGAUACUGUAAACAUCCUACAGUGCAUAGGAUAGCCCUCCACAGCAAAGAAAUAUCUGACCUAAGCUGCUGAGAUGGAGAAAUCUUGCUCUGUUGCCAUACACAGUUAAUUGAACUACUUUCUACAUUUGACUUUAGAUUUCGGGAGAGAGCAAAAUGUCAUUCUAGCCUCUCCACUUUUUGUAUGUCCCAUCCUCACCACACUGACUCUCCAGUCUUCUGUUACCUAUUUGGUUUAAUAUUCCCCUUAUCUAAAAAUGGAGGCUUAUAUAACCCAUUAAACUGAUAAAAUACUAGUGAUUGACAAAGCCAGCACUAGAUCUAAGAUUACCUAGUUCCUAUUUCAACUAUCUUCCAAUUACACUAUGUCUAAUCUCCCAUCCAUUCAUUGGGAACAAGGCUGAGUAAUACAGUAUCUCUAUUCUUACAAAGUUUAUCCUCCAGUGAAUGUUCACCCAAUAAUACACUCCCUCUCCAGGUAUGAAUUAUCCCCUCUUGCCUAAUUUGGUCAUGUCUAUAUUUAAAGCCAAUAAAAAUAUUCUAACAAUACAGGCCUUCAAGGAAAGCAUGACUAUUUUCAUGUCAAAUAUAAGCUUAUGCUUAUAGAUCAAUAGAACAGAGUCCAGAAAUGUACCGCAUACAUAUAAUCAAUUGAUUUAGACAAAGGUACCAAGGCAACACAAUGGGAAAAGAAUAAUCUUUUCAACACAUGGGGCUAAAAUAAUUGGAUAGUCAUAUGCAAAAAAAAAUGAGUGUUAAACCUUCACAACAUUGAAAUAAACUAAAAAAUGAUAAAUCUAAAUGUGAGAUCUAAAAUUACAAAACUUGGAAAAAAAAAACAUGAGAGAAAAUCUUAGUAACCUUGGGCUUGGCAAAUGUUUCUUAAAUAUGACACAAAAGCAUGAAAAAUAAAAGAAAAAAUCAAUAAUUCAGAUUUCAUAAAACCAAAAAGUUUGCACAUGAAAAGACACUGUUACAAAAAUAAAACAAGCUGUAGACUGGGAGAAAAUAUUUGCAUGACAUAUAUCUAACAUAGGACUUAUAUCUAAAUUAUGUAAAGAACUCUGUAAUAAUACCAGCAAUCCAUAAACAAAAAAAUAGGGAAAAAAUUUGAAAAGACAUUUCACCAAAAACAAUUUGCAGAUGGCAAAAAACACAUGAAAUAUAUGCAACAUCUUUAGUCAUUAAGGAAAGGGAAAUUAAAAUCACAAUGAAAUACCACUGCAGUCUAUUAAAAUGGUUAAAAAUUAAGAAGACAAACCGUACCACAAAUUGUUAAGAAUGUGGAGCAACUAGGAUGCCUGGGUGGCUCAGUCAGUUAAGUAUCUGACUCUUGAUUUCAGCUCAGGUCAUUAUCUCAUGGGGUUCGUGAGUUUGAGCCCCAUGUCAGCCUCUGCACUGACAGUGUGGGAAUUGCUUGGGAUUCUCUCCCUAUCUCUCUUAAAAUGAAGUUUUAAAAAAUGUGGAGUAACUAGAACUUUUAUACACUGCUGGUGGGAAUGAAAAAUGGUAAAAAUCACUUUGUAUAGCACUCUAGAAGUUUCUUAAAAAUUAAUUAUAUUAUUAUAUACCCACUGAAACCCAAUUAUAUUGAAUUAAUUAUAUCCCCACUAUUUGACCUAGCAAUUCCCCUCCUAAGUACCCCCCCCAAAAAAAAGAAACCUAUAUCCACUCAUAUAGACAAAUGUUUAGGGGAAGCUUUAUUUAUACUAGCAAAAAACUGGAAACAGCCCAAACACUAAUUAAAAAAAAAAAGUGUGUGGUAUAUACUAUAUGUACAACAAAAAGGAACAAAUUACUGAUACAUACAAGAAAGAGGAAUACUAAAACAGUUGUGCUGAGUGAGAGAAGCCAAACACACUCCUUACCCCAUCUCACCCCCAAAAUACUAUAUGAUUCCAUUUAUAUAAAAUUCUAAAAAAUACAAAUCUAUAGGACAGAAAGGAAAUCAGUCAUUGCCUGGAGGACAGGAGUGGUGAGGGACAGGAACUUAUAAUGGAAACUAGAAACUUUUUGGGUGAUGGAUAUGUUCAUUAUCUUGAUUGCAAUGAUGAUUUCAUGAAUAUAUACUUAUGUCAAAUUGAUCAGAUUUCACACUUUAAAUACACAUGGUUUAUUAUACAUCAAAUAUACCUCAAAACUGUAGAAAAAUGAAAUAUAGUAAAAUAAAGUAUGUCUGUGGCAAUGAGAAAAGGUUAUGUCCUUUAGCUUUAUUUUUGCAUAUGAGUGGAUGCUGCCCAGUGGGGAGCAUCUGUUUCCAUCCCUGUAGUGUUAACCACAGUGGUCAUUCACGUGACUGCCUGCGGCCUCCUGACCUGGGUCAUCUCUAGGAAGGUUCUGCUGUUGUAGUCAUUCAGUGGUCAACCAGCCCACAAAGAACUGAAACAGCAACAAUUGCUUAGAAAUUGCAAGUUGGUGACAUCAAUGGCCUUAUCUUGGGUAAUCUUCAUCAUUAAAUAUGGAUUGAGUUACACCAAUCAUUUCAGAGUCAAAGCCAUAGCUUGGAGGUCAUAUGAGUCCCAAUCUGCUAAAACAGUGUCUGAGCACAUAUUUCACUGCCAUAGAACCUUGCAAUACAUCAUCCUAGAGUUUCAUUUCAGAUCUGUAUUUGUACCCCUGAUUACAUGUCUUUGAAAGCUUAUUUGUUUUGACUUUCCAUUGUCUCUUUCCUGUCAAGAAACCAUAAAAUCCUGAGCCAUGUGAAGACCACAAUUUGUCAAGACAUUUAUUUCCCAGCAACCUUCCUCUCAGGUAUAGGUUAAAUAUGUGUUUGAGACUUGGGAAUUUACAUAGAUGGUAUUUGGAAAGAUGCUGAUGUUCUUAGACAAAUUUCUGUCACCUUCCCAUCAGUUUUCUUUAUGUCUGUAUAUAUUAAACAGAAAGUGAUCAUAAUUUAUACUCUACAUGACAGGCCUCCUACUGUAGUAGAAACUAUCACAAACUUUGGACUCAAAUCUGAAUAAUUUCUGUACAAUUUCCUAGCUGCAUGACCUUAGGCAAGUUUUUUAAUGUUUGUGAACCUCAGUUUUCUCUUCUGUAAGGUGGGAUGAUGGUUGUAAAGGUUUAAUAAGAGAUUUUCUUUAAAGAACUUUAUAUAAGAAGAAACCAUAGUAUAGUCAUUCACAUCAUGGAAUCUGAAGCUACACAUGCUACAUUUUAAUUCUGACCUUGACACUUAACUUGCUUUACUCUGUGCCUUGGUUUUCUUAUCUGCAAUAUAGUCAUAAUAAGAGCACCUACCUCCUAAGGUUGUCAUGUGGAUUAAAUCAAUUAGUAAAUAUAAAACAUUUAUGACAGUACCUGGAAUAAGAUGAGGACUCAAUAAAUGUUAGCUGUCAUCAACAUUAUUAUUGUACUUAUUUGUUAUGUGCUGCAUAGUAGGUAUGGGAAAAUGGUAGGCAUUGUUCAUUUAAGACUGUCUCUUCUGGUUUUCAAAACAAAUUCUUUUCCCUAUAGCUAUCUCUGAAGAAAUUCCAAGAAAACCCAAAUGUUCAUAUCACAGUAGGAAUGACUCUCUCUCUCUCUCUCUCUCUCUCUCUCUCUCUCUUUCUGUGUGUGUGUGUUGCUCAGCAAAGCAAAUAGAAUAAUAACUAAUGUGAGAUUUUAAUUAUCAUGUAUGUCAGUGAUGCUGCUUUGUAAAUCAAAGUGAAUUAAUUCUGAGUACUUGCUACUUCUUCAAUCCUCCUACCAGCUCAGGAGCAAGCGUGCUAUUUUCUAUGUAAACAACAAGAGUGCUUCUAGAAAAGGUGUUCAGAAUAAGCAGGGUGCCAUCUACACUAUGCAGAUUUUUAAGACAAGGAAUUUAAACUUCCCAUACCAAGUUACACUCAAAAUAUGUAGCCUAGAAGGCGGGGGGCAGGGGGGUGGGGUGGUGAGUGAUGUUUCCUCACUGUAAUGUUAGAUAGAGCACAGCUUCCUCCAACAAUUAUCUUUAGGCUUAUCCUUCAAAAAAAUGUUCCAAAUUUUUUGAAUCAAUGAUUUUGUCUUAACAGUCCCCUGUAGCACUCCUUAAUAUAAUGGAUUUGGUAAUUUACUUGCUGCUAUGUGAAAUAGUACUUUCUUUUAUUUGUCUAAAUGCAUGGUUUUCAAACUUAUGUUUACUCACAUUAAACCUUGUGUGGAAAUGUAAUUCACAAAGCAGAAAAUAAGAGGAGCUGAAGGGUGUAGGUUGAGAAAUGAAGCCAGUGGCCAUCCCACCAAAUCCCAUACAUACUCCUGUCCCCUAUGGCUUCCCCUGAAGUACUUUCAAGAAACUCAAAAUGUUCUUUAUUUUUUUUUUGUUUAUUUAUUACUAAAAGAGCACAAUCUGGGAAGGGACAGAAAGAGAGAGAGGGAGACACAAAAUCUGAAGCAAGCUCUAGGCUCUGAGCUGCCAGCACAGAGCCUGAUGCGGGGCUUGAACUCACCAAUGAUGAGAUCAUGACCUGAGCCCAAGUCAGCCGCUUAACCGGCUGAGCCACCCAGGUGCCCCCCAAAACCCUAAAUGUUAUUUAGAUCACACCUUGAAAGUUUCUACCCUAAGUAGAAAGUAAAUAACUUUCUUCAUGCAAUUUUCCAAAGAAGCUUCUUCAUCAUUGGAUUUGUGUAUUUCAUGAAAAGCACACAAUCCUUCUGACCUCUGUUUGUGCUUUUAUCUGUUUCAACCAGGUUGACUUUAAAUGGACUUCUUUCCAAAGCGAAAAAUCCUAAAUUUUUCAAUAAAUCAAAAAUCCUUCUUCCUAUCAUCAUUCUUCUAAUCAUCAUAAUUAUUUUUAAAAAGGAGAUACGCUCACAUUUUCAAGAUUCUUUAAUCUGGAAAGACAGAAGCAAAAGUUUGGAAUGAUUAAAGCCCAUGAAAUUAUCAUGGGACUGGAGAAGAGGAAGAUGCAUUUGACUGGCAAAUUCUUCACUAAAGGGAUUCUUCCUUGUAGCUUGACAAUAAAUAUCUACACAGAAUGAGAAUUUAUUACUGAAGCAAAUAUAGAUAAAAAAUAUAAGUUGCUUUGCCAAAAACUGGGCAAAUAAAGGUGAUAAAACUAUAAAUGUUUAUUACUCAUCAGACUUGGGAUGGCAAAUCUAUGACAUGUCCUUCCAUCCUUACAUCCAAUGGCCAAGGAAGAGAUCAAUAAUGAUCUUGGCAUAGGUACAGCCUUGGAGUCCUUAACAACACAACAUUCCAGGCAGCCACUGCCAAUUAAUUCAUCAGCAUUGGCCUAUAAUUUGAAGUCUUUCUGCCAAUCCUAAUCAAGUUCAAACUGCAGAUUUCACAUAUGGGAAAGCAGAGGCCCAGAGGGUAGACAAUUUGCCCACCACCACAAAGCUAAUAAAUGGUAGAUAUCCAUGUUUUUUCCCCAAAUACAAUACAAUUCUGGGUCCAUUACACCGAAGAUGAUAGAACAUUUGUUGGACCCUGUUUGAGAAUUCCUUUGUUCUUCCCCACAUCCAAACAGAGAGAGCUAAAAGCUUCUCCUAGCCGCCUUUAGUCCUAAAGUUGUUCCAUAGUGUUUAUUUCCCUAUAGAUUUUCAAAAUUGAUGUCACUAAUGCUACAUAUGGGGUGCUUUCUUGUUAAGGCUUCACGUGGCCAGGUAGAACUGAGCUGGUAUUUCUACUUUGCUACUUACUUGAUGUACGAUUUCCAGAAUACAAUCUAACCUCCUUGGACCUCAGUUUCCUCACACAUAGAAUAAAUAGCCUCUCACAGGGAUGUUAUGAGAUUAAAUCCAAUACUAAAUAUAAAAAUGCCCAGCACAGGGCCCAGAAGUUGGUAGGUAAAAUAUUUACCCAUAAGAGUUUUCUUUUUUCAUCUUCACUUCUUUCCUUUUCUCUUCUCCCAAAUUUUGGUUCCACAAGCUAUUAACUCCGUGACCUUGGGCAAGGAACUUAACUUUUCUGAGUCUUCACUUUUAAAAAACUUUUUUUAAACUUUUAUUUAUUAUUGAGAGACAGAGCAUGAGCAUGGGAGGGGCAGAGAGAGAGGGAGACACAGAAUCUGAAGCAGGCUCCAGACUCUGAGCUAUCAGCACAGAACCCAACAUGGGGCCCAAACCCACGAACUGUGAGAUCAUGACCUGAGCUGAAGUUGGACACUUAACCGACUGAGUCACCCAGGCACCCCUCUGAGUCUUCACUUUUAAAAUGAGGAUCACAUUACUAUUGACUAUACCGACUUGCUGUGCUGAGGUCAGUAGCAAACUCAAUUCACAACAUGGGUAUAGACCCCAUACAGAGAAUCUUCUAGAAGAUUGGACAAUUUCCUUGCAUAUAAAUGUCUAGCCUCAGAGGUUUUUUUUUCCAUAAAUGUUUAUGUAUAGCCAGUGGAGGUAGAAUGCAAAGGAGGUGGCUACUGUCAGAAGUCCCAGUUCUCUCUUGAGAGGGGUCCUUGCUUGGUGAGUAGGGAUAGUCAUUGGAUUUCAAGUUUGCACCUGGAUUCUCAUUGAGUAUGUAAUGAACUUGCUCUCUGACCUUUGGGAGGUCAUUUAGCCUCUCUGGACUUCGGGGUAAUCCACCAUGCCCACCUGAUAGCAUUGAUGACCAAAAUAAGAAAUGACCCGGAGAAAUCUAAACACUCUACAAAUGAAAGGAAUCCUAUUUUUGUUCUUUCUCCUGGAGCAAAAAAAUGGGAGUGAGGGCAGGGAGUAGAUCUGUCCCCUGAAGUUUGGAUUGGCUCUAAUUUAUCUUUAUUCUCCUGCAUGCAUGUACAAAUGUCUCUCUGUGAAUAUCUUUUUUUUUUUACAUAAAGAUUGGAAAUGUGGCUGUCCUACUUAGAGUCAAGAAUGUCUAUGAGCAGCCAUCUUUAACUCCUACACAUAUAGGGAAUUAGAUACUGGGCCUAUUAGAUAUAGCACACUGAUCCUGGGCCUCAAAGAAUCUUUUGAUCUUUAUAGUAAAGACUUCAUGUUCAGAAAGUCCCUGAGUUGGUACAUCUAAUGACCUAGUUCAUCUAGGACAAAAAUGUGAAACAUCUUUCCUUAUACCUGUUCCCUACUGCAGAUGGACACAUAUGCAUGUGUACACACAAAUACACACACACAGAUACAGACACACACAUUCCUUUCGCCAAACCUCUUGGGCCAAACAUUUAGAAUUCUUCCUGCCAAGCCUUUAUGAGACUCCAGAAUGACAACCAAGAGGAUGGCCCCAGUGACAGUGUCAGUUCUGAUGAACCAUUUUGACCAGCAGCAAAGAGUUUUCAGAAUGGAAUGAAAGCACUAGGUAAUUGAGAAUGAGUCCUUUGGGCUAUUAGGUAUCUAGCAAACAAUAAGAUAAAUCCUCAUCCCUUGCUAGUUAUAAAAAAAAAAAAAAGACAUAUUUUCCCCUACAAAGAAAGUGAAAGGACUAGACCAUUAUCAGUUACCAUGGCAACUCAGAUCCACUACGUGCUCAGUUCAUCCUGUCACUACGGACUGGAGGAAAAAAAGAAAACAACACUAAGCUUCUCUCUGUUUUUUGUCAAAUAUUUUGAAGUGACAUUUCAUGGCAUGAGCCUGAAACAACUUUUUCUCAGUGGAAAGGAAGGGAGAGCAUGAGAGGGAAAUAAAGGGGGAGCAGAGAGCCUGGGGAUGCUAAGGAUGUGUUUGAGAGGAACUAACUGUGGCCAGUGUAGUCAGUACUGAUGAAACUGAGAAGGAAGAAAAAAAAGUGAUAAAUAUUUAUUGAGUGCUCACCACAUGCGUGGCAUUGUGCUUAAUAAUGAAUAGUCUGCAACCUCUCAGAGUUCCCUCUCUGUAAGAGAAAGAACUAAACAAGCAAUUAUGAUAUAAAGGCAACUUGUUCCAGGUCAAAAGUACAGGGGGCAGUGGGAGUAGGUGGCAUGUGGGCUGACACAGGUGUUUGGAGUGGGAAGUUGGGGUAUGCAGAUUUCCCACAGGAAAUAUCUAAGGAACUAAUAGGGGAAGCCAGAUGAAAAAGUCCUGGGCCAUUGCUGAUUAAAGGAGCAAAAUAUGCUGAAGCCCUGAGAGAGAAACCUGGGACCUGAAAGACAACAGGAAGCUCAUUAUGGCUGAAGUGGAGCAUCAGAGGGCCAAAGAGGGAGGAUGAACGUGGCUGGAGAAGUUAGCACAGGCUAAAAUGCAACUUACAAUAAGUCAUAUGCAAAGGUUUAGAAUUUACAUGGAAAGCAAUGAGGAGACAUUAUGGCAUUUUAAGCAGGUUUGUAGCAUAACGAGAAUUGUGCUGACAGCAGAGUGGAGGGUGGUAAUGGUGGAGGGAAUGAGGGAGACAUUCUCUAACGUCAAGAGUGUGGGUGGUGGCAGACAAGACUAGUGGCAGUGGAGAAAUGUCCAUGGAUUCUAGAAAUUCUAUGAAUUAGAACCAAUAGAACUUAUUGGAGAUGAAAGAGGGAAGUGAAAAAGGAAGCCAGGAUGCUGGGCAAUGGAGUAAAUGGUGGGAUCAUUUGCUAGGUGGAGGUCAGUGAUGGAGGAAUGAGCAGCCAUUUUGGUUGGUUACAAAGAAGUCACAUUUGUUAAGCUUUUAGAAUGCCACUUGUCACACUUGUGUGUGAGAUUGUGGGUAUGCUCAGUUUAAAACAGGCCUGUAAACUGUAUGAGAAGAUGACAUGUUUAGCAUAAGAUACAACAAGAAGGAUUCUAGAAUGAGAUUUGUGUAGACUCCAGAUGCAUAAGAACAACCACAGUAGAACAAUUUGGAGUAUUUCUGUCUUUACUUACAACCUGCAUUUUUUCUGCAUCUUUCACUAAUGCUAUCUGCACAUAAAAGAUUGGAGGUCAUCCUUAAUCUUGGAAGAAGAAGGAAACUUAAUUUCCCUGUAGCUAUUUGCACCAACAUCCAGAAAUUUAGCUUUUGUUGAGCUUAGCAACCUCAGACAGGUUUGGAGAAGUUUAUAGUGAGAAUACCAAGGUAGGGCAUGCUGGAGUCUAGUGAUAAGGGGAUGUGGACUACAUGAGUUGUAUCUGGUGGUGGAUGACCAGCUGGCUGACUAGAGGAUUCCAUCUGUGACCCUCACUUGUUGCUUCACCAAGCAAGAUCUUGGGUUCUGCCAUUUUAACUUCCAGUAACGUGCAUGAAGGGAGAUGAUUCAAGACCUAGCACCACAACUAGCUAAUGUGUUAGUUAAUCUUGAGCAAGUUUCUUAAUUCUCAGAGAGUUUCCUUCCCUGUGUUAGAGGAAUAAUAGUGAACCCUACCCCUCCUCCCCAGGUGAAUGAAACACUAAGACAAAGCUUGGAAAGCAGGUGUGGAAACUGAAACAGAAAUUGGAACUUGCUUCCAUAGCAUGAAGAGGGCAGCUGAAUUGUAGAAAGAGAAGGAGCAAAUCUUUUGACUCCUCCUUCUUGCUGGCAUACAUAUCUAGACCUAUCUGGGAGGACUUCCUUCAGGGUAAUUUUGAAUCUUCCUAUAAGAGGGUGCUGAGGUCUGAGAAGAUAGAAUUCUGUGAGUCGUGGCACUACCACUCCCAGGCAUUUUUUCUCCCACAUGGAUAAGAUUGUGAAUUAAUAAACUGUCCUCUGUACCAGUACUAUUUUUCAACACUCUAAGGUCACCUUGAACACAGACCCCAAAUAGGGUUACUAAAUUUAUGCUUCCUCUGUUAGUAGCAAGAAGGUACUCCUGGAGUAGUAGAGCACGGAUUUGGAUUCAGACUACCUCGACUCAGCUCUGACAUUUACUGCAGUGUGUAGUCUUGGAUGGGUUAUUUAACUUCUGUGAGUGUCUAUUUCCUCAUCUGUAAAAUACAGAUAAUCUUUAUUAAGCAUUCUUAAAAGAAUUAGAGAUACUUUAUAUAGGAGGCCAAGCCCAAGACCUAACACAGAGCAGAGACUCAGUAAACAGUAGGUAUAUUAUUUCAUUUUUAAUAAAUCAUAGUAACAAAUAAGAAGAUAUGCUUCCCCAGACCAUUAGCCCACCCUCUCUCAAACUUUCUAUCAGUUAUGAUGGCUGUAUAAUGUUUCUCCCAUCCUGAGGGAAGCUUCUGAAUUUGGUGGCUAUGAAACCAGUUGACAUUAGAGAAGAUGGGGAAAAAUCCUGUCUCUGCCAGUAACCCUGUGACUGUUCAGACAUCUUAGCCAACAUCACUCUAGCUGGCAUCUAGAAGUCACUCCUGCAUCUCAAGAUCCAGGUCCUAUGAGAGGGGGUAUAUGUAUGCAGGCAUAGAGGGUAGGAGGCAGGAGAGCUAGGGAAAGAGGUCUAGGUGGGCAUACACUCCCCAGUGCUCCUUUGUGGCCCUAUGGCUAUGUAAAGGGUAGACAAAGGGUAUUUGGUUUUAAUUGGGAAAUGCUAUCAAUUGUCCUAGGCUCAUUUAAAAAUCCAUUAGUAUCAGGAAGUGGACAGAUUAAGCAAUAAGGAAGAGAAAAGCAAAAAGGCUGUCAGUACCCUGCUUUGUAGGGAGCAAACAGCCUGUCUAAGCUUCACCAGCGUGUGCUGCAAUGAAUGCUAAGAAGCUACUAGAGUCGAUUUCGAGAUGCUGGGGAGAGAAAGGAGGUGUCUGGGCCAAUUCACACAAAGUCCUGGGCAAGCUUGUUGUUCUAGCAGCUUCCAAAGGUGGUACUGCAAUGAUCUGCACUGCACAUCUCGGGUUUCUGCAGCUGUUUCUGGCACCCUGGCAACUAUGUCUCCCAGCUCUAAGCCAUAUCAUCACCUGCAGAUAGUUACUCCCCUUUGUCCCCUCCCUAUUUGCCAAGCUCUGAAUUGGUUCCAGCAAUCUUUUCAUCCUGGGAGACAUGAGUCAGUCUCAGAGUCCAUAGUGGACCUGAGGAGGACAGGGCAAAAGAUAGAGAUGCACCAGAGGAGGGAUGAGAAGAAACAGGAAAUAGAAAAGAAGGGACAACAAAGAUAAAAGCAAGCUAUGAGGACAAAAAAUGAAAGGGAUAUAUACGGCUGUGUGUUUAUUUCCUAGGGCAUCCAUAAUAAGGUACCACAAUCUGAGAGGCUUAAAACAACAGAAAUUUCUUCUCCUAUAGUUUUGAAGUCUGGAGGUCUGAAAUCAAGGCAUCUGCAGGGCCAUGCUCCCUCUGAAGCCUCUAAGGGCAGGAUCUUUCCUUGCCUCUUGGCUUCUGGCAGCCUAACUCCAACCUCUGCCUCUAACUUCACAUGGCUAUCUUGCUUCUGGUUCUGUAUCUACAUCUCUUCUCCUCUUCUAAUGGAAGUAGAUCCGCCCCAAUUCAGUGUGACCUCAUCUUACUCAACUUGAAUACAUCAGCAAAAAUCCCAUUUCCAAAUAAGAUAACAUCCACAGGUCCUGGGGGCUAGGACUUCAACAUACCUUUCAGGAAGACACAUUUCAACCCAUUAUAGGCUGUUCAGAGAGCUGCUGACUGGUUAAUUUAGCUCAGCAUUGUAGAAGGUGUGGCGGGGGGCAGGUGGGAGGGAGCAGGAAGAGUACUAGUCAGGAAAUCAGGGCCACAAAUUCACAUGCCUGCAAAGGCCAGGUAGGUAGCCUAACUAGGCUAGGAAAGUGGUGGUUGUCUCUUAGCCCACAGUCCUUGGAAUGGCAAAGGUUCUUCAGCCCCAGCCAUAUUUGCCUUGUGGGACUGAGGUUCAGGGAGGCCAGACCUAACAAGGAGCUGAGAACCCUGAUUUAUAUGUCAAAUGUCACAAUUUUUCUUAAACUUUGGCAACUUUUUUUUUUCAUAAUGUGGUACAGGCCAACUAAGCCCACUUGCACACUAGAAUGUCAUGAGCAGCCACUUUGCCACCACAGGUAAAGAGCCUCAGGUUCAAGUCCCAGGCUUGCCACUGCUGUGUGACCUUGGGUAGUUACCCUCCAUCUCUGGGCCACAAUUUCCCAGUAGGAUGAGAUGGUGUUGAUCUUCCCCCUGGGGAUGGUAGUGAAUGUUCAGAAGCAUAGGAUUCCAGGCCCAUGCUGGAGGUGCUUACAGAUUAAUUUGAGAAAUAAAACUUCUACAUGUGAAAACUUGAGAGACCUUAUGCAGUUAUUCUAAGGAUUAUAUAAGUGGAUCAAGUUAAAGCCACUAGAAAGUGCCUGCCCCAGCCUAAUGCUAAAUAAUCCUUCUCAUGCUUACGUCCUUUCUUACCUCCUCUCUCAGCAAGACUUAGCAGCUAUUUCAUCACAGUUGUUAAAAGCAUGAAUUCCAAAUGCAGAAAUGUGAGGGACAUCUGAGUGGGUAAGAAAGUCAGCCACAACAGCUCAUUGUGCCUAUUCUAUAUACAAGGCACUGUACUAAGAGCUUUCGUGGAUUAUUUGCAGUUAGUCCUCAUGCCAGGUCCAUGUGGUAGAUAUUACAAUGACUCGUAUUGACAAGGAAACAGAAGCUGAAACUGCACAGUUUUAGGUGAAACACAAUUCCUUUAAAUCGUAGCAGCUAAAUCAAAUAUUUUUCAAAACAUUAUAUACUUUAAACAAGCCUAUCUGCAAAAUUGGUCCCAGCCCAUGGUCAGCUGCUUUGUUUGGUUGAUCAAGGGUCAGUGCUGGCUUUGAGUCACUUCCAGUGCUAGUUUUGCCAUUUUCUCUGUGACCUUGGGUCAGUUAUGUGCCCUCUCUGGGCCAUGGUUGAAAUGUUCAAUAACUUGCCAAGGUCACAGAAUUUGUAAGUGGCAAAGCCCAGGGUUUAAACCCAGGUAGUGUAGUCACUAUAUUUAAUCAUUAUAUUGCAGUAUUCAAUAAGUGUUUCUGACAUUUCUAAGACCCUCCAUCAACCAAUCUACCCGGAUCUAGGUAGGAUGCAAAAUACUGACCCAAUUGCAUUGGCUGCUAUCUUUAACAAACUCCAGUGAAAGUCCGUAAAAAUGAAAGUGAAUGCCUGAAAGCUUACAUAGACUUCUUUAAAUGUGAAGGGCAAAGAAGAGGUAAGAAGGUCCCUCCUUAGUGCUGCAUCAUUUGGCCUAAGAUUGAAUCACUGAGCUUUUUUCUCAGUCAUGUGACAAUUUUAAUUCAUGCUUCAAAAUAAGAGGAAUCUGGCUUUCAUAUUGAUGUCAUUUAGUCCUAAAAGCUCUUGAUGUGAAAAUGAAGCUGUCCAGUGGUUUUCAAAUUUAUUUUUAGCAGAAAACCCUUUUUUUUAAAAAUGAAACCUUACAUAGAAUACCAGCAUAUAAAGUAGAGUCAGCUGGUGUCCAUUAUGGGCUGCUAAAGCAUAAUAAUAAUGAUGAUGGUAAUAAUAGCACCAAGUCCUUGCUAAGAACUUGCCACAUGCCAGGCACUAUUUAUUCUGAGACCUGACUCAUGAUAACUCAUCUAGGCCUUACAACAACCCUAUGAGGAAACUGAGGCACAGAAACGUUAGGUAAUUUGCUCGAGGUCAUAGAGCUCAGUGUGGGCAUCAGGCAGGCUGCCUUAAGGGCCCAUGACUUUUCCCAUGCCACUGCUCUGCUGUUCAACUCCGGUUCACUACAGCUGCUUGCAAAUGAGAGCCAGCACUACAGAGCUGUGCCUUUGCAGCUUAUGACUUGGGGUCAUAUUGAAACCAUUGUUCGAUUUUACUAUCCACAGGGACUUAAUACAUGUUAAAUGUCUCACCUGACUGACAGUUACACAGGCCUGUCAUUGUAUCUCACUCUUAGCUAGUCUGUCUCUCAGGUGCUUCAUUGGGUCUUUCAAAGAAAUAUUCAUGUCGGCCUCAAAGCAUAAAUUUUAAGGCAGAAUAACCCAAAUGUUAGUAUCCAAAUUUGGUGAAAAUCUUUCCAGCCUUUAGGGUGGUUAAAUACAAGGGGAACUGCACUCAUCCAAGGGGGACGAGGGCAGUAGCCCACGAGGCACCUUCAGGGAACCUUAGGCUCUGGUAACUGAACAAGAAAGCCAUGGUUCUAGCCAAGGAUAGCAUGCUUGUCUGCUUUCUCUGGGAAAGGGAAAGAAUCUAAUCCUGAGCUGGGGAGAAAGAACAGAUUCGAAAAGAGAGCCAACUCAUGGGAGUAUGGGGUGGGACAACACACCAACACCAAUGCUCUGACCCUACAGCCAAUGAGUUUUGAAGCACCCUCUGAGACACUGAUCCUGGCUUGCUUGAGAUGUGCAGAGGCACUGGUGAUACCUGGUUUGUCAGGGACCAAACGUAUGGUAUUUAAUUUGCAUGAAUAGGCUGGGGCUGAUGAUACAAAUAAUAACAAGGUAAACCUCUCUGGAGGUUGAUUUCCUUUACACUUUAUUGAUAAAAUAUAACAUCUAAAUAAAACAUGGAACUUAAACAUUAAGCUUCUAGGGGGUUGAACCAGAACAAAUUGUUCAACCUUGGCAUUAUUGACAUUUUAGGCUGGAUGAUUCUUUGUUAUAGGAACUAUCCUGGGCAUUGUAGAAUAAUUAGAAACAUUUCUGGCCUCGACUCACCAAAGGCCAUUAGCAUGACCUGACCCUCCCCCAAUUUGUGACAAUCAAAAAUAUCCCCAGAAAUUGCCAAAUAACUCCCAGAAAAUAAAAUCCAGUACAAAUCAAGAUAAAUCCCAGUACAACACUGAAUUACAUGAUUUCAGAAGUGCCAUUUGGCUACAGUCCUAUGAUCCCUAUGAUAUUUCAGAUGUUUUCUAUAAAAAGUCAAACUCAGUAGAUUUCCCCUACUGUUAAACUUGUCCUUUAUCUAGAUGCCCUGGUGGAUACAUUGAGGCCAAGGGCGCAGUGGUUUGCCAUCACUCCAGUUGCUCUUGGGUACUUGACCUCAAGUCAGUUACUAAAAAAAAUUUAGCUCUAAUAAUCCCUCACAGGUUCACCUCUCUCACCACCUCCUGUUGCUUCCAACUGCACUGAUCAGCCCUCCUCUUCCUGUGAAUGUUAAACUGGAAGAAACAUAAAAAUAAAUGUCAAGUAUCUAGGCUAAGGCUAAGUCACCCAGACAAGCUUUCUCUUAUCAAGGGGCAUCAUUUAUUUUUUACCUUAUAUUUGUAAAUUGUCUUUUUCUUAUUGACUUUCUCCAGUAAUUACUACUUCAUUAGUUGAGGCCUUAAGUCACACACUGUUUGUGAGCAUAGUAUUGAAGAGUUUGAGUUCCAUAAUCAGACCACAGCCUAGGUUUGAAUGCUGGCUCACUCAUCCAUUAGUUUCAAACUUGUAAGUUCCAGAAACUCUUAGCUUCAGUUUUAUUAUCUACAAAGCAGGGACAGCAAUAGGGCCAGUUGCUAGCAGGAUUUAACAAAAUGGUAUAUGUAUUCAGCAAAGUGGUAUGCAUAUAGGAAGCAUUCAAUACAUGCUGUUAUCCCUAGCAUCAUCACCAUUAUAAUUAUUUGUAAUUAUCACUCCAUUCCAUUUGCUUCUAUUUCUGCUAGAAGUACCUAGAGAUCAUGACUUCAGGCAACCAGGGGAUUGCUUUAAGAACUUUUGUAGAGGGGUGUCUGGGUGGCUCAGUCGGUUAAGCGUCUGACUUCAGCUCAGGCCAUGAUCUCAUGGUUCAUGAGUUCUAGCCCCGCAUCAGGUUCUGUGCUGACAGCUCAGAGCCUGGAGCCUGCUUCAGAUUCUGUCUUCCUCUCUCUCUGCCCCUCCCCCAUGCUCUCUCUCUCAAUAAAUAGACAUUAAAAAAAUUUUUUUAAAAAGAACUUUUGUAGAAAUACACAUUUUUCUUUUUCUUUUUUUUUUUUUCAACGUUUAUUUAUUUUUGGGACAGAGAGAGACAGAGCAUGAACGAGGGAGGGGCAGAGAGAGAGGGAGACACAGAAUCAGAAACAGGCUCCAGGCUCCGAGCCAUCAGCCCAGAGCCUGACACGGGGCUCGAACUCACGGACCGCGAGAUCGUGACCUGGCUGAAGUCGGACGCUUAACCGACUGCGCCACCCAGGCGCCCCAGAAAUACACAUUUUUAAAAGAAAAUGAAAAUUUAUGUCAGCAUCCCUUUUUAAUCACCAGCCAAAAUGUCCAUGAUAUCUACAAUGAACUCAGCCAGAACCAGAAACCAGGAAGUCAGGCCCCCACAAAUUUCCCUUCUUUCUUUUCUUAGGCACCUACAUAGGGCCUCCCAACUCCACCUUGCCUUUUCCACAAGUAGCUACUGCCGUCAUCUGAAGCUGCUACACUUGACUUCAAAAUGACAGGGGAGAAAAGAUCUUGUUUCCUUGGUGAUGUUUAUUUGCUCAGCAGGUAAAAAACAAACCAACACCAAAAAAACAAGGUCAAAGAGGUGAAUCUCAGGUGCUGCCACGGUAGCUCUUGCCCCAUUCUCACCAUCCAGCAUUAACUCCUUGCUGCCUGUGUGUCCAGCAUAAGGGAAAUAGCCCUUUAGGAUUUAGGGGCUCAAAAGUCUUGCAGACAUCUUUUUUUUUAAUCUGCAAAGAUUUAAGUGUUUACCAUGGAGUGCUAUUUCUUCUAUGUAUGUGAUCAUCAAAGAGUGGCCUGGGUGGUGGCUUUCUUUGUAUGUAAUUUGUAUGCAGUGUGGUAUCAUGCCUACAUCCCCUGUUUGGAAUUUGAAUCCCAGCUCUGCCACUUACUAGCUGUGAGCAAAGGAUGGUCACUAUACACAUUUCAAGACACUCUCCUUUCCAGUAGUGCAGACGGUCCCUGUGCUAGCUAGCCUUGGAGAGACAGAGGUACAUAGCAUCAACUCCGUUAUACCAAGAGUGAGAGAGGUUGUUAGUCACUUAAGAUGACAUAUCAGUUUGUCAUGGAUCAGAAAAUAACUCUAACAAGUUAUCUGACCCAUUUGAGCUUCAGUUUUCAUAUGUGUAAUUUUUCAGCCCAGGGUUCUAAGGAUUCAGUUUGUAAACAAUGCUUAUGACACAGCUCAAAGCCUGGAUCUAAUAAAUGUUCAACAAGUGGUUCUGAAAAGAAUGGUUAUUUAGAUGAAAAUAAUGGUGGUCUAUGAAAAACAGUAUAUGAAAAGGCCUCUACACUAGCAAUUAGGACCACAGGUUCAUCUCAUUAUCUUGUGUGACUGUCUCGAUGUCUGCAGCCUAGUUUCCGAUUAGGCAAAAUGGAGUUAACAUUAUCUGCUUCCAAUUGCUUAGAAAGAGAAUGAAAGGCUCAAGGAACUAAACUAUAAGACAGUGUCUUUGAAAAUUGUAAAGUGCAAAACAGGUUUAACUAAUAAUAAUUUUCUCAUUCUUUGCAUGCUGUUUUUGUUGUUCUUGUAUUUGAUCCUGGCAAUGGCUAUCAACAAGCUAGUUACCCGUAGGCCCUUCUAGCACAUUCCUAGACAAGAAGAGCCAGCUAGAAGAAACCCCUGCUGAAGGUAACUCAAGGCCGAGUCAGAUUGGGACCCAAGUCCUGACCUCAAGUCUGGUUUCUUUCUCACUCACAGAAUGCAAGGGGUCUUAGAAACUCUUCCCAUUCUCCCCCUCUGGAUCUCAUGGCAAGGCUGGAUAUACCGACUCAUAACAUUAAAGAGAAUGAGAGGCAUCAAGUGAUUCUGUGUAGCCAUUCUGUUUGCUAAACUUGCAGAAGCAUUUCUUCAGAGCUAUAUGUCUUUCCUUCCUUUUCUAGCUCUUCAGGGUAAAAGACUAUUCAGCUGCUGACAGCUAGUGAUGUGCUUACCCUGUGAACAGUUCAUAAAGCGUGACUGCUUCCCGGAGAGCUGUUUGUACAAGCCUGGGAGAGGGCUCAGUCCACUAAUGGAGGCAGCAGAGACUGCCUGCAAAAUAAACAUGCAACUUCUUAAAGAUCAUUAGUAUAUUUUGAAUAUCUUCCUGGUAGAGGCUGAGGCAAAGGAAGGGAGGAUUGGGGAGGCCAUUUCUAUUGCAUGACCUUAUAAAGUCCCAUUGCAAUAAGAGCUGAGUGGGCUCUUGAGCUGUCAAGGGAUGGUGAUCUCCUAAAGCAGAUCAGCUGCAUGUCAGGGAUGGAAGUCAGGUAAAGGUCUAAAGUCAUUCACCACUGCUACUCCUUGUCACAAAACUCAACUGGAAAAGUGUAAUUAGUGCAAGCACUCUUCAGACUCCAGGGCCUCCUGCACUUUUCCAUAGCUGAAGUUAAGUAACUUGAAGACAGGUGGUGCCAAGAUACCAUUGCCUGAUUUGGCACUUGUUUUGAGCUGAGACCAUGGGCCUUUGCUGGGCUGAUUAUAAAAGGGAAGAAAAAUCAAUCUGGUACUAGGAUUGUUUAGCAUUGGAAAGAGAACACUAGAGGUGAACCUGAUAGCCCUUCAGAUAUUUGAAGAGAACUCUCAGGAAAAAGACAAUUUUUUCAGAGUGGUUUCAGAGAGCAGAGAGAGGGCCAAAAGUAGAGGUCACAACAAGAUGACCCUGCAUUUGGAAAAUUGACAGGUCAGUGGUCCAAAACGGAAUGGAAUGCUUUGUGAGCUAACAAGUUCCCCACUUGAAGCAUCCAAGCAUGGAGUGGUUUACAAACUGUUCUGGGUAGCCUUAGGGUUCUCUUGAAGUUCAAUAAAGUCAUAGCAUAUGUAGGAAUUAGCUUUGACAGUUAGCCCUGAAACAAAAAUCAUAUUUGGUUGAAACUACUUUUGGAAAUCCUUUAAAUUGCCCAUAAAAUACCUAUAUAUCUGUGUGAUUUUAUUUUUUACAACCCUGGACAAUUAAGGCUGGAUUGCCCCUGGGGACUUUGUGAUGGAAAAUGGGUGUCUCCAGAGACCGGAAUCACUUUCAAUGGGAUCAGAUGCUUGAGGUUUGAAGGAAUAGCAUCUAUUUGUGACUCUCACCAGAGCAUGAGCUCUGUGAGCAGAUGGAAUAGCAGGAGGAACUACCUAUGUUAUUUAAAUUGAUGUACAUUUAGGUGUGUCUGAGUGUGUGGCACAUAAGAUUGAGAGUGCUAGUCAAAAACUAAAUAUGCUGCUAGUUUAUGACUCUCACAAAAUGAGGGCAGAAGUGAAAUCUGGGUGAAACUAUAGCAUCUUUGCUAUAAUUGUAAAGGCUCUUACCUCGGUCUUACAUGCUAGGAUCUUUUCCCCCAGCUUCAGUGAGGUAUAAUUUGAAUAUAACGUACUCACUUUAGAUUACAGUCUGGUUUUAAUAAUUGUAUAUAGUUCUGUAACUGUCAUUACAAUUAACAUACAGAACAUUUUAUCAUCAUUAAAGCUUCCCUUGCACCCAGGCUCCUUUGCAGCCAAUCCCUUCACCUUGUUCUUGGCCACUGGAAACCACUGAUCUUCUUUCUGUCACUACAGAUUUCCCUUUUUUGAAAUUGCAUAUAAAUGGAAUCAUAUUGUAUAUAAGUCUUUUGUGUUUGACUUCUUUCACUCAGCAUAACAUUAAGAUACAAUCACAUUGUUGAGUUUAUCAACAUUUCAUACCCUUUUAUGACUAACAGUUCAUAGUAUGACUGUAUGACAACUCUUUAUUUAUCUGUUGAUGGACAUUUAAGUUGUUUUUAGUUUUUGACUAUUAUAAAUAAUGUAACUAGAAAUAUAUACAUGCAAGUCUUUGUUUUCUUUUCUCUUGGGUAAAUACCAGGGAUUGUUGGGUUAUUUGGUAAGUAUCUGUUUAACUUUAUAAGAAACAGCCAAACUGGUUUUCAAGCCAGCUAUCCUAUUUUGCUCUGGCAUCAGCACUAUAGGAGAGUCCAAGUUAUUCUAAAUUCUUCCCAACACUUGAUAUUAUCAUUCUUCAAUUUUAGCCAACUUAAUGUGUGUAAGUGGUUUUAAUUUGCAUUUCUCUGAUAACUAAUAGUAUCUAGUACUUUUUCAUGUGUUUGAGAAUUGAAGGAAUCACAGCCAUUCACAUGCUUGUUUUCAAGUGCUCAUUUUAUCUUCUUUUGUGAAAUAUUUGUGCAAAUAUUUUGUCCUCUUUCUAAAUUACGUUGCUUUUCAUAGUAUAACUGAGUUAUUAAGUGUUCUUAAUAAAUUCAGGAAGCAAUCUCUCACAUAAAUGUUUUGCAAAUAUCUCCUAUAAUAGUAUGUCUUGCUUUCUGGUUUUCUCUUUGUAUUUCAAAACACAAAAGAUUUUAAUUUUGUCAUGAUCUAAUUUGUGAAUAUUUUCUUUUAGAGUUUGUGCUUUUGGUGUCUUAUCUAAGAUAUCUUUACCUAACCCAAGAUAAUAAAGAUUAUCUUCUAUGUUCUCUUCUGGGAUUUUGUUGUUAUUUCUCUUAUAUUUUGGUCCAUGAUUAAUUUCAAAUUAAUUUUUGUGUAUAGUGUAAAUAAGAGUCAAGGUUCGUUUUUUUUUUUUUCCCACACAGAUAUCCAGCUAUUCCAGCACCAGUGGUUAAAGAGAAUAUCCUUUCCCCAUUGAAUUACCUUGGCACCUUUGUCAAAAUCAAUUGACUGUGUAAGGGUCUAUUUCUAGGUUCUCUAUUCUGCUCCACUUCUCUAAUUUAUGCUAAUACCACACUGUCCUAAUUACUUCACAGUGAGUUUUGAAAUCAGGCAGAGUAGUCCUUCAAACUUCAUCUCUUUCAAGAUUGUUUUGGUUAUUCCGGGUCUUUUGCACUUUCAUAUAAAUUUUAAAAUUAGUUAAACAGUUUCUUUAACAAAAUUAAGGUUAAGGUUUUGAUUGAGAUCUCACUGAGUCUUAUAGAUCAACUUGGGAAGAAUUCUAUCGAAACAACAUUAAGUUUCCCAAUCUAUGAACAUAGUAUUUCUCUUCAUUAAUUUAGGCAUUCUUUAAUUUCUCUUUCCAAUGUUUUGUGAUCAUACGUAAGUCUUGCACAUCUUUCAUUAGAUUUGUUCUUUAGUAUUUUUAAGAUAUUUUAAGUGGAUUAUUUUAAUUUUAUUUUUCAAUUGUUCAUUGUUACUAUGUAGAAAUAUAAUUGGCUUUUGUAUACUUACCACAUAUUCUGCAAUCUCUUAAAUUCACCUAUUCUACCUUUUAGGACUUUCUAAAUAUGCUAUCAUAUUAUAUGCAGAUGAAGACAUUUUUAUAUCUUGCUUUUUAAAUCUGUAUGACUUUUAAUUUUCUUGCCUUACUGAACUGCUUAGCUACACUAAUACAUAGUUGAAUAUGCUGUGAGAGUGGAUAUCCUUGCCUUAAUUCUGACCUUAGGGGAAAACAUUUAAUCUUUCACUAUUGAAUAUGGUAUUAGUUGUAAAGUUUGUAUAAAUAUCCUUAUUGGGUUGAAGAAAAUCCCAUCUGUUCCUAGUUUGCUUAGAGUUUUUAUCACAAAAAAGGUGGAUUUUUUUUUUCCUGCCUCUACUGAAUUGAUCAUAUGGGUUUUCUUCUUUAUCCAAUUAAUAUGAUGAGGAAAAUUGGUUUUGUGUGUUAAAUCCAACUUUGACCUCCUGGAAUAAAUCCAAGUUGAUCAUAAUAUACUUUCCUUUUAUAUAUGACUAUACUUUAUUUACUAAUAUUUUGUCAUGGAUUUUCAGCCUAUGUUCAUGCAGGAUAUUGGUACAUAGUUUCCUUUUCUUGUGAUGUAUUUGUCUGUAAUACUGAACUUAUAAAAUAAUUUGAGAGGUAUUCCCUUCCCUUGUAUAUCCUAAAGAAGUUUAAGAUUUCUUUUCUUAAACGUUAGGUAGAAUCCACCAGUAAAGCCAACUGUGCCUGGUUCUUCUUUGUAAAGAGAUUUUGAUUUUAAUUCAUAUUUUUAAUUGACAUAGGAGUAUUCAUUUCUUUUUGUUUCCUCUUGUGUACAUUUUUAUCAUUUAUGUCCAUUAAAGGAUUUGUCUGUUUUCAACAGUCAAAUUUAUUACCAUAGUGUUUACAAUAUUCUCUUAUUACCAUUUUAUGUCUAUAGGAUAUAGUGCUCAGUGAUAUUGGUAUUUUAUCUUCUUGAGCAAUCAGAUAGUGAUACAUCAAUUUAUUGACUUUUUUCAAAGAUCAUUGAUCUUUUGGUUUCAUUUAUUGUUUGUUUUCUGUUUUGUGUCAAAUUUUUAUUUCAUUGAUUUCUAUACUUAUGUGUUUUUUUUAAUGUUUAUUUUUGAGAGACAGAGACAGAGAGAGACAGAGACAGUGACAGAGGAUGAAUGGGAGUGGGGCAGAGAGAGAGGGAGACACAGAAUCUGAAGCAGGUUCCAGACUUUGAGCUGUCAGCACAGAGCCCUACACCGGGCUCCAAUCCAUGAACCAUGAGAUCAUGACCUGAGCUGAAGUCAGAUGCUUAAAUACUUAGGUUUAUUUAUUAUCUUUUUCCUUCCUUUACCCUGGGUUUACCUUGGUGUUUUUCUAGUUUCUUAAGGUAGAAACCUAGAUCCUUGAUUUUUAAAUCUUCUUUUUUUAAAUUUUUUUUCAACGUUUUUUAUUUAUUUUUGGGACAGAGAGAGACAGAGCAUGAACGGGGGAGGGGCAGAGAGAGAGGGAGACACAGAAUCAGAAACAGGCUCCAGGCUCUGAGCCAUCAGCCCAGAGCCUGACGCGGGGCUCAAACUCACGGACCGCGAGAUCAUGACCUGGCUGAUGUCGGAUGCUUAACCGACUGCGCCACCCAGGCGCCCCUAAAUCUUCUUUUUUAAUGUAAGCAAUUGAAGCUAUAAAUAUCUUUCAAAGUACUCAUUUAGCUGUAUCCCACAGAUUUUGAUGUUUUAUUUUAUUUUAUUUUUUAAUUUUUUAAAUAUUUUUAAUGUUUAUUUAUUUCUGAGACAGAGAGAGGCAGAGCAUGAGUGGGGAAGGGGCAGAGAGAGGAGACACAGAAUCUGAAGCAGGCUCCAGGCUCUGAGCUGUCAGCACAGAGCCCGAGGGGAGGCUCGAACUCACAAACCGCGAGAUUUGAUGUUUUAUUUUAAUUAUUCAGUUCAAAAUAUUUUUUUCCUUAUUUAUUUCUUCUUUAGUACACAAACUAUUUAGAACAGCAUUGUUUACUUUCCAAAUACGUGUGACUUUCAUAGAUAGCUUAUUGCUAUUGAUUUUUAAUUAAUUCCACGGUGGUUAGAGAAUAUACACUGUAGAUGUGCCUGAGUGACUUAGUCAGUUGAGCCUCCAAUUCUUACUUUUGGCUCAGGCCAUGAUCUCGCAGUUUCAUGAGUUCAAGCCCCACAGUGGGCUCUGCACUGGCAGGGCGGAGCCUGCUUGGUAUUCUCUGUCUCCCUCUCUGUGCCUCCCACACUCAUGCUGUCUCUAUCUCUCUAAAAAUAAAUAAACUUUAAAAAAAUCACACAUUGUAUGAUUUCAGCCUCUUUAGAUUUAUUGAGAUUUGUUUUAUGACCUAACAUAUCCCGGUGAGCAUGUGCCCUUGAAAAGAAUGUAUGUGCUAGCAGUCAUUAAUAGUUCUAUAAAUGUGAAACACACAAAGGCGAUUGAUAAUAAUGCUCAGAUAUUCUACGUCUUCACUAAGUUUUUGGUUAGUUCUGCCAAUUGCUAAGAGAAAGGUAUUAAAUUUCUAACUAAUUGUAGAAUUGUCUAUUUUCUCCUUUAACUAAUUGUUUGCUUCAAAUACAGACUUUAAAGGUCUGUUUUCAGGCUCAUAUAUAUGCACGAUCAUCAUAUCUUCCUAAUAAAUUGAUACUUUAACAUUAUGGAAUUUCUCUUCUUAUCUUUGUCUUGAAAUCAUCUUUUUCCUGAUAUUAAUAUAGCCACUCCAGUCUUCUUAUACUUGCUGUUUUCAUAGUUUAUCUUUAUUCCCAUACAUUUAUUUUCAUCCUGUGUCUAUUUAUAUUAUUUUUAUGUUAAUUUUAUUUGUAAUUCACUGAUUUUUACCCAUUCUGACAAAUUCUACAUUUUAAUUGGGGUGUUAACUUUCUUAAUAUUUAAUGUAACUUUUAUAUGGUUAUGUUUUAGUCUACUAUUUUGGUAUUUAUUUUCAAAUUGCUCCCUCUGGGUUUUGUUUUAUGUUAUUGUUGCUCCUCUGUUCCUGAAAAUUUGGGGAUUCUUUUCAUAAUUUUUAGAAUUCCAUUUUAAUUUUUCUCUUGUUUUUUUAGCUACACUUCUUUAUAUUAUUUUUUUGGUAGUUUUACUAGGUCUUAAAGUAUAAAUCCUUAAAUUUUAAUGGUCUACUUAGAGUUAAUGUGUAACAUUUCACAUGAAAUGUAAAAGCUUUGCAAUCAAGAAAGUCCAUUUAUUCUCUAAUUCUAUCUUUAUGCUAUUGUUAUAUGUAUUACAUCUACUUACAUAAAAAUCCCAGAAGGCAAUGUUAUUUUUUUCCUUAUGCAGGCACAUGUAUUAUAAACAAAUUAAGAAGGAAAAAGCAAAAAAAAAUACACUUUUUUACAUUUACGCAGAUAUUUACCAUUUGUGAUGCCUUCUUUUCCUUUCUGGGGAUUUGAGUUUCCAUCUGGUGUCACUUUGCUUUAGCCUGAAGAAGUUCUUUUAGUAUUUCUUAUAGUGCAGAUCUGGUGGCAACAAAUUCUCAUAGUUUUCUUUUAGAUGAAAAUGUCUGUUUUGCUUUACUCUUGAAGAAUUAUUUUUGCUGCUUUCAUAAUUCAGUUCUCCCCCCUUCAACUCUUUAAGGAUGUUCCAAUCUUCUUUGGCCUUUAAUCAAGCCAUUGUUCCCUUAUAUGUAAUGUGUCAUUUUUCUUUGAUUCCUCUCCAGAUUUGCUCUCUUCUUUGGCUUUUCAUAGUCAUUGACACAUGUAUGUGCCUAUGGCCUUUUUCAUGUUUAUUCUUCUUGGGUUUAUUGAGUAUCUUUGUAAAUUUAUCAUUUAUCAAAUUUGGGAAAUUUUUGGCCAUUAUUUCUUUACAUAUGUUUUAUUCCCCAUUCUCUGAUUCUUGUCCUUCUGGGACUUCAAUAACAUUGAUGUCAGACUACUUUAUAUUUUGUAACAAGGCCCUGAGGCUCUCCUCAUUUUCUCUCUGUUCCUCACACUGGAUAAUUCUUACUGAUUUAUCUGCAGAUUCACAAACUUUUUUUCUGUCUUGUCUAUUCUCCGUUGUCUGUCCCAUGAAUUUUUUAUUUCAGAUAUUUUAUUUCUGGUUAUAGAAUGCUAAUUUUUUGCAUUUUUAUUGUUUUCAUAUCCCUGCUGAGAUUUUAAAACUUUUUUUUAAUGUUUUUAUUUAUUUUUGAGAGACAGAGACAGAGCUCAAGAGGGGAAGGGCCAGAGAGAGAGGGAGACACAGAAUCUGAAGCAGGCUCCAGGCUCCGAGUUGUUAGCACAGAGCCCGAUGCGGGGCUCAAACUCACAAACUGUGAGAUCAUGACCUGAGCCAAAGUCGGACACUUAACCGACUGAGCCACCCAGGUGCCCCACCCUGCUGAGAUUUUAAAUUAUUUAUUGCAAGCAUGUUUUCUUUUAUAUCAUUGAAGGUGGUUAUAGCUUUUUUUUAAAUUUUAUUUAAAUCCAAUUAAUGGUUUCAGGAGUAGAAUUUAGUGAUUCAUCACUUACAUAUAACACCCAGUGCUCAUCCCAACAAGUGCCCUCCUUAAUGCCCAUCACCCAUUUAGCUUAUACACCAAGCCAACACCCCUCCAGCAACCCUCAAUUUGUUCUCUGUAUGUAAAAGCCUCUUAUGGUUUGCCCCCCUCUCUGUUUUUAUCUUAUUUUCCUUCCCUUCCCUCAUGUUCAUGGUUAUAGCUUCUUUAAAUUUUCUGUGUGCUAAUUCCAAAGUCUGAGUCACCUUGGGAUUAGUCUUAGCUGAUGGGUUUUUCCUUUUAGAAUUAGUCACAUUUUCCUGGUUUUAUAUGUUGAGCAUCCUGGACACUAUGAAUGUUAAGCAUGAAGAUUCUGGAUCCUGUUAUUUUUCCACAAGAUAUAGUUUUUUGUCUUUUAACAGGCACAUACUUUGUUGGAAUUUAACUGUAAACUCUUUUUCUUGAACAGCAACUCCCAUCUCAGGUCAAAUCUGUUUGUUUUUAAUGGAUAUUCUUGGAGCCUAUUCCAUCAUGCAUAGUUCAGGAAUCAGCCAGAGAUGCGAGCAAACAGAACUUGGGGGUCCCCUCUCUGGGCUAUUCCUGUUUGAAAUCAUUCCUCUUUCUUUCUACAGUGAAUAUGGUUUCCCUAGACCCAGUCCUCUGGCUACCCAUGUCACAAAGACUGAGAUUUUUCCACAAGCACUCUUACCAACUGCUCUUCACCAAAUGUAUUGCCCCCUCCCCACACCUCCUCCUCCACUUCUGCAUCUUUUUGGUGUUAAAAUUACUUCCAUUGAGGGGUGCCUGGGUGGCGCAGUCGGUUAAGCGUCCGACUUCAGCCAGGUCACGAUCUCGCGGUCCGGGAGUUCGAGCCCCGCGUCAGGCUCUGGGCUGAUGGCUCGGAGCCUGGGGCCUGUUUCCAAUUCUGUGUCUCCCUCUCUCUCUGCCCCUCCCCCGUUCAUGCUCUGUCUCUCUCUGUCCCAAAAAUAAAUAAACGUUGAAAAAAAAAAUUAAAAAAAAAAAAUUACUUCCAUUGAUAGGGAAACUUAUUAACACAUAAAGCUUCAUUUGUAUUGAGUUCUACUCAGGUUAGGUUUGCCAACAUUCCAUUUCUUAAAUACUUCUUUAUCAUUUCUACCAAUCUCUCUUUACGUUUGAUCUUCCUCUCAUUUUGAGUUCCUUCUGUAGUGCUUCUUUGGUUAUUCAUGGUUAUUCAUUUCCUACCAUCUAAAUCCUAACUCAGAUUCCACUUUGAAACCUUCCAUCAUUCUAUUCCCAGUUAACACCAUCUCCUUUAAGUAACAUUUUUUACAUAUAAUGUCUUUUUGAGGUAAAGGUGGGAUUUUCCCCCCCAUAAUUGGCCUAAACUCCAUGGUCACAAGAAAUAUGUCUUAGGCAAUUAUUUUUUAUCCUCCUCAUAAUUAAAGUCAGACAGAUAAAGAUUAAAUCCAAAUUGUGCUUCUUAUUUACUGUAUAUUUCUAACAAGUUACUUACCUCUGUAACGUCAGUGUCCUAAACUGUAAAAUAGACUUAACAAUACCUGAUUUAUGGGGCUAUUUUAGGAUAAAUAAAAUUAUUUCCCUAGAACAAAUACUCUUUUAUUCUUUGAGUGUUUUAUACCUUCUUUUUCCUCAAAUUUCCAAUGCCUCUGCCCCUUCUUCAUUUUCACUGAAUGAAUUUUUGCUUCUGAUUUCACUGAGAAAAGUGUGAAAUAAGUAGCAAUGAAAAAGAAACUUUCACACAUUCCCACCAACUGAUCUACCUUUGUACUUACAUCUAUGUCCAGUUUCCCUCUUUCCUCUUGUGAAAUGUCAACACUGCUAUAUAAAGCGAUUCCUUCACUUGUGGACUUGGUGUAAUUUUUUUUUUUUACUCAAGGACAUUGUUCCUGUGAUUGUUCCCUUUCUAUCCUAGGUCAUCAGUUUUCCACCUCUACUCAGUUGCCCCUACUAACGUGCAAACAUGCUGUGAUGACUUCUCUCCUUAAAACAAAAUGAACUUCUUUUGACCUCACAUCCUCUCCAUUGGCCUAUCCCCUAUUAACAGUCCUUAAGAGAUCCUUUCCUUGUCCCCCACCCCAUUUUCUGCUAGAUCAAUGUAAUUAGGCUUUUCUAGCUAUCAACUCAUGAGAACACUUCUCAUUAAGAGUUUCAUAUUGGCAAAUCCAAUAAUCAGUUAUCACUCCUCAUUCUUCACUUUCUUCACUGGCUUCCAGGAUUCUAUUCUUUCUUAGUUCUCCUUUUACUUCACCAGCCAUUCUCUUUUAAUCUUUCCACUUCAGUUCUUAGGAUACUUCAUUCACUGUCUAACUGAUCUCAUAUUGUCCCAUUGCUUUAAAUACUAUCUAUACAUUGAUGACUUGAAAAUAAAUAUCUCCAACCUAGAUCUCUUCUCCAGAUUCCAGGUUUAAAUAACUAGUUGCAUACUGGUUAUUUUCACUUGGAUAAUUAAUAGUUAUCUCAAACCUACUUAUGCAAAACUGAACUCCUUGCCUUAUCUCUCAAGCCACCUCCUUUCAUAGUCUUCCCAUCUCAGUACAUAAUAACUCCAUCUUUCCAGUUACUUGUAUCAAAUAUUGCACUCUGGUUCUUGACCACUUUUUCUCUUUUAUCCUGCAUGCAGUACAUCAGGAAUUUUUUUUUAGGCUCUUCUAAAUAUAUCCACAGUCUGACUGCUUAUCAUCUCUAACCCUAGCUUACUGGUCUAAACUACCAUAAUCCUUUAAGUAGCAACAUUAUUUUAGUAACCUCCAAACUGCUUUUCUUCCAUUCUUUUCUCCAGCUACACUGGUCUCCUUGUUCUUCUCAAAAAUGAUAAGCAUGCUUCUGCUUCAGGGCUAUACACUGGCUCUUUUCUCUUCCAGCAGUUCUCCUCCCUAAGAUAUUUUCAUGGCUUUACUCCCUUACUUCCACUUUCUGUUCAAAUGUCGCCUUCCCCUAGAAAUUUUCCCUGAACUCACCACAUAAAAUAGCAACUGUAUCUUCAUUAACUAGUCCCCUUACCUUGCUUUAUUUUGCUCCAUUGUACUUAUCACUCUCUGAACUAUCAUAUAGUUCUCUCUCUCUCUCUCUCUCUCUCUCUCUCUCUCUCUCUCUCGCACAGGCACACACACACACUUGGUGACAGAGGGUUGAUUUUGUUCCCAUAUCCUCAGGGCCUGCAACAAUGCCCGACAUAUAAUAAGCACUCAGUAAUUAUUUGUGAUUAAAUGGAUGGAUGAGUAAUACAAAUUGAGGUCUUAUCUCAAUACCUGGAGUAUAGUUAGCACUUAAUAAGUCCUAGGUUUUAUUAUCAGGCACUUGAUAAAUAUGUGUUGAAUAAAUAGAUGAAUUUGUUCAAAAGUAGCUAAAAGAAUGUUAACUAUAUUCAGACAGAACCAUCAUCUGCCUCUUGUCUUGUAUCUCACCUCCUGAUGACUUCACCAGAUUCUCCAUCCAGAAGCUAGUGCCCAGGGUCCAGAAAACCAUUGCAUCAUUCUUGUGAAAGAUCCCCUUAGUGUAAACUUACCCUCGAACACUUACAAAGGCGUCAGGAGAAGCUAUCUGCUCACUUGCCAGAGAGAUCCCCUGUGCAAAGCCAAACUCACCCACAGAGGUUCAGCCCAGAUAUGGCCUGGCUGGUCAUUAUGACAGAAGGCUGGGUCAGAACCACACAGCUGUUCUGAACUUAAACAUUAGAAGCAUUUUUAUUCCCCAUGUUUUCCUGAGACCCAUACACUGCAAACAAGGUGGGUUCAUCUCAGUAGGUAUCCUGGGUUUAUGACUUUUAAUAUUUAAAAGUAACUGAAAAUAAUAACAGAGACUAUUGUUGAGUUUUUUUUUUUAAAUGGAAGCUUCUACAGCUUUGCUAUAGUUUCUAUAGUCAGAAUUGACUAUUGGUUACAUUUCUUUGCUUUGCUUACUUCCAACUAGAGGAAAUGUUAAGAAGGCAUUUAUGGGAAGGUUAAUAGGGUCUCACACAGUAACCAAGGAAAGGUUGUACCCAGGCCUCUGGGAGGGCUGGGGUCAAGGCAGCCCCGGGGACAGAAGUCCAGGAUGCUUUCACCAGUGUUCUGCCAUUAGAAUUACCACAUGUCAACUCCAAGCCUAGAAAUAAUUUGACUGGGCCAGCUGAUUUUGAGAAGCUCUCAGGCCUAACCAAUUGUUCCAACCAUUUGACCAGAGCGGGGAGGAUCAUAUAAGAAUCAAACAUGAUACUGGAGGUAGGAACAUUGUAGUUUUCAGAAAAGAAAGAAUAAGUGGACAAAUAUCCUCGAAAAUGCCUCAAACGCAUAAGGGAGAGUAGAGGACAAUUUAGAGGAGCUGCUUUGUAGGCAGCAUACACAUGCAAAAGAAAAAUGCUUUGCCAACUCAGUCAUCUGAACUAAAAACAAAAAAAGUAUUGAUUUUUCCCAGCAGCUCAUUCAACCUUGAGCAUAUGCAACACCUGUGCAUGCUGUAUCUUGCAUGCAUCAUUACAACUCCCAUCAAGCAGGGGGAAAGUGCUUUGGGAAGCCAAAGAAUUAAUUUCCAUCUUCAUCAUGUGGUCUUGGGCUUAUGAUUUAACCUUUAUUUGCCUCAGGUUCCUCAUCUAUAAAAUGGGAAGAGUAAUAUUUUCCCAGACAGGUAAGAAUGAAGUGAGAUAGCUGGUGGUUCAGUGCAGAAGUUAAUAAAAGAGGCCUUAAGUCUAAGCAACUGCUCAAGCCUUACCUUCUCAGAGCUGUACACUCUGCAUCUCUAAAACAAGGACAGGUGUACCCAGUGUGGGCUUUGUCAGCAUUAAAAAAUUUAUACAAAGCACUGUGCAUAGAGCCUUAUAUUUCAAGGACUUAAAACCUUGGUUAAAAGACUUUUUUAGGUAAGUCAUGGUACUUUGAAAAAUGUAAAAUACCUGUGGGGGCACACUUAGUUUUUGAUAUUAUCAUUGUCACCAUUACUAUUAUCAUCAGCAUCACCACUGAUUCAAGAAAGCACAGUAGGAGCAAGAAUGAAGAAAGUACAACUUCAAAGUAUGUUCUUAUCUUUCUUCAAAAGACUCUUCCUUGCUGCCAAGUAAAAUAAAAAUACUUUGACUUGCUGGAUAAAGCCAUCUCCAGCCUCAUUUCUUGCAUUCUCUCCUUCCUGUUCCUACCGCUUCCCCUGCUGCAUUUCAUAACCCAGGCUCACUGGUUAUGGGUCAGUCCCCAAAUACACUUUAUACUUAAAAAUCUCUGGGGCUUUAUUCUUGCCAUUUUCUUUUCUUGGAAAAACACUUUCAUUAAUCUCUAACUGUUGAAAUUCUUAUUUUAUUUUCUUUAAGUUUAUUUGAGAGAGAGAAAAAAAAUGUGUGCCCACAAGUCAGGGAGGGGCAAAGAGAAGGAAAGAGAUAAUCCCAAGCAGGUUCCAUGCCAUCAGCACAGAGUCUGGUGCUGAGCUUGAACUCAUGAACCAUGAGAUGGAAACCUAAGUCAAGAUCAAGAGUCAGAUGCUUAACUGACUGCACCGCCCAAGUGCCCCUGAAAUUCUUAUUUUAAAUCCCGUAUACCCUCCUAGGCCCUUAUUUCAAGGACUACCAUUGCCACCUUCUGAGUUAUUCAUUUACUUCUUAAAACUUUGCUUGUACCUUCCUUUAUAAUUAGCCCUGUUUUAUUUAGAUACUCUAUUUAGUUGUUUACAUAACCCAAUCUCUCACCCUGUUAAAAGCCCCAUCAGGGGCAGGGGGCAGGAAUGUACAUAAUCAUUUUGUAAUCACUGCUAGCUAGCACAGUGGCUGACAUAUGGUAGAAUACAGAAUUGUUGCAAGGAAAGGAAAGGAAAAGAAAAAGGCAGAAAUACAGAAUGCUGUAAACUGCCCUCUGGGGAGCUCAGAUCCAUGAUCACAACAAGCAUUAGCACUGUGUUCUAAUCAAUCAAGCUACUCAGCCCAGCACGAAUACCCAGAAUUGGAAAAAUAAGCUUCUUCUGAGUAUAAGCUUCUAGAGGGUUUUCACUCUUUCCAUGCUGGCAAUCACAGAAUUUCCCUAAAAUCUAAAGCCUUAAGGGACCUAGUGAUAAUUUAAUUCAGUAUCUGUAUAUUACAUGUAAAGAAACAAGCCCAGAGAGCUUUAACCUCCAACCCCCAAAGGCAUUAAGCAAGUGAGCAGCAGAGCUGAAGCUAGGAUCAUGGACCCUCUGUGCCUGCCAUGUGCAGACCAUCCUUCCCUAGCUCCCACCUGCUGUUUUCAGGUUUUACCUGAUUUUCAUUUUCCUGGGUUUGACCCCUGACUUAAUGCUCCCAGUCCCUUGCCGGCCCAACCCAAUGUGACAAUGGUUCAUUCUAGGGGCUUGUUAUUUAUACAAGGAGAGGUACACAGCCCAAAAGCAUGAAGCAGCCAGCAAAGGGACUGAGUGAGCCCACAAAGUUAGGGAGGAGCACAAUCCCUAAGCCCACCCUCACCUUUGACACCAACUUAAAGUUUGGAGGUUCCCAAGACUACCCUUAUGGUUGUUAAUUCACUAGCAGGACCCAGAACUCACUGUAAACUGUUAGACUCAUAGUUAUGGUUUAUGACGGGGAAAGGAUACAGAUUAAAAUCAGUCAGAGGAAGAUUCAGGAGGCAGCUUCCAAGAAAGUUCCAAAUGCAGAGUUUCCAUUGUCUUAUUCCCACAGAACUAGGGAUAGUGUUACUUCCCCAACUUCAAUGUGUGACAAUAUGCACAGAGUAUUUGCCAACCAGGGAUAAUCCCCCUGCCCUUGGUGUUCAGGGUUUUCAUUGGGGAUUCAUCAUAUAGACACAGUUGGCUGCCCACAUGGCUAAUUUCAGUCUCCAGGCCCUCUGCAUGCUGAGCUGAUACUAUGUGACCCAAUGUUCCCACCCUAAAUCACAUGGUUACACUAUCUAGCAUAACCUAACUUCCAUAGGCAAACAAAACACUCUCACACAUGACUUUCUGGGGCCUUAGACACUACUUCCCAGAAGUGGAAGGAGAAGGGCAGACCUUUUUCAGGCAAGGUUAAAAUCUUUGGAGCACAUACUCUUGCUGAAGCCCUGACCCUCACUUCAGCAAAGCAUAGUGGGAAAUGCAUGAGCUUUGGAGUCAGUCCUGUGUGCGCUGUCACUUUACCCACAUAAUUUCAGCCAGAUACUCACAUCUCUAAGCCUGAGUUUUUCCCUUUGGAAAAUGAAGAUUAAAUACCUAUCACUGGCAGCGUUUGUAAGGAUCAGAAUUAAUGCUUUUAACAUACUUCAUGUAAUGCUCAUGUGUAGUGGGUACCAAAUAAAUUAAUAGCCUUCUUUUCUUCAGUCCUUUCUUCAUCCUUUUCUCUCUCAUGAUCUCUCUUUCCCUCUCUCUCUCCCUCCCAUAUGAUCUCUUUCAUUCUCCUUAUCCUGUUUCCUUUUCCAACCUUUCAUCUUCUCUCAAGAUAGGAGGAUGCCACUUCAGUGUGCUAUGAAUAAGGAAAUGCCAAACUCAGAGGAACCAAAUCCUGCAAGCAGCAGCCUUGGGAUAUGCUGCCCCCUAGAGACAGCUUGGUGAUGGUAUCUGUGGGACAAAGCCAGCUGUCCCAGGCUGGGAUGAAUAAGAGCUAACACAUUGUAAUAACUUAGCUUCACUCCAGAUCUGGUGUAAAUUGAAGAUGAAAAUGUGUUUUCCAAAAAUAAUCGAGCUGCUACAGAUGUCUGGGCCUGUUUCACCUUUGGUUAUACAAUAGUCUUUUUGGGCUUCUCUUCUGGGUUCACAGGGAUGGCUGGGCUCACAUGCCAGCGAAUUUUCCUAAGAAAAGCUCUGCACUUCUCAGUAGCAUUAGCAACCAGUAUGCCCACUGCACAGAGCAAGAGUCUAAAGCACCCAGGAGUAACGUUGACCAUGUUAUGAAGUCAGGUCUUAGUGAGACCACAGAACUCACACCAUCCUGAGCCACAUUUGUACAUCUUUCUGAGGCUCCCUGAUGCUGCCUGGAAUUAUUCUAGGGUUUAGGAAAGGGAAUUCUUCUCCAGAUUCCUAUUCUGUGGUUGAGAUCAGCCUUCUGUGUACACUUUCCUUCAAAAUACCUUCUCCUGCAGUGCUACAAUCAUGAAGAAGAAAAUCCGAAAAAUGUCCUGGUUCAAGGCCUCUGUUUUCAGACUGUUAAAGAUCUGAGUCACAGGUUUUGCUAUUUCCUUCUCUGCACCUCUUCCCACAAACGUGGCACUUGGAAUGGUCAAUGAUAAGGAGACUUUACAUUUUCUGCUUGAGAAUCUCAUGAUAAGCCUGUGAAAUAGUCCCAGGCCAUAAAAACUGGGUAAGAUAGUUAAACAUCAGUGCACUGCCCUUAUUUUACCUACAAGGUCUAGAGAGAGAAAGUCAUUUCUCCAAGGUCACAGACAUUCUUAGUGAGCUGAGUGGGUGACUAACUAAUCUUGGGUAAUGAGUAAAGACUGAACUGACGUGAACUAAGCAAAGAUUUUGCUUUCAAUGUCUCUGGCUAUUUUUAUACCUGGCCUCUCUCAUUUCGCUUGAAAUUAUAUUUCCCCUAUGUACAUUCCUUCCUUCCUUUACCGUAUUUGUAGUCAUUCUCCCUCCUCUUCCUUCUCUAAAUCAGGUAUCAUUAUGUUUUUCAAUCUUGAUAUUUUUAAAAUUAUCAGGUCAGAGGAAUAGGGCCUCUUCUUUAAUUCAUUAAUACAGCAAAUAUUUAUUAAGUGCCUUCUACACACAAACUAUUCUAGGCAAUCUUAAAAACUGGAAAGGACAAAAUACACAAAAAUGGCUACCCUCAUGCAGUUUGUAUUUUAAUAGUGGGAAGCAAGUAAUAAGAAAACAAAAAAUAGUAAAAACAUCUAUAAAAUAGUGAUAAAUGUUUUGGAGGAAAAAAAAUCUAAGGAAGAAUAAUAGAGUUUUGAGGCAUAGGGGGCUUGCAGUUUAUGGUGGCCAGCUAAGUCCCCUGUGAAAAGAUAAAACUUGAGCAAGAAUCAGGUGAUCAAGGGAGCCCAGCAGGUACCAGGACAGAGGUAACAGCAGUCUCUUGGGCUCUGAGGGGCACAUGCCAGGAGUGCCCUAACAACAACUAAGAGGCAACAGUGGCUGGAGCAGAGUGAGUGUGAGGGGAGGGGCCUUAGAGAGUCAGAGAAGAGAGGAGCAGCCAGAAUGUAUAGGAUCUUCUGUUGCAACUGCAGAGUAAGGAAUACAACCAGAAAGGAACUUCAGUUACUUUGACUUUUGCCCUGAGCAUAUAGGAAGCCAUUGGAAACUUUUGAGUUAGAGUCAUGAAAUCACUUGAUUUAUAUUUUUAAGAACAAGUAUGGCUAUUCUUUUAAGAACAGACUUUAAGGAAGAAAUAGUAGAAAUGCAUAGUAGAAAUGCAAUCAGCUUGGUGUUUAUUGCAACAAGCCAGUUCAGAGAUGAUGGUGGUUUAGACCAGGGUAUAUCAGUGGUGAGAAAUAGUUAGACUCUGGACACAUUAUGAGGCAGAAAAGAAGGUAGUAUUUCCUGAUUUCUUGUAUAUGAUUGGAUACAGGUUAUAACAUAGAGACAGACAAAGUCAAAGGGAAAUGAGAAUGACACAAAAGUAUUUGGCCAACAAAGAUGGGAGUUGCACUUUGGAAACAAAGUAUGUUUAAUCUCUUUCUGCAUCAGUUUUCUCAUCUACCAAAUGGGCAAAUUAAUUAAAAUUAUAGGUUUAUAAAAAUUAAGUGAGGGACACCAGGUUGGCUUAGUCGGUGAAGCAUCCAACUUUGUCUCAAGUCAUGAUCUCACGGUUGAUGAGUUCAAGCCCCACAUAGGUCUUUCUGCUGUCAGCAUAGAGCCUGCUUGGGAUCUGCUGUCCCCGUCUCUCUCUCUGCCCAUCCCCUGCUUGUUCCCUCUCUCUCUCUCAAAAAAAAAAAAAUAAACAUUUAAAAAUAAAUAAAUGAAAAUUAAAUGAGUUGUUAUAAGCAAAAUGCUUAGAAUUAUUCCUGGUUCACAACAAACAAGUGUUAGCUGCUAUUCUCAUGAUUCUCCUCUUUUUCCUGCUUACUUCUUUCAGGAAACUAAGCAUAGUCUGCCACAAAAUCUUACUUAAUUUUUUUGUCAUCUACUUCCUUCACCAAAAUGUAAGCCUCAUGAGGACAAAGAUCUCAUGUGUCAAGUUCAUACUACGUCAUCAGCUUCUACAAUAGUGUUUCAACACCUUAACAUAUGUUUGAUAAAUAUUUAUAAGUGUGAAAAGAUGGAACACUCAGCCUGCCUGGAUUUCCCAUGAUGUCUUUGUUUGACAUAUGUACUAUAUGUUUCGUACACUCAUAAACAUUUACUGUUUAGAACAUUUAGUCACUGGCAUUAAGAAGAGACUUAAAAGGUAGACCACACAUAAGUUAUACAGUUCAUUCUGAAAAAUCCCCCUGUGCUACGCCUUGAUGAAAGGGAAAGUUCUAUCUAAAUACAGAAAUCAGCAGGAGCUCUGAGAUUCUGGGCACCACAGUCCAUGCCUGCUCCUUCUGAAACUGAAAUCAAUGCACCUGGUUGUUCUUUAAUUAGCAGAGCUGUUGCCCUGCCUCCGCCCCCUGGUUCCGCUGUCAAGAUGUCGCACAUCUCUGAGCUGGCUUUCCAUCCCAAGAUGGUUUAGCUUGCUGUGCAUGGCUGGAGGAAGGCAGGAAAAGGGCAGGGAGCCAAUUAGAUUGAAAUGGAAUCUGGUCUUUUGAGGCCCCUUGUCAGGGUGAAGAGUAUUGGAUGUUCCCAAAGAUGACAGAUGCUUCUUUAUUUGGGUUGAUCUCAGGGGUUAGAGGUCAUUUGUAAAUAAGAUUUGCUCCAUUUGGUAUGGCAAGUCCUUUUUUCUAUGCCUUACUUUUUUCAGUCCCUGAGUCUUUUUCUCUGUGUUUGACAUGCUCACUGCCAGUAUAAAGGCCAUUUGGUCUGGAAUGAAUAUUUCAAAUCCUUGGGAGCAGCUGAAGUAGCAACCAAAAGUUAGAUAGGCUCACUGAGGAACCUAUGUGAUCAGUUCACAUAAUUCUAAAAACAAUCCAGAGUAAAGAGAGGAGGUAGAACAACUGGUGUGAUGGAUAGAUGGAUGGAUGGAUGGAUGGAUGGAUGGAUGGAUGGAUGGAUGAAUAUAUUAGUGAAGACUUAAAAAUCAUUCCCUCUUUUUUAGCUGAGAGGAGAGGAUAUAUGCUAAAUUUUAUUAUUUAGUCCUUAUUUUGUUGGUCUAAGUAAAUUUAGCCUUUAUAUAGAUGGUUUUCCAUGGAAUAUAAUCUUCAAGUAAAUAAAAAUGCAUUCUGAGUACAAAUAAAACUUUUUAUCCAAAUAAAGGAAUUUUUAAUCCAGGUCAAUGGACUCAAGUAUCCAUGAAUUGCUUGAAAUGUGCUUUUAAAAAUAUAUUUAGUUAACAACCACUUAUAAGGAAAAACUUAGUAUGGGACAGUCAUUGUUGUAAUGUUUUAGAUAUAUUAUCUCAUGUAAUACCCACCUUAGAUAAAUAUUAUUACUAACCCCAUACAAAUAGUGUCAUUGAGAUACUAAGGUAAGUAGUACUUAAUAACUAGUAAAUGGCAGAGGUAGGAUUUUAACUUAGGUAGUUUGGAUCUAAUUGUAUAUACAUGUUUUGAUAGAUCAAGGAGAGGACAUGGUUAUAGAGUUGUUUUUGGUUUUGCCUUAUAAAAGAGGGUAUAGUGCAAAGAAUCAGAGCAUCUCAUAGAAUCCAAAGGCAAAGAGAGCAACUAGCCUCACAAUGCAUUAGAACCAGAGGCUAUCAAGUCAUCAGGAGCCUUUGCAACCAUCUAUCUGGUCUCUUAGCUUUUCUUUGUGUUUUCUCAGCAAGAGUAGCCUAUGAACCUUCCCAUCAGCUUAUUUUUUUUUUAAUUUUUUAAAUUUUUUUUUUCAAUGUUUAUUUAUUUUUGGGACAGAGACAGAGCAUGAACGGGGGAGGAGCAGAGUGAGAGGGAGACACAGAAUCGGAAACAGGCUCCAGGCCGAGAGCCUGACGCGGGGCUCGAACUCCCGGACCGCGAGAUCGUGACCUGGCUGAAGUCGGACGCUUAACCGACUGCGCCACCCAGGCGCCCCAACUUCCCAUCAGCUUAAAUGUGACCCAUCAUAGCUGACCAACACACAAUCACAGCUUCUUAGCCUUUGCUAUCUGUCUCUCACAUUUACCCUUCAUCUGUGGUUCUAGAGAUAAAUAAUGAUUAGCCUAAAUGGAUAGAAUUUGAAAGUUUAAUUUCUAGAAGAUUCAUUGGAUAUUUUGAAUUGCACUGCAGCAGCCUGUUCAGAACUGUGUGUUCCAUGUUCCUUCCUUCAUGCCAUGAUAUUCAUGGUAAUGAACCUUGGCCUUGGAAAAGGCAAAAGUGUGGGCUUGAACCCAGGGAUGAUAGCACUGAAGAUCCUGCAGAACCCACUUUAUAACUUGAAACCUUAUUUUCCCCUUUGAUAAAAUCAAUAUUAUAAAUCAGGUCAACAUCACCAUAAUUACCUAUGAAUGUCCAUUGCUCAGGAAGUGUUAAUAUUUGAGAGGGAGAAGAAUGUCCCACCCCAGAAUGUGCCACUUUGGCAUGUGGAUUAUUUAAAGCUGAGUAUAGUCAGGGCCUAGCAGACUCAGAAAUAGCUUUUAACCUCCCCCCUCAACUGCCCAAAAUAAUUUAAACAGGGGGUCUGUACUAGGAAGAGAGCUAUUACCAGAAAUAACUUUUUAUAUCAGAAAGACUUACCUACGUGUCAUGGCAAACAUUUGUUUACCAAACAUUUGCUCUUUAUAUCUUCCUAUGAAUUGUCUUCCUUCUCUUUGAAGUCUCAGAUCCCUCUUCCUUUUCCUUACCUCAGAGUGGUAUAUAAGUCCCAGUUACCUGACUGUCAAGGAGUCUCAUGUUUUAGUUUUUCUUCUGCUAAUCUGUCCUAUGUCAAUUUAGUUUUUAGAUUAGCCAAAAAACCUAGAAUGGAAGAAGGGAAAAUAUUUCCACCCUUACACAUUCCAUGAGGACAGAGCACCAUUGUUCACAAAUCCCUAGGUGAACACAUGAAUCCCUAGGUGAUACAUCCCAACCUGCGAUUCAAAGAAAGCAAUGUGUGUACGUUGUCCCCAACUUAUGAAAGUCCAAGUGGCAACUUUCCUAUUUAUACUAUUUUUAUCAUAGGUAACACAGCACACACACAUAUACACUCACUCAUUGGAUGCCACACCUUGUAUUAAAAUUGGCCUACUCACUACCGCCAAUGUAGGCACUCUUGCCAUUUACCAUCUGAGUGAAUUGGCACCAAUAAUAAUAAGAAAAGGCAAUGGACUGAGUCGUGAAGUGGAAUAAUUUUUGAUUAAGGCCUUAUAAGCAGACAUGCAGAUCAUAUGCUUCUUUAUCAAAGCUACAAUUUUGACCAAGGCAACAUCUUGCUUUAAAAAGCUGACAACAAAUGUGGUGAAACAUCAAAAGAGUUUUCAGCAUGAGUAAAGGAUAGUUUGAGCUCGUCAGGAAGAGGAGGCUAUAUACCCAAAGAAAAGAUGCAAAUACAGAAAAGAAUCGAGGCAAGAAUCUUCCAGAAAGUUCCAGAGUUGAAACUACUGAAGUAAGAGGUUAGCAAUUGCAGAGUAUUUUACAUCACAAAGCAAGAUCCAGAUUUCCUGGUCAAAGCCUGAUUGCAGAGGUUUUCAGGCAUACUGACUCAUAAGAAAAGUUUAGGAGGUUGACUUUAAUUUAAAUUCAGUUCAAAGGACUCUGAAGCAAAGAAGAUUGCUUAAGAAGCUUGUUAGAGAGAUAUUGGCCAAGAUAGGAAGCCAGCAUUUUCAUUUCAACCUUCAUUGCACUCAGAUUUUUGUCAAGUCUUUUUUAAAAAAAGAAAGGAAAUACGAGGUAGACUUUAUAUUCACUAUUUGAUUUUCACCUCUUUUUUUAGCAAAAUAUCAAAAUUUUACUUUAAUUUUUUAUAUAUAUAAUUUAUUAUCAAGCUAGCUAACAUACAAUGUAGUGUAUACAGUGUGCUCUUGGUUUGGGACGUAGAUUACUGUGAUUCAUCACUUACAUACAACACCCCAGUGCUCAUCCCAACAAGUGCCCUCCUCGAUACCCAUUUCCCAUUUCGUCCAUUUCCCCCAUUUCCCCCCUCCCCCAAGUCCUCCCACCCAUCAACCCUCAGUUUGUUCUCUGUAUUUAAGAGUCUCUUAUGGUUUACCUCCUUCUCUGUUUGAGACUAUUUUUACCCCUUCCCUUCCCCUAUGGUCUCCUAUUAAGUUUCUCAAGGUCCACAUAUGAGUGAAAACAUACAAUAUGUCUUUCUCUGACUAUUUCAUUGGUAUAAUAACCCUCCAGUUCCAUCCACAUUGUUGAAAAUGGCAGGAUUUCAUUGCCAAAACAGCAGAACAGAUCAAUGAAUCUAAGAGCCAUAUUUUUGAAAAAAUAAACAAAAUUGAUAAACCCCUAUCCAGACUUCUCAAAAAGAAAAGAGAGAGGACCCAAAUGGAUAAAAUCACAAAUGAAAGAGGACAUGUCACAACCAACAUUACAGAAAUACAAACAAUUAUUACAGAAUACUAUGAAAAAUUAUAUGCCAACAAACUGGACAACCUGGAGGAAAUGGACAAAUUCCUAGACACCCACACACUACCAAAACUCAAAUGGGAAGAAAUAGAAAAUGUGAACAGACCAAUAACCAGUGAAGAAAUUGAAUCAGUUGCCAAAAAUCUCCCAACCAAUAAGAGUCCUGGGUCAGAUGGCUUCCCAGGGGAAUUCUACCAGCCAUUUAAAGCAGAGUUAAUACCUAUCCUUCUUAAACUAUUCUAAAAAAUAAAAACAGAAGGAAAGCUUCUGGACUGAUUUUAGCUUCUUAAUAAAUAUUUGUAAAAGCACAUAUUUGAGGGGUUUUCCCCAUCAUUUAUUUUCAUGAUUAGUGUUGGGUUUCUAUGGUAUACAAAGUUUCCAUAGGGUAAUACUAAUUCAUAACAUCUAUCCUAUGGAAAUAAGGGCUUUGAUUAUAUCAACUAGAUUUGCCUGUAGAAAACCAUUAGGUUAGGAGUUACAGCUGAAGCAUAUUGAGUAGUCAUAAGUACCCAGUUCCUUGAGAGGGUUUUACAGUGCUUCACAUUUGAUAAGCAAAUAUCUGUUACUGAUAAGGAACUGAUAAGUAAAUAAUUUACUCCUGUUAAAGCAGGCAUUCCAAAAAUGCUGCACUUUGGAACAAACUAUCCUAAGUCCAGUAAGGGCUUAAGUUUUCAAGAGGGGAGGCAGUUCUCUUCAAGAAGAGAGUGUCAAAAAGAAAACCGCAGGCCCAAAAUGGUGUCACUUAGACCAUGUCACCAAACCAGGGCUUAAUACCAAUCCUAAUUUCAAUGUAGUGUUAACUAGGUAAGUGAGGAAUUUUCUGAUCAGCAUCAUUAAGGUAUUUGCCACAUAGGCCCUCUGCAUUCCCAAAGGAAAAUGUGUAAACCACCUAAGACCCCUGCCUUUCCCCCUAAAGGAAAGUGGCCUUACUUGGAACAAUUCUUUUUAAAAUUUUGCUAAUAACUUUCUUGCCCCACCCUCCUUCCCAUAAAAGCCUUCCAUGUCUAACAACUCCUCAGAGCUCCUCUCUUCAAAUUUUUUUCUUUGACAAGUGAAAAAAAGACAGUGAAUGAACUACACAAAAGAAGAAGAGAUCCUAGAAAACACACAUAUACCCCCCAAAUGACACAUCAGGUCUUAUCUUCCACCCAACUUAUCAAAUUUUAAUAUUAUCUCAUUUUUGCUUUAGAGUUUUUUUUAAAGAUUAGAGAUAUAGUUGAAGUUUAUUGUGUAUCCCUCUCUAGUGCCUCAUCGUCCCUCCUUCUCUAAAUAUAACUAUUGUCCUAAAUGUGAUAUUAUUCCCAUACAUGUUUUCCUACCAUAAUAAGUAUGAAUAUAAAUUCAUAAACAAUAUAUAGUAUUCUUUUAAGCCUUGUAUAAAUGGUACCUAUGAUAGAAACUCUUAGUUUCCUACUGGAUAUUUGUUUAUUAGUUGACCUACUCAGUAUUUACUUUUCUUCUUUAUAGAACAUGUAGCAUAUUCUGGGCAACAAUGCUCCCUAUUAAAGGCCUACUUUUCCCACCUUCUCUCACAGCUACAGGGAUAGCCGGGGAGAUGAAAGCAAAGGUCAUUGGGCAGGGCGUCUGGGAUGACCCUUUAAAGUGACUCAGCUGACAGGUGUACCUUUUGCUCUUCCUCCUUUUUCCUUCCUACUUGCAGCAUAACUGGCGGAUGAAACUCCAGUAGCUCUUUGGUUCAGGAGAUCACCCUAAGGUCAGAAACCAGUGCUCAGGAUGGUGGAGCAGACAGGUCUGAGUCCCUCAUGACCUUGGAGCCUCUGUAUCAGCCUUGGACUACCCACCUCUAGACUCAUUUUGUGUUAUAAACAAAUAUCUUGUUCAAGGCACUUUUUGUUGUUAAAUGUAGUUGAAACUUACCUGAAAUAAUAGACAAUUGUACUGUAUGAAUCAUCUUCCAAAUUAAAUUUUUUGCUCAACAUAAUAUUUUUGUUGCUCAGCAUUCUGAAUUUAUUUUAUAAGACAGGUACAGUGUUUAAAUCACCAAUUCUAAAAUUAGCUGAUUUACAGCCCAACUCUGUCACUGACAGCUAUGAGGCUUGGGGGUAAUUACUUACAUUUUUCUGUACUUGGUUUGCUCAUCUAUAAAAUGGGGAUGAUAAUAGUACCACUGUCAGAAGAUUAUCAAGAGAAUUAAAUGAGUUCAGAUUUACAUGCAAAGUGCUAACAGUACUACCUAUAGGAAAAUUCUUAAACCUAUAGAGAAUUAUUAACUAUUAUUUUGCUAUUUAUCCAUGAUGGUAUAGUUCAAUUUUAAGUGCCACAUAACAUUCCAUUUUGUAAACAUGCUAUAAUUUAUUUUUUCAUUUUAUGUUUGAUGUGUAUUUAAGUUGUUUCCAGUUUUUAACUUUUACUAAACAAUGAUACAUUGAACAUUUCUGAAUACAUUUCCUGAAUUUCUGAAUACGUAUGUGCAAAUUUUUCCAGGAUACCUACCCAGAAGUAGAAAUGCUGAGUCUAGGGGCAUGUGCACUUUCAGCCUGGCUUGAUAAAGCUAAAUUGCUUUCCAAAGUGGUUGUAACAAUUUGUAUAAGAAAGUGCUCAUUGCAUUUUAUCUUUGAAAAUCUGGAUGUAAUUAGGAUUAUUUUUUGCCAGUCUAACGACCUAGAAAGGUAUCACUUUGUCGUUGUUUUUCUUUGCUUUUCCUUGACCACCAAUAAAGCUGGAAAUAAUUUCAUGUGAUUUAAGCCAUUUGGGUUUCCUCAUCGGAUAACAUCCUGUUCCUAUCAUUUCUUAUUUUUCCCCUGGGUUGUUUAUCUUUUCCUUUUUGAAUUUGUACAUGUAAUAGUGUCACAAACAUCUUCCCAUCUGCAACUUGCCUUUCUACAAUCUUUAGGGCAUAGGAAAUUUAAUUUUUUUUUUUAAUCUUUAUUUAUUUUUGAGAGAGAGAGAGUAGGGCAGGAACAGAGAGAGAUGACACAGAAUCUGAAGCAGGCUCCAGGCUCUGAGCUGUCAGCACAGAGCCCAACACAGGGCUCAAACUUAUGAACUGUGAGAUCAUGACGUGAGCUAAAGUCAGACACUUAACCAAUUGAGCCACCCAGGCACCCCAGGGCACAGAAAAUUUAAUGUAGUCAAUUUGUCAAACUUUAAUUAUUGAUAUCUUUGCCUUAUGAGUUCCCUCCCUACCACAAGGUCAUAAGGAUUUUCUCCUAUAUUUUGUUUUAAAUGCCCCCUCCCUGGGAUGGAGGUUUUUACUGUACCCGGAAUUUAUUUUUUGCAUGCAGUGUAAAGUAGAAAUUUGUUGUUGUUGUUGCUAUAUGAGUUAACGAUGAUCUCAGCACUACUGACUGAGUAGUCUGUCUGCACUGAUUUGUAAGGCCACAUCUGUCACGUAUCAAGUCCCCAUAUGUACAUAAGUCUGUUGCCCAGCUCUCUGGUGUGUAUCAUUUGUCUAUUUGCUAUUUUUGUGCCAGUACGCACUGUCUGAAUCUGUCUCCAAGGGGUCUUUAAUCCAUGAGAUAAUUCAGGAACCUUGGUUUGUUGGCAUCAUGCAGAUAAAUCAAAUCAUAGGAUGGAUUUUCCCCUGUUCAGACAGCUCUUCCAACACUAUGUAGGACAAGUCUCAGUGCCACAGGAACACAGCAGAAGGGAGAAAUAGAUUUAACUCAAACUUGCCUUUUACCUCUCAUCUCAACAUACAUAUACAUGGUGUUUCAGGUUCUAAAAUCCACACACUCAUUCUGCCACCAUCAAAGCCUACUCUUCAUGAUGUUGUACUCAACAGUCCCCCUCCCCCACUUGCUGGACAGCAAAGCCAUUUGUCUUUCUAAUAGCCUAGAGGAAAAGAUAGGUGCCUAGACAAUAUUUAUAGCCUGGAUAGUAUGAAGCCCUUGUGACAAAGACCAUUAUAUUGGUCUUUAUUGGUCACCAAAUCUCUACAUGCAUGACUCUAAAAAGAUUGAGAAAAUUGGAAAUAAAUUAUCCACUCACCAAGGGAUGUUAUCUCCUUGGCUCCUUCAUGAAAGGACAGAAUGAAGUGAUUAGGGGGUGGGAGGGAAGGUGAGUAUAGCUACCUACAUGUGUUAAUUUGCUUUUUUCUAAAUUUCCUAUAUCAGAAUAAUAAGCCAAAGAAAGUAUCCUAGAAAGAAUUCUAAUUGUGUCUUAUAUAUAAAAUUUUAAAAACCCUGAAACACCCUAAAGAUGUUUAAAUGGUUGCCAACCCCCCUGGGCACCAGGAAAUGUCAGCAGAUCUCCUCAGCAGACUCAAUCACAGUCAAUCAGACAGGAACACAAAAAGCAAGGCCCAAUGUUUUUUUCUAAACAUCCAGGUUCUCUCACCAAGGAUUGAGGUUUAAUGAAGAGAGAAGAAUUGAGUCUCGGGGACUAAGUCUUCAGAAAGGAAAGAUUCCUAAAGGGGUGGGAACUCCUAACCCUCAUCAAACAGUCCAGUCAAGGGGACAUCACUCUUGUCCUUCUCCUUCAAGCUUGUGGUGACAGAUUGAUUUAUCACUGUGCUGCUUCUCCACAUUUCCAUGAGCCUCUGACAUUUUAGCCAUAGGAGUAUUUAAGUGAUGACACUUGUUUCCCUACUUUUUUUUUUUCCAUUUGUGUGUGUGUGUGUGUGUGUGUGUCUUCUGUCUCUGGGUUUACAGGUCUGUGGUUUUGUCAUAGGAGACUACAGUCAUGUUCUCCUUCACAAUCUUACCUCCUUCCACACCUCCAACUUUGAUAAACCUCUUUCCUAUAGGAAACAGAUGAACAUGUAUGGUGUAUUGUUCUUCAGAAAGCUAUACAUGGAUCUAUUUGCCCCUAUCCUGAAGAUAAAAUAUGCAUAUUGCAAUAAACGAAAAAGUUUAUGCAAUAAAGUUUAUGUGUUGUCACAUGCCAAUGCAAAGUCUCUGUCGAGACAUAUUCUUGCUUGAAGUUUAAUGAGUCUUAUGACAACCAGGGAGCCUUUAAGAAUCUCAAAUGAGGCAAAAAUGUUAUGAUACACUAUCCUGGAGAGUCCAGGUUUUCUGCCCUGAAGUGCCAGACUCCUGCAUGUCCAUACCAGCUCAAGGGUCCUACUCAUAGUGGGAGAGCUAGAAGUAGUGUGGCUCACAGCAGAAAAUCACUUAGUAUUAUUUCAGGUAGGGAUAAAGGAAUAUUAAAACAAAUGAACGAUCCAUAAACAAACCUUUGACCAAUUGAAUUUCUUGAUACCAAUAACCAAAUAUCAUUGUGGCACUGCGGUCAGGAUCUGUGCUGUUAUCUAAUUUGAAAUGUUCUCUAAUUUAAGAAAUUUUUUAAAUGCCCAGGUGAAACACAAAGUCUGUAAGUUAGUUAAUAGUACUGUACCAAUGUUAGCUUCUUAUUUUGAUAAAUGUAUCCUGAUUCUGUAAGAUUAAGAGAAUGUCAGGUAAAGGAACUCUCUGUACUAUCUUUUGCAAGUUUUCUGUAAGCCUAAAAUUAUUCUAAAAUCAAAAGUUUAUUUUUAAAUGAGUCAUCCAGGGCAAUCACAGACGUCUAAAGUUUUAGAAGCAAACACAAAUGGCUCACAUUGAGGUAGAAAAACCCAAAGCCAAGCUGUCCAGUCUGUGCAUUAGGAAACUGACAGUUCUGCUUCUAAUUACCUUUGUGACCUUAAGCAAGUCACCUAACCUUUCUUCAUCAAUUUUGUUAUUCCAGAGUAAAAGAUACAUCAGAUCAAUCUCUAAACAUGGAAAAAUUCAGAAUUAUUUGCAGCCAUACCCUCCAAGCCACAAUUUCACCAAAUAUGAAAAUUCAGUAUAAACAAAUUUAAUUCUGCAAUCUUCCAACUGACCUAAACGAUACAGUUCCACUAUGUGCAAAUAUCAAGUCAUUUCUAAGAAAAUAAGGAACUAAAGAUUUAGUAAUACAUAAGGACAGUGUAUCAGAAGUAAAUAUUUGCAUGAGAUAAUAUUGAAAGAUAAAGAAUAUUGAAAGCACAGGAAUUGUGAUUUUAGAACUGCAGGAAGAGCUUUUGCUAAGAGCUCUAAGAGCAUCCUUUUACAAGUACUUUAGUCAGAAAAGCUCCUGAGCAGUUAAGGACAUGUAAUCCUGUGUCAUGGGAAGGGAGUUUCAGAAACACUUCCCAAAUAAUUUGUCCAUCUCAAAGAUCCAGUCAGAAUCACUGAGAUCUAAGAAGCCCGAAGUCAAAAACCCUUCUUCAUAAAUCAGAACAAUUUUGUUCUUAUGCUUCAUAACAGAUGUGCACUGCAAACAAAAUUAAUUUCAAGUUUCUUGUGUUAGGGGAGACAAGCAUUAAAAAGUUCUAGGGAGAAGAUUGUGAGUGAAACUGUGCAAUACUUAUUUUUUAAAAGGAUAAAUUCCAUUUAUAUUAAAAUUAUGUAGUAUGCUACCUUAAUAGUCUGGUUCAAAAUAUUUUUUAUUAUAUUCUCAAAACUUAAUCACAAAGAAAGAGAACUUCUGCAAUGAGCUCUUGAGUUCCUUAACCACAGAUCCUUCCAAGUAGGUAUAUUGAGGAACUUAAUGCCUAUGUCAGGAGAAAACCACCGUAAUAUCUCAACAGAUUGUUUCGAGGGUAAAAUGGAAUAAUAGGGUUGAGGUUCCUUGAAAUUUUUAAAGAUAAUAUUGAAAAACAAUUUUUUUUAUUCAUCAAAGAAAUCAGAUACCUCUUGGUGCCUAUCAUUGUACUGAGUGGGGAAGGAGGUGUAAAGUGCUGAUGGUUCCUAGGAGGUGCUGGAGUAAAGUGAUGACUGAACUGGCCAAGCCCUGGGGAAGAGUAGUGACUGCUCCCAGAAUUCGCUGGAGGGAGAGAGUGGUCACUGCUUUCAGGAGACACUGGGGGGUUAAAAUAGUGACUUUCCCAAGAGACCUGGAGGAUAGAGUGAUGACUGCCCUGUAGAAGCCUUCAACCUAGAGACGCACAUAGGCUCAAUACACAGAACUAAGAGCUAAAAUGGGAUAAGGACAGAGUACUAUGAAGCACAUUAUUAACCCCUCAAUCAUACUUCCGGACCAAGGAAGGUUUUCUGGGGGAGGGAACAUCUAAGUCAUAAAAAUGAAUGGAAAUUAGCUAGGCUUUGGGGGUGAGGAGUAGAGAAUGCUGCUGGUAUUGGUUGUGAUGGUGAAAGAGAGACACAAAAGGAAAUAAAAUAAUUUCCUAUGACUAGAUAGAUCAUGAAAGAGAUAAACAAAAGAGGAGCUGUAUCUAGUUCAUGGAGGGAAGGACUUGUAAAUCAUGUUAAAGUUUUGUUCCUUAUUCUAUUUUGAAAGCUUGGAAGGGUUUUUGAGCAAGGCAAUGAGAUGAAUGGAUUCACAAUUUGAUGAUAUCUUUUUUAUUUCAUUUUGUGAAAACAGAUUAGAGAGGAGCAAAUUUGGAGAGGGACAAACUAUGAAACUGUUCAAGUAAUUGAGGCAAGAGAUGAGAGUGGCUUAGACUGAUGUGUAGUGGCAAUGAGCCCAGAGGUGAGUGGACAGAACUGAUAGAAUGUGUAUAGGUUAGAAUCAACAGGACAUGGUAGUUGAUUGGAUACAUUGGAUGAGAGAGAAAUCAAAAGGGUAGCUGAAGGGGUAGCAUCACCAUUCCAUGAGAUAAGAACUGGGGUCAAAUAGCAAGUAUAGGAGUAAAGAUAAUGAGUCUCUUUGGAAGCAAACUGAGCUUGAGAUUCUUAAGAGAAGUCCAGAUGGUGAUGUCCAGUAGAACAAUUGGAUCUUCCUUGAAACUCCUCCUUAUAUUGUGAAUAGAAGUUUGGGACACAUGGAGGCCUUUUGAGAACCUUGUCAUUACUAUAUUAAUUUAGUAAGAGAGGAGAAAUAAUAAAUAUGAGAGGAUUCACUUAUUUCUUUGGAAAUAUGAGAAUGUUCAGCCCAAAGCAUGGAUGAAAAAAAAACUCAGCCAAAACAGAUCUACAAAGAAGCCUCUAUUUCUGAAAAGAAAGGAUCAGUCACUUAGCAACUAUGUGCUUGAGAUCUUCCUUUUUAUGGAUAGGCUAUCACCUGGGGAGGAAAUAGUCUUCUCUCUGGCAAAGUCCCUCAUGAGGGCCGCUCAUCUCCUUGACUUCUGAAAAGUCAGGGUGGGGAUUAAACCUGAAGCAAAAGUGUUAGAGACACACAUGGGCCUGAGUGAUAACCUGAUCCAAUUCCCUCAUUCAUAGUGGAAGGAACUAAGGCCCAGAGAGCCUUGCUCCUGGUCACACAGCUGGUUAGUGGGAUGUAUAAACCAGGUGUCAGCCUGGCUUGGUUUACCCUUCCCUUUAAAAUCCAAAUUAGAUGAACUUGAAAAAUGAAAAACCCUAUGCCACUACAUGCCUCCCAAAUUUCUGAGAAUUUUUAUGGGACUUAUGUUUCUCCUCAUAAUCUCUGGUUCUGAUUUCUAGUAUUUGCUAAGUUUCUUGUUCUCCACUCUUUCUUGUGCCUCUUCUUUUAGCUUCUCCCCUUGACAUUGAGCCAAAUAUGGGAGCAACUCCUUCUUGACUUCUAGACUUCUAAUCAAAGGUUACCAUUUAUAAAAGUCCAUUCAGCAUUGUGAAGUUUUACAAACAAUUUUAAAGUAACAUGAAAAGAACAUAUAUCAUAUUUCAAUAUCAUACAUAUAUUAGUACAUAUCUGACCUUAAAAAAAAGUCUCAUAUAUACAAUGGAAUAUUAUUUGGUCAUAAAAUAGAAGGAAGCCUUGCCAUUUGCAACUACAUGUGGUGGAUCUUAAGGGCUUUAUGCUAAGUGACAUAAAUCAGAGGUAAACAAAUAUAGAGUAAUCUCACUUAUAUGUGGAAUCUAAAAAGCAAAAUUUAAAAAAAAUGUGCUCAUAGAAAUAGAGGACAGAUUGGUGGUUCCCAGAGGUGGAGGUGUAGGGAUGGAUGAAAUAGGUGAAGGGGGUCAAAAUGUAUGAACUUUCAGUUAUAAAAUAAAUAAGUCCUGGGAAUGUAACAUACAACAUAUGACUAUAGUUAAUAACAGGUAUUAUAUACUUAAAAGUUGCUAAGAAAGUAGAUCUCAAAAAAAAAGUCCCUCUACCCUUUUCUGACAACACAAGCACGAACCUGCUGCCAUCUGAAUCACUAUUUCUUGUGCUCUUACCAGCUAAUUCUCUCCUCCUUUCCCUCUCCCUUUUCUUCUUCCCCUUAAUUUGUGUUCCCUUACUUUUCAUCCCAAGUGCUAAUCAGCCUAUAUUCCCUUCCUAAGGAAACUCUGGAGGCACCUGCUAAAAUAUCAGUUUUUCUUACCCCCUUUUACAAAUCUGGUGCAAUUGCUUUGCACUAAGCCAGGUGUCUAGUCCAUUUGACCUUGACAAAGCUUCUCCCAAAUUUCCCACUUCCUUCUCACUUGCUGCCUGCCUCACCUCCAUCUUUCCUGGAGGUAUUAGUGAGCAUGUAACUCACAUAAUCAUGCAUAUGUUUGGAGUGAGGUGAACUGAGCCUGUCAGUGUCACUAUUGUCUUUUAAUUGCUUUCAGCCCUGCAGACUUUGAACAACUUUCUUCACCCUUCAGCUCAGCACUGAUUUAUUCAGCUUGUGCAAGCAAUUUGUUCACUUUUAAUUAGACCCAACUUAAUUAUUUUGUCAGUAAAGUAAACCAAAAGAAUCUAUAAAACAACUUUUAAGUGAAAUCACAUUUCUGCCUGAAGGGAUAUAAAAAAUGAAAUUAUGCAUCUCAUUUUGCCUGCCUCUUACAAAAAAAAGAUUGCCCACAUUGUCUUUUUAUUUCCCAAGAUCUUUUGCCUUUAUUAAGAAGAUACUUGGGAAAUCAGGCCUGUAACAGAGGAAAGAAAAUGGUUAAAGGUAGAUUUCAAUGGAGGGAAGAUAUGUGAGUGCAUAAGGCAGGGUCUCUCCAUGUUUGUUCUUUGGAAGUCACUACUUUACAAUGAUCUGGGAGCUGGUUAAGAGUACAUAUUUCCCACCCCACCCCUAGAGUGCCUAACUCAGUAGAUCCGAGAAGUGGGAAUAAGAGACAGAGCUUCUCACUUGCCUCUUCUUGCACAUUCUGGACUUAUCCCUGCUUCUAGAUACCCAAGCUUUCUUAUUCACUAAUAGACCACUUCUGCUUCUCCAGGAAGCUUGCCUUGUCCUCCCCAGUCACCCAUAUUUUCUUCUAUCUUUGACAACUUCCAAAGUGUCUAUGUUUAUUCAAUUCUCUGUUCAUACCCUGUCCAUUACCUUUCCUGUGUAUAUACCUCAUCUCUCCAACCAUUUUGUUGGGGUGGGAAAUGUGUAUUAGGGAACUUUCUCUCUGCCCUUAGCCAAAUACCCUGUAUUCAGUUUCAUGUUCCCUCUGCUACACCGGUGUUUCCAACCUUUCAGAGCCCGAAGACCUCUUUUUUCAUAAAAUAUUUUCAUAACCUAUACCUAAGAGUUGGUAUAAUUUUAGUAUCAUGGAUUGAGAAAAUACAUAAUAGCAAAAGCUUACCAUGAAAUCAGUAAUGCCUUUAAACAAAUUUGCAAUAUAUACAUCUCAACCAUAUCUGCUACACUUAAAAGCAGUGGCUUACAUUUGCAAUGGCGUGGAUGGAACUAUAAAGUAUAAUGCUAAGCAAAAUAAAUCAGUCAGAGAAAGCCAAAUACCAUAUAAUUUCACUCAUAUGUGGAAUUUAAGAAACCAAACAAACAAGAAAAGGGGAAAAAUUAGAGAAACAGAGAGAGAGACAAAGCAAGAAUCACUUUUAAUUAUAGAGAACAAACUGACAGCUUUGAGAAGGGAGGCAGGUGAGGGAAUGGGUUAAAUAGGUGAUGGGGACUGAUGAGUGCACCUGUCAUGAUGAGCACAAGGUAAUGUAUGGAAGUGUUUAAUAUAUUGUAUACCUGAAACUAUUAUAACACUGUAUGUUAAGUAACUGGAAUUAAAAUUAAAACUUAAAGUACUGUCUCACAUGUGACUGCAGCACAUAAUGUGUUCUAUCUACAGACUAUGCCAGGAGCAUGUAUGAAUUCACUAACAUCUCACUAUCAGCAGCCUAACUCAGGGCAGCAUCUGAGGGCCAGAGUUUAGGGGUCACUCUCUUGGCUUCAAAUUUGAAGGAGAACACCCAAAUAGAAGGUGUCAGAGUGUUUAGAAAGUGUAGAAUCCCUUUCCUUAGCUUAUAGGAAACAAUGACAGGUCUUACCAUAGCCUAUGGCCAUGCUGGCACAUUGCGUUAGUAGCCCUCAGUGGAUUAAUCCUAUACCCACUCUGUGAAAAAAUGUCAUUUAAUCUGGGACCUGGAAAUGACACCAGUGCUUACCAAAGAUUCUAUGUGUUCCCCACAUAGUCAGCCUCUCCUAUUGCCAGGAUUAGACAAUGUAGCUAAUUGUCACCAUUUGACUGAAGCAAAGUGAUGUAGUUCACUUCUGCAUACUGUUAUGGCUCUAUUUAAAGCCACAUGUUGAGACUGUGAUGCAGAGGGAGGCUGGACCCCUGAAACGUUGGAUUGAGGAGAGUUAUUUGGAACUGCAAACUCUUCAUAGGUUGUGCAAAGUCACUGAGAUUUGGGACUUUGUCUCAUAGCCUGGCCCAUGGCCUAGCCUGACUAAUAUGGUAGGCAAAAUGUGAAGGAAGGACCCUCAAGGGAGAGGAACUACCAACUGCCCAGAUUCUCAUGUAGGGAUGGGGAGGGAAGAGGAGAAAGAGAGAAAGCUUGGAGUGUUUGAGAAUAGUUGAGUAAGAAGAAAAGAGGUAGGUACAAGCUGGGUCACAUGAAGUAUAAUGUAGGCCACGGUGAGAAGGCUGUGUUUUUUUUUUAUAAAUUUUUUUUUUAACGUUUAUUUAUUUUUGGGACAGAGAGAGACAGCGCAUGAACGGGGGAGGGGCAGAGAGAGAGGGAGACACAGAAUCAGAAACAGGCUCCAGGCUCUGAGCCAUCAGCCCAGAGCCUGACGCGGGGCUCGAACUCACGGACCGCGAGAUCGUGACCUGGCUGAAGUCGGACGCUUAACCGACUGCGCCACCCAGGCGCCCCAAGAAGGCUGUGUUUUAUACAAAAGCAAACAUAAUCAUCAAGAGCAUUAAGAAGAGACCUGACAUGAUAUGAUUUGCACUUGAGAAAAACAACACUGGCUGUCAUGAGAAAACUAGGUUGGAACAGGAGCNUUUUUUUUUUCAACGUUUAUUUAUUUUUGGGACAGAGAGAGACAGAGCAUGAACGGGGGAGGGGCAGAGAGAGAGGGAGACACAGAAUCGGAAACAGGCUCCAGGCUCUGAGCCAUCAGCCCAGAGCCCGACGCGGGGCUCGAACUCACGGACCGCGAGAUCGUGACCUGGCUGAAGUCGGACGCUUAACCGACUGCGCCACCCAGGCGCCCCAAGAAGGCUGUGUUUUAUACAAAAGCAAACAUAAUCAUCAAGAGCAUUAAGAAGAGACCUGACAUGAUAUGAUUUGCACUUGAGAAAAACAACACUGGCUGUCAUGAGAAAACUAGGUUGGAACAGGAGCAAGUGAGGAUGCAGGACCCUGAUGGAGGUCUGUGUAGUGGUCCAUACAAGACACAGUGAUGUCUUUUAUUAGACUGAAAGCAGGAGAAAUGUUGAUAAACAGAUGGAUUUGAAAAAUAUUUAGAAAGUAAAAAUGGAUAGAACUUAAAAAUAGAUUGACUGUAGCAAAUGAAGGAAAAAUCAAAGAUGAGUUCCAGGUCAUUCAGGUAAAGGGAGAUGCUAUUCAUAGGAAUGGGGGCUACUGGACCAAAGACACCUAGAAAAGAAAUGAAGAUGGCAAAGAAGCAGUGGGAUACUCUUGUCCAAAACUCAUGAGUGAGGCCUGAGCUCCAGAUAUACUUAAUGGGAGACCAGCUUGCUGGGUGCCUGGUGAUGCCCUAAACUCCAAAAAAACUGGGGAGUAAUGGAGUAUAGCAUAGCAGACCACAGAUCUUUCUUGUUGUCUAAGAAACAAAAUCAUGGGGUGCCUGAGUGGCUCAGUUGGUUGGGCGUCCAACUUUGGCUUGGGUCAUGAUCUCACGGUUUGUGAGUUCAGGCCCCAUGUGGGGCUCUGUGCUGGCAGCUCAGAGCCUGGAGCCCACUUCAGAUUCUGUGCCACCCUCUGUCUGCCCUUCCCCCGAUUGCACUCUGUCUCUCACUCUGUAUCAAAAAUAAAUAAACAUUUAAAAAAAUUUUAAAGAAACAAAAUCAUUGUCUUUGAAAAUCUGUUAGAUUAAGGCUCUCAUGGACCAUGGUGCUAAGAAAAAAUCAGGGUAAACAGCAUUCACAAAAAAGACUAGCGAUGGAGACUGAGUGUGGUACACCAUUGAUGUCUGAGUUCUAUAAAGAUCUACCCUUUGAUCAUUCCUACAAAGACCUGUUCUAUAGGAUUUCAUUUGUCACGUGUUUUUAUUACCUUCUACAGAAGUACAUCCUUCAGUUAAUUUUACUUAAGGUGAUUCCUAUUUUCUUUUCACUCUGCCUUCCCCUUCCACACUGGUGCCCAUUUUCACCAGCCUCCAAAAGCCACAAUCCCCACCCCACCCUGUGCAAGGGCCUGCAGACACAUUUCUUAUUCAAUAUUUCUCUCUGGAGGAAGUCAGCAUCUGGCAUCCUAAUUAUAGGACACAUUUUGUAGCCUGUGAAUGAGGCAAAUCACAGCUCCUGCUCUUCCCAUUGGGAAGGACAGAGCACUUUCUGGUGCUUGUAAGAACUGAUUGCACUCAGCAGCUAUAUGUAGAAUCCCAUAGCUGCACAAGACAAAUGAAGGCUCUGAUGUUCAGCCAUCUUCAAGGCUUCUAGCCUAUCUGAAUUGCAUUGAAGAAUGUCUCCUCUUGGGUCAUUCAUUUCCCAAGAAGGCCUUACCAAACUUUCCCAGGCAGGUUCCAGAACUGGAAAGCUUAGUGAGGGCUUUUCAAAUUGUGAUUUCUGUUUUCUAGCCUGCAACUAAACAUAUUCCCUUGAAUCUAAAAUGUCAUGAAUUUAAUAAUAUAUUGUGAGGGUAAAAAGAAAAAAAAAGAAACCUAUUACCAUAUCAGUUAUGUGACAUAUCCUAGGUUCAAAACGUUAAAAUGUGAACCAAAAAUUACAUCUUGGAUUCUAAAAAAUAUAGGUUUUUCUGAAAGGGAGAGAAAGAAAGUUCUAGAGAGGAAUUAUUCUAUUCCCCUUUUUGUUUCUCCAUCUGUAAAAUGGGUAUGGGUAAAAUAGUUAGAAGACUACAUAAAAGUUAUGACCAUUUCCUCAAGCAAAUCCAAUUAGAUUAAGUGGGGAAAAAACAAAAUGAAUAGAAAAUUGGUAAUAAGAUUGUUGUAUUGCAAAUCUUUCCUUGAUCUAGUAGAAUGCUUGGGGAAUAUAUAGGAAUCGAGUUCUCUGGAUUUUUUAUUUAAUUCAGGGUAGAUGAAAAACCUUUUGUUGCUGUUGCCUUUGUUGUUUUGACACUUCUGUGGGAAAUGAACAAACAAACAAAAACCUUGAAAAACAUGUUAGCAGCCUUUCCUGCAUUAGUACAUAAGCCUCCAAUAAUGAAAAUGACUGACACUUUCUGGAUAAUUGGUGAUGUUUCUGAGCCUCAUUCUCAGAAUAGCAAAGAGAGAUAUGGAAGGCCUGGGACAAAGCUGUGAUAAUGGGCCAACAGUUUUUAUUUCAAUAAAAGUAGGUCUAUGUUAGUGCCUAUGAAAAAAAAAAUCAUGUGUAUCAAACCCCUAACUUCAGAUAUCAUUGCUUCACAUGAGGCCAAAGACAACAUUUAAGCUUUUGAAAAGUUAUUUGAGGGGUGCCUGGGUGGCUCAGUCAGUUAAGCGUCCGACUUUGGCUCAGGUCAUGAUCUCAUGGUUGGUGGGUUUAAGCCCGCAUCGGGCUGUGUGUGCUGACAGCUCAGAGCCUGGAGCCUGCUUGAGAUUCUGUGUCUCCCUCUCCCUCUCUCUCUCUCUGUCCCUCCCCCACUCACACUCUGUCUCUCUCUUUACAAAAUAAAUAUUAAUGGGGGCACCUGGGUGGGUCAGUUGGUUGGGUGUCCGACUUUAGCUCAGGUCAUGAUCUCACACUUUGUGGAUUCAAGCCCCACUUCGGGCUCUGUGCUGACAGCUCAGAGCCUGGAUCCUGCUUCAGAUUCUGUGUCUCCCUCUCUCUUUGCCCCUCCCCUGUUCAUGCUCUGUCUUUCUCUCUCUCUCAAAAUAAAUAAACAUUUAAAAAUUUUUAAAUAAAUAUUAUUAAAAAUUUUUAAGUGAUUUAACUUAAAAUAUACUGCACUUAAUAAAACAAAUGAUCUUUGGGUAUGGCAGAAAUUGGAACAGUGAUUCAAGAAUGAUUACAAUUUGGGGAAAACUGACAUAAUUGAUUGAUUUAAGGACACAUUAACCCCUGACUAUUCUAAGGUGGUUAUCGUUUGUUAACGAGGUGUCUAACAGGAAAUUAUCUUAUGAGAUUUACACAUUUUGUAGCACACAGGAUAGAGUGCUUUACAAACCCCUGUGGUUAAGUGAAGGCCAAACUCUCUUAGCUUCUAAUUAAUUCUAAUAUCAAGAUAGUGUACUAUUUAUUAAGAAUCUAAGUAUAGAUUACAUUUAAUUUUAUAGUAUUUUUAAAGUUUACUUAUUUUGAGAAAGAGAGAGAGCACAAGCAGGAGAGGGGCAGACAGAAAGGGAGUGAGAGAGAAUCCCUCUCAUGGUCCCACUGACAGUACUGAGUUGAAUGUAGGACUUCAACUUGUGAACCAUGAGAUCAUGACCUGAGCCGAAAUCAAGAGUCGGACACUUAACUGACAGCCCCCCAGGCAUCCCCCAACUCACAUACUUUUUAAAGAACUGGACCUUUAGGUAAAGUAAUUCUCUAGUCACCACUUAUUACUGCUUUCUAGCCUUACUUCAGUUUUCUUUCCAUUUUUAAAAUCAAUGUUUGCUCUAGCUAACAGGACACUUGCAAAUGUGGCUUCUUUCUAGAAUGCUCACUUACUUCCAGACAUACACAGACAAACACCACACACACACACACACACACACACACACACACACACAUCCCAUCCAGUUACCUCACAUUGAUGAUCCUGAUCUUAGCUCAAGCCCCACCUCUUCAGCAACAAGGUCACAUCCUUCUGUUAUGUAAUAGCAGUGUACCCUGUUCUCCUUUGUGGCACUUAUCCUAGUUGGUGAGUAUACACUUGACCCUUGAACAGUGUGGGGGUUAGGGCCGCAGGCACCCCACACAGUCAAAAAUUCCCAUAUAACUUUUGACUCUCCAAAAACUUAACUACUAAUAACCUAUGGGAAGCCUUUUGGAUAACAUAAACAGUUAAUUAGCACAUAAUUUGUAUAUGUAUUAUAUACUGUAUUCUUAUAAUGAAGUAAGCUAGAGAAAAAAAUAUUUAAAAAAUAGUAAGAAAGAGAAAAUACAUUUACAGUUCUAUGCUGCAUUGAAAAAAUUCCACAUAUAAGCACACACAUGUGGUUCAAAGCCAUGUUGUUCAAGGAUCAACUGUAUCAUUAUUUCUAUGAGUGUUUAUUUAUAAUCUGUCAGUCUCACUAGAGUGCAAGUUCCAGAAGAAAAGAGAUAGAUAUAUAGGCUUUACUCACUUGGUACAAAACAAGAGUUCAACAAGUAUUUUUUGGCUCAGUGAAAGUAGAAUUUGCCAAAAAUGGGGUUUACUUGGUUCAUUAAAAUAAAAAAGGGAAAUGGGAUUAAUUGGAAUGUGGGUCAGGCAAGAUGGAGAAAGUUGGGAGCAAGAACAGGAUUUGUCAGUAAACUGUACUUAGUAUGUUAGGCUAAUGGCCCACCAUAUAAAAAUGCACCCCCCUAAUGCGCCUGGGUGGCUCAAUCAGUUGGGCAUCCGACUUCAGCUCGGGUCAUGAUCUCAUGGUUUGUGAGUUCGAACCCUGUGUCGGGCUCUGUGCAGACAGCUCAGGGCCUGGAGCCUGCUUCGGAUUCUGUGUCUCCUUCUCUCUCUGCCCCUUCCCCACUUGCGCUCUGUCUCUCUCUGUCUCUCAAAAAUAAAUAAAUGUAAAAAAAACUAAAAAGAAAAAAAAUAAAAAUGUACCCCCCUACCAUCUAGAGCACAUUUUGCCCAGGGGCAAAUGAUAGUGGUGUUGGAAAAAAUUACUACUUCAAGCCAGAAGGAUCUGAGUGUAAAUUAGUAAAACUAGAAUACCUUCAAGUUUAUUGUUAGUGGGAGGUACCAUUUCAGAAAAUUAGAAUGAGAGACUUUAUCAGUGACCAGACCUUGGAGAGAUGCUUCAGACAUGUCCCUCCCUUUAUGAAAGCAAUAAACCACACCUCAGAUCGAAGGAUUGCACAAUCUCCCUUUGUUUCCUGUUCCAAUUUUGGAAAGAAGUAGCUUACUUGGAAGAAAGAGGAAGCAAUGGGUUAAGGAGCUACUUUCCUGUCCUCUCCUGGCCCCCCUCCCCAGUCCAUCAUUGUGUGCUUCCACCAGAACAAAGCGUGGGAUCCACAGCUGUGGUCAUGUUGUUUCACUGCCUAAAACUCUUCAGGACUCCUUUAUACUCUGAGCAUAAUAAAUAGCCUUAACAGGCCAUCUGGUCCUUGUCUGUGCCUCCAUCCUCAACUUUGACUGUUCUUUGUCCCUCACUUCAUGUAUUCUAUAGGACACUCCUAUGAACUUUGUUUCCAGAGCCGGUUCUUCUACCUGGAACACCCUCACACAACCUUCCUACCUAGCUAAGUGUGUAUGUGUACAUAUGUAUACACACACAUAUACAAACAUGUACAUUAUUUUCUAAACCAUUGAAACAUCUUGCCCCUUUGCUCAUAAUUACUUUAGGAUGGACGUCCUAGGAACAAAAACAUUUUCUUACAUAACCGCAAUGUAAUUAUUAUAAUGGAGAAUUUUGACAUUAUUGAAAUAUUAUUACUAAUCUUCAGUUCAUUUUUAAAUUUUAUGCAUUGUCCUAUUAUGUGCCUUAUACCUACUUUAUCUCCCCCAAUCCAGGAUCCAAUCCAAGAUGGAUCCAUUUACUUGUCAUAUCUUUUUAGUCUCUUUUAAUCAUAAAUAUUUCCUCUGCCUUUCUUUGAUCUUUGACACUUGAAAAACAUAAGCUAGUUAUUUUGUAAAAUAAUCCCCAGUUUGAAGUUUUUCAAUAUUUCCUUGUGAUAUCAGAAAUGAUGCCAUGUCCUUGGUACAUCAUAUCAGGAGGCACAGAAUGUCAAGUUAUACCAUAUUGGUGAUAUUGCUUUGAUCUCUGGGGUAAGGUGGUAUCCGCCAUGUUACUUCACUGCAAAGUGAUUUUUUUUUUUUUGGCCAUUGUAAUUAAUGAUUUGGGAGAAAGAUACUUUGAAACUAUGGAAACAUUCAGUUCCCCAUCAAACUUACGUCUACUAGUUUGGCAUCCAUUUUGCGUGUGCUUUAUUUUUAAGAAAACUUAUUUUACAGUUUUAAGAAAAGUAAAGACAACUAAAAUAAAAUAAAGAAUAUGAUACAAUAAAUGAACUUUUUAAACCACCCCACCAAAAAUACCUGCAUCUCCCAUAUCAACCCAAUCUUCUUUUUUGAAGUUCUUAUAACCUAAAAUUGAAAGAAGUCUGUUAUGUAUGGCAUUAGACACUGCAAGAUUUCUCAUUUGCAUUUUCAACUCUAUUCAUGAAUUAUCUUUUCAUUUCCUUUUCUUUUAUAAUAAUAAAAAAAAUCCAUGAAAGGGACAUUUUUUAAAAUGAGAAAGAAGAUAUACAAUAUUAUUUCUGGCUUACCAUAUGUCAUAAUAUUGCUUUUGGUCACAUAAUAAUGGACAUCAGUAAUUGCAUUUAUUUUUUCAUGCUUGCUACAAGGAUUCACUUAAGACUCUGAAGAGCUCCUGUGGAUUGAAAAUCAUAUGGAUUGAUUAAAGUCAUGAGGAGAAUUAUGAUAAGGGUCCGAUCAUAUGGGCAUCAGGAAAGUAAAAUAUUAUCAUUUAAACUAGAAAUGGAACUUUUUCUCCUUUAAAGGAUUAUAUUUUCAAUGACAGGUGGAGUUUCUCAUAGUAAGAUUAAUAAUAUCUGAUGUUUACUCAUCCAUUUAUUCAAAAGAAAAUCAUCCUGUGAGCCUACUAGGUGAGAAGCACCAUUAUAUACAACUUCUAACCUUUCAAAGUAUGCCUGAAUAAUAUCCUUCGUGGUCUUUAAGUAAGAAUGGCUAGAGGGAACCUUAAAGUUUUGCUUAUAGGUUCCAUUAAAAGAGCUCAGAAACAGGAAUAUCCUAAAUAACACAGCAUUCGUCCAUCAUCUAGGAGGAUCAUCUGAAUAAGUGCUCAGUUUCAGAAACCACUAAAUCGAGUGGAGAGGAAGGAAGGGGUUUCCCACCCUCACCCCCAAUCAACACAUUUAAAAGAAAAAAAACAAAACAGGUGGUGUUCAUGGAACAACAUUCUAUACAGCCCAGUCACCUCAGGCCAAAGUUUUCUAGGAAAGAAACUAUCUCCUUUGUACCACCUAUUACUCUUCUAUGAGGUUCUGAUCACAAAUGAGGUUCUUCAAAAUAUCAGUACCCAGUACCUGAAAAUUUUAUAGCUAGGGAACACCUUUCCCUUUAAGACAUACUUUAUAUACUAUCAAUUUCAUUCCUUACAAAAAGCUGGUGAAAAAGUAGAAUAAGACUAGUUUUCCUCAUAUUACAGUGAGGAAACUGAAGACCGGGAAGGUAAACAGAUAGUUCAGCAUUAGAAACAAGCCACAGAUAGCAUUCUGACCUCUGGUGUCAUAGCCCACAGGACCAUACUUUUCCUGAUAGGCCCAACAAGGUCAUCUGCACCUUCCCCCCCCUCCCCACCUUAAAUGCUUUCAUGGUACUUGUCACAGUGUUAGUUGUAUAUUAUUUAUAUAUUUAUAUGAUUAUUUGCUUUACGUCUCUCACUCUUAAACAUGUGGUUUGUAGGGAUUGAACUUAUUUUCCUCACAUUGUAUUCCAUAAUCUACCUUGGUUGGAUGGGUGAACAAGUGGGUGAGCCAAUAUACCAUAUAUUUUCUUCUGACCAUAACAACUUCAUGUGUCUGUUUUAGACCAUAGCUUGCUGCCAGAAAUGGCACUCUCAGUGGACUCAUCCUGGCACCGGUGGCAGUGGCGAGUCAGAGAUGGCCUCCCCCAGUCUCCAUCAGAAGCCACACCACUAUUGUCUGAAGAGAAGAAGAGGCAAAGCUACAACCUGAUACAACAACGAGUCGUCUUCCCCAACAACAGCACGUGCCACCGAGAUUGGGCAGAGAUCACCAGGAGAUACUCCGGCAACAGAAUCUGCACGACCAAAUACACCUUUCUCACUUUCCUGCCUCAGAAUCUCUUUGAGCAGUUUCAUAGGUACACAACCACUUGGCCAAAUGAUACACGCUUUAACCAAGUAUUUGCCAGUAUUUCUGAAACAAAGAUGCUGUCCUCUGGGUUACCUAUCCUUUAAUAUCCAAAUGCAUUUACCUUAAAAAGACUUGUCAUUCAUUUGCUCAUUCAUUCAUUUAUUCAUUCAUUCAAUAAAUAUCAGAUUCUACUGUGUUAGGCCAUGUGUUCACUGCUGGAGAUACAUGAGGGGGAAAAGAGAGACAUAGUCUUGACUAUAUUUUCUCAUGAAAGAGACAGACAUUAAAUUUAAGAAUUAUAUAAACUGAUGUCAAAUUAGAAUUUAAAUAGAUACUUCUAAAAAGAGGCAUAUGGUGAUGUUAGAGUAAAUAAGAGGGAGAUCUGGGGUAGUUAAGAAAGUCAGGAAAGACUUCCAGGAAUAAGUGACAAUUGAAAUAAUCUGAAAGAAGAGAAUGCAUUAACUUGGUAAAAACAGAGAGAAGUCAGGAAGGGAGCCAGGAGAAUGUCCCUGCCAACAGACCUUCAUGUGCAAAGGCACAGUGGCAAAAGGAUGCUAGAUGCACUUGGAAAAGUUAAAAAUGUAAGCCAUAAUUUUGAGAUGAUACAUGCAAGAUCGUAUUUUAAUUAUAAAGCAAAAUAUACACUUAGGUAUCAUCCUAAAUUUUGUAAUUAUCAUUACAAGUUGUCAUUUAUUGAGAAACUACUAUGACUGAGAACCCUCUAUUACAUAUGUAACAAAUAUAAUCCUAUGUAAUAUUUAUAAGAGCCCUUUAAAGUACAUAGUACUAGCCCCAUUUUACAGCUCCAGAAAGUCACACAACUAAUAAACAAUUUGAGUUUGAAUAUAGCUGGAUCUGGCUUCAGAGCCCUUACCAUAAUUCGAGGUCACCCUAAAAGAGGAUGUCAUUUUAGUUGAUAAAGGCCAACAAUAGGGAAGAAAUAGUGUGGAAAGUAUAUUUCCUUCUCCAUGGUUUUCACUCACACUUUUCUUGUCCCUUCCAGAUGGGCUAAUCUGUAUUUCCUAUUCCUGGUGAUUCUCAACUGGAUGCCCUCCAUGGAAGUUUUCCACAGAGAAAUCACCAUGUUACCAUUGGCUAUUGUGCUGUUCCUCAUCAUGGUCAAGGAUGGCAUGGAAGACUUCAAG